GCCAUCGGCAAUCUUGGAUACGGCGAUCUUCCUUCUCAUCCUUGAUGUCACGAGCGUUUUUAGUUGCAUACGCUCGGGGUCUAGGAGGGCUGGAGGGUGGCGGCACAAGUGCUUAGAGAUUGGGCAGUGGCAGCGGCACUAGGGCUACAGUAUGCAAGUUGGAAAGGAAAUGGCAAGGAUAAAAUGGAAGGGAUAAACUUCCUCCGUUAUUUAUAACAGUGGCACCGUAAAUACUAUGCGAAGUGAAUGGUUUCUGAUUUAAAGGUCUCCCAAAAUUUGGGAGAUCUGAUUGGCAAUUACCUUUAUUUCGGGAGGAAACAAGAUCUCCUUCUAAAGAUGGUCACGUUAACCUAAGGUUGACCCUUAUACCCACCAAACUAGUCGGCUAAAGGCUCGGGGGCUAUGUGCCACGUGUCCAUCGAUAAAAAGUUUUUUCUCCAGGUUUGAAGGGGAAAGUGAUGUAGAUUACAGAUAACCCUCAGCCUGAUUCUUUGAUAAAAUCUAAGGCUCAGGGGCUACUCCAUAUGGAGUGCGACUUUUGUCACACUUCCAUAAAAAAUCAAGGAUGAAGAUUAUAAGGUCAAGUUCAAAAAGGGCUUGAGCACCUUCCAACCUCAUGGCAGUUUUAGGCACCUUUGAAGAUCUAACUAGAUGAAGUACUCAAAGAGUAUCAAGAGUAGUCGGUGGAGACUUCAAAGUACUCGGUUCUGCUACAUUUGGCUAAUAAGUACUUGGGGGCUUGUCGUACAUACAUCUAUGAGCCCAAUAGAAGGUUUGGAAAAUCCUAAAUAUGGGGCUAGACACCGAGACGCAUCUAACAUGGAGACCAUGGUGCAGGACGGUGUAGUCUACAUGGAAAGACAGGAACCAGUCGAGGAUUAAGAAAGUACUCAUUUUAAUAAGAGUAGAACUCCUCUAGUCGUAUCCGACUAGUAUUCUUGUAAACUAACCGACCUGUAACCCUACCCCGACUAUAUAAGGCAAGGCAGGGACCCCGUCCAAAGCAAUUCAAUCCAACCAACACACAGGAUGUAGGGUAUUACGUUAUUCAGCGGUCCAAACCUAUCUAAAUUGUGUGUCUAUAUUUACCUUCGAGUUCCUGAUCUCGACGAGCCCCACCAACCACAACACUACCUCGAGCACCCCCCUCGAUUGAUUGUCGGGUCUAAACACCAACACCCUCCUCGAUAGGUUGCCGGGUCUAAACACCGACACCCCCCUUGGUAGGUUGCCGGGUCUAAACACCGACUGAGAGGAUCCUGAUAGGGGAAGUUGGGAGAGGUAUGGCGCGGCAGUGCGAUGCGUGUGGGGCGCGGCAGUGCGACAUGCGUGGGACGGGGCAGUGAGAUGGCUGGGGGAGGCGGAUCCGGGUGGCGGCCACGCCGGCAUGCAAGGGGGAAGGAACAAGCGGGUGAGAGAGAGAGAGAGAGGAGGGGAGGAGGAAGACGACGCAGGUCAUCACGGGCUGGGCCGGGUGGGCCAGUAGCUGGGCCAAGCGACCUGUUAGGCCGUGCGGGAGAGGGAGGAGCAGGCCAGGCUGAAUUGACUGGAGAGAGGGAAGAGAAGGUUGGCGGCCUGUUAGUGAAUAGGAGUGUUUGACAAUUGUUUGAAUAAGUUUUGAACUUGGUUUGAAUUCAAAUUUGAGGACUGUUUCUGAGCUUUGGAUCUUUUCUAAAAUCUAUAGCACUCAAAUGCACAAUCAUGUGAAGUUUAUGCAUAGUUGUGAAUAUUUGUGAGAUAAUUUGAAUAUUAGGAAGAAAUGAGGAUUAAUUUAGAAACAAUUUAAAAGGUCCUCAUUUUUAAAUGCUUUUUAAAAAUUAGGGACGUUACAAUGGGUUACCUGAAGAGAUUACGUUAGAGACGACAAAAGACAAAUGCAAAAGUGGAACAAGAGUGAUAGGCGCAAAGUCUUAGCAAAACAUGCCAAUUUUAAUUUACUCAGGAGCACACAGCUUUCAGCCACAUAAGAAUCUUUAUUUCUGAAUUUCUGAUUUCAAUUUAUCUUGAGAAGAAGAUCGGCACAUUUGCAUCAUUGAUCGCUUGCAACUUGUAAUAAGAGCCAUUCCAUUGGUUUAACGAGACUAUGACUACAGCUGAAACGUAAACUAAUUUUGUUGAAGUCAUUUGGUCCAAACUAACAAUACUAAAUGUUGGCUGUUGGCUAUUCUGGCUGAGCAUAAACGAUAUUGUUCUUUAAAAAAGAACACAGUCUUACAUGCAAAUUUUCUUCUGAACGACACAUUCGCUACUAUACGCUUCUAAAAUGUGGACCUUGCCACAUAAGGAGGACAAUCAGGCAAUGAUGAAAUCUGCAUGCUGUACUUUGGAAACAAUGGUCAUGGAAAUCUUCACCAGCCAUAGGUGGAUGUCUACUAAUAGGUUACGUGCUUAAUGGUAUCCAGUUAGUUUCUAUGUUUAGAACUGUUAGAAUCUUGAUUGACAGCAGGGGGGUGUAGUUGUGAAUUGUGAUGAUAGAUCGGUUGAAUGCACAACUCACAUAGAGGCCGGUAUAAAGACUUCCUUUACUAAAAAAGAAGCUUAAUCGAAGUACAAGCUACCAAAAGAGUAGGCAAGAAUCGCAUAGAAGCCAGCUGUUAAUUAUGUUCUAGUAUUUGUAUUUAGCGCAAUGUACAUUGACAUGAAUCACCUAGCAUGAAGUAUCAAAUUUACAAUGCCGGAUCAAGUGCACCAACGAUAGAUAGCUUUGUCUUAUCAUGUGAUCAGUGCAAUAUGUAUAGUACAUUACACCUCUCAUUACCAAGAUAUUUCUGAGAUGCUGGCAACAUCUUCCAGCGUAUUGAUCCGGAGACACGAUAUAUAUAAGCACUAAUGGAAGGUGUGUGUCAACGGACAAACUACAAGCUCUUAAAUUAAAUAUUUUUAAUUGGUUCUUGUUAAAAGGGGCAAUCUUAAUGAAAGAAAUUUAGUAAAAAGACAUUGGUAGGCUGAUGACCGAUAUUGUUUUUUGACAAUAAAGAAUCCAUCCAGCAUCUUUUCUUUGAUUGUCAUGUUGCAACAUUUGUUUGAAGAAUUUUUACAAUGUCUUUUGGUUUGCAAUCUCCUAAAAAUAUAACUGAUUUAUCUAAGGUGUGGCUAGAUCAAGUAGACCAGCAUAUGCGAGGAGCAAGUGCAAUUUUUUCGUCUAUUUAGCUCUACAGACACGAUGUGGUUUUUAACAUUAAAAAAUAUACUCUUAUUUGCAGGUAAUUUUCAGGGUGACACACUGGACACGUUUUUGGAGUCAUCUAUAGAAGGAGAGCAAGAGACUAUAUUUGAAUUGGGCUUGUCGAACGCUCGAGAUCAUGACUAUAUGGAGAUCUUUGCCAAACAUGGGUGGCCGUCCUUCAGAAGGCUUUGUGCCUGUUACCUCUUCACUUGGUUUUGCUUUCUGAGAGCUCUUCUUGGCAUGAACUAUAAUAAGAAUUGGUUGGGUGCAAAAUUUUUGCAGAGGCUAGAAUAAAAAAAAUUCUAAAAAAGCUCAUAACUAAUAUCGCCAGAACUCAAGACAAGCAUGCAGCGAAAGGUCAUAAUCACAGAUGGAGAUUAUGAUUGAACUUUUGCAACAUCAUAGUCUAGUGAUCCAUACAAACUUAUUAAUUACUGAUAAAUCCUACACCACGCUCGCUAUAUUACUUCCUCCCUCCCAAAUUAUUAUUCGUUUUGACUUUUCUUAAUAUAUAGUUUUUUAUAUGCACCUAAAUAAAUACUAUGUCAAGAUGCAUAUCAAAAGUCAUGUGUCUAGAAAAGCUAAAACGAAUAGUAAUUUAGGAUGGUUUGUAAUUUGGGACGGAUGGAGUAUAUACACAGGCUGACACGGGCAAACUUAAUAUAAGUACAUCGGUCACCUUGUACAGCAGAACCAGUCCACCACUCUAGCUAGCUUCUCACUCUUCACGCACCUGCAGGUGAUGGAGCGUCGUCAUCAUCCUUCCCCGUGAACCACGGCAUCUGAAGCGCGGCCGCGGAGGUGAGCCUGUCCCUGGGGUCGAACUCCAGCAGGCCGCGCAGGACGUCGAAGCCAGCCGGCGAGAGCCGUUCCUCCGGCACCGCGUCCCGUAGGUGGCUCGGCGUCGAGGGCGACACACCUAGCGACAUCAACGACACCUCGUCCGGGAUCCCGAGGAGAUGGACGAUCUCGCCCAGCUGCUCGAACACAUCACUCCCCUGGAAGAUCGGCUUCCCGGCGACGAGUUCCGCCAUGACGCACCCGAGUGACCACAGGUCCACGGGCGCGCUGCAUUCCGUGUCACCCGUGAGCUGCUCCGGUGCCAUGUACCAGAGCGUGCCCUGGACGGGCCCCGAGGUGUCCGGGGGCGGCACGGUCGCCGAGCUGGCGAGGCCGAGGUCGCAGAUCUUCACGGCCCGGCCACGGCCCCGGCCAUCCUCCUUGCCGACGAGGACGUUCCCCGGCUUCAGGUCGCAGUGCACGACGCCGCGCUCGUGCAUCAUCCUCACGCCGCGCAGCAGCCACCUCAUCACGCGGCGCGCCUCGUCCUCCACGAGCGGCCGGCCGGCGUGGCGGCGCGCGCCGACGACGGAAUGCAGGCUGGGACCGGCGUACUCCAUGACGAGGUAGAGCUUAUCAUCCAUCUCCGUGCCGCCGCCGCCGCGCACCACCUCGUGGAGCUCCACCACACCGGGGUUCCCCGCGCACGCCGUGAGCAGCGCGGCCUCGCGCAGGAGCGCCGCCUUCCCGCCGGCGCGCACGGACUUGAUGGCCACCUUCUGGCCAGUGCUGCGGUGGCGCGCCUUCCACACGUCGCCGAAGGCCCCCGCGCCGAUCUUGUCGAGUAUCUUGUACGAAUCGACUCUGCCUAUCGGGAUGUUGUCGAGCACGUUCGUUGUAGCGCCUGGUGCGGUAGUCGAUGACGCAGCUGGUUUUGACCUUUUGGCUGAGGGAACACUCGGUGCCGGUGCAUCGUCCUCAGGACGACGCUUCGGGGCCAACAAGCUGCCUUCCGCUCGCGAUGGAGGCGGACACUUGGAGAGAGGCAUGGGCACAACGGUAGGAGGGCUAGAGCAGAGUGUGGGGUCUAACCUUGUGGGGUGUUGCUUCCUUCUUGUUGCUGAAUUGCUCCACCCGUUAGGCCCAGUGGCUGGAAUUUGACUUGAUAUCAGGUUUCCCCAAGUAGUGUAUUUCUAGGGUUACUAGUAGUCGAAUUGGGGGAAUUUUGCUUACUGGAUCAACUUGCCAAAUUGGGGAUUUUUUUUCAAGAUUUGGAAGGGGCUCAAUUUGAGCAAGGGGGAUUUGAGUUGAGGGGGCGAGGAUCGUCAGUGCUGCUAGAGAUGGAUGAAGUCGGCGGCGGUGACCGGCUUGGUGGUGGGUAGCGGAGUGCGGCGAUGAGGUGGUGGUGGGCACCGCCUACUACCGUAGGCAAACAAGAUGGUGAUGGUUGGAGUUGGUGUCGGAGAUGAGGUUUGAUUUAUGGUGCAGCUGGUGGUGCAGGCGACCGCAUGCGGCACCGAUGUGCUCGGGGCUAACUAGAUUGGUGGAGGUCGUCGGAGUUUAGGAAGAUGCGUCGUCGCUGCAGGACGAACAGAUUUAGGGAAGACAGAGCAAUGGAGCGGAUGGAUUAUAAAAGGGACUGUAGAGUGGUAACGGAUCAAGAUCUAUCUAGUGAAGGCUAACUAUGUUGACAUUUGUCAUGUUGACAGAUGUCCGUAUGGUGAAUGUUCACCAAAAUAGGAUGCAGUGAAUUGCCCUUGUUUAUAUUCUUCUUCCUCCACUUCAUCCCUCGAUACUCCAUCUCUGACCGCAUGACGACACCACCAACCGACUAUCUCGUAGUUACCUUGUGUUUCUACCAUUACCGGCUAGCGGAAAACUCAUUGUGGCUCCUAUCUUGACUAGUAGGGUAGCCCAUUCCCCACUUGUCAUUUUUCAAGCGCUACACACCUACCUGCGUAUAGUCCUCUAACUUACCAAUGGCACGGCCUCGACCUUCCUCUACAUCCAAGAGUGAUGGUGAGAUUCAUUAAUCCUUCCAAAUUAGGUCAUAAACAUGUGCUCCUGCACAUCCUGUAGAUGUUUUAGUUGCUCCAAGGGAAAUCUUUUUGCUGGCUCACAAUUGAAAAAUAUAUUAUAUAUUAGAAAUUCAUAAAAUAAAUUUGAGCCCCACCGCUCAUCAACCAAUCUUCGCCAUGUAAUUAUUUAUGUUCUAGCAUAAUACCCAUUGAGACACUUACAUGAACAGUUAAGAGUUCGUGUGCAUCACUGCACCACAUAGUGAAUGACAUUAUCUUCAACCUUUAUAGGUUGGAAGAAUGAUGUGGGGAUGCAAAGGCGAGCCACAUUAGCUGAGCCUGGUGCACUAGAACAAGCAAUAAAAAGUUUUUCUAGUUGCUACUACCAAAUUUCACCUCAUGUGUGCACAUUGGAUUUAAUAUGGUUUCUUUCGAUCGAAACAAGCUUCUCUUUUAAUCAAAAUAUUUUAGACUUAGGAAUGUUGGCAUCCACUCAACCAUCCUUUAUUACAAAGUUUUCAGCCAUUGCCUCCAUCAUGUCAACAAAUAGCAAAAGCUUCAUAAAAACUAAAACCACCCCUAAAGAUGACAUGCAUAUAUGAAUGUGUUAUUAUUGCCUUAUAAAAAACAAAAUCAUUUAUACUUCACCAAAUAGCCUAACAUAAAGUGCUUGCCUCCAACCCAAACUUAGGAUACAAAAGCUUAAUCUAUUCCCUAUAGCUAAUUUAUAGACAUAUAGCUAUACUUAUAGGUGAUUGUACUAUAUCUAUACACAAUCUAAACAAUUGUUCAAAUAAAUUCUACAAUAUGGCAAUAAAAGAAUCUGAAGUACGCAGCAAUAGAGGGGGUAGAAGCAAUAUCACCAGCAGCAAGGGAGCUGGAAGCCACCAGCCAGUGCUACAUACAGUUUCCACCAAGUCUGUGUUGGUACAGUCAUGAGGCCAUAUAUAGAAUAGUAAACGAUAAGAAAAAUUAUUGCAUGCGGUACAAAUAAAAUGGUACAAGGCAGCAACAAUUUAGCGCAAGCUAAUGUUACACAUGAAUUCACGAAAUGAUAAUAAUACAACAAUCCCAAGAAUGUAUCGAGCUAGCUAUUGCCGCAUUAGCAAAUAUAGGGGCAGAACCAAGAAUCCACUAAGACCCAAGCUAAUUUUCAGUACAGUUAUGGAAAAAAUUUACCUGUUCGAGAACAAAAUUUAUUUCUGAGUCAUAUGCCUAGUGGUACAACGAGCGAAAAUUGAAUAAUAUUGGGGGUUGGAAAAAAACAGGGAAUUACCAUAUUAACACGAGUACGUAAAAAAAAACAAAGGUCGCUUGUCAAUCCUAACAUGCCAUUUCUUUGCCAAAUUCUACAUAUAGAUAAUAUAUAGGAAGACUAUUGCAGGAGGUCAUGAGGUUGAAGAUACCAUUAGUGAACAAACAACUAGCUAGGUUUCUAAAUAUGUAGGCAGAGAAAGAUAGUAAGCAGCAAUUAACAGCAAGCAAGGAAUGGCAUCCCUAGGUAUGUAAUUAACAUGGAGAAAUGGAGACCAUAACCUGAUAUAGUUAGCCACAUCUAGAUAGAUAAAAACUACCAGCAGAUAAAAGCUAGCUAGCUUGGUAUCAAGCAUCUCUUCGUCUACCAAGUAGAGUAACGUACUAAAUCAGGCCACAUUGAGCAAGGAACCUCAUGAAUAAGGAAAUAAAUGCUAAGGAAUGGAUUCAUCUAUCGAACUUGUAGAGCUAGCAGGCAGACAUCUAGGCAGAAGGAACGGAAAGGAGAAGCAGGGGUGAGGCAUGCAAGAAGGAGCAAGACAAGACGUCGUCUCUCCAAUGAUCCAUGGCCUGUUCGCUUCAGCUUAUAAGCCGGCUGAAAAGCUGAAACGGCUGAUUUGUUGUGAGAGGAAAACACUGUUUAGUGGCUGAUAAACCAGCUGAAUAAUCUGAAGCGAACAGGCUGCCAAUCCCCUUCUCAUAAAUAAAAAAAGUACUUCGAAUGGACCAAUGCAUGAGGCGUCGUAGGUAGCACGACUUGGCGGAGUACACAAGCUCCGCAGCACGAAACUUUAGGGUUCCGUGCGGCCGUGUCGACAAGGAGGGGAGAGCAUAGUAGACGGAGUUGACCAAGUGCAUGAAUCAGAAUUAAGAAAUAAAGACCGAAGUAUUUAUUAUUUUCUAUUUGUGACUCCUGGAGAAAUUGGGGGAAAAUAUACUGAAUAGCAUUAUAGGAAAAUAAUCGCAUGGUCCAAAUCCAGGUGGAAUAAUGCCUUUGGGACCGGUGUUAUAUAUCGUUGGUUCAAGAUUUGGUCAUGAUAAUGAGCACAGCGAGAGCCUCCGAGAGGGGUGAAUUAAGCACGGGGACGAGAGCAUGAGGGUUUAAUUAUGUAAGAGUUUGGUCCUGUCUCUCUGAGGUCCAGGCUGUGUAUUGCUCGGUGAUAUAAAGAUUAGAUGGUUGCCCCUCAAGGGCUUGACAGGAGGGGUCAGCAUGGGUUGAUUUGGUAUGCAUGUACAUCGUAGAUUAGGACUUGAUCACUACCUUCUUGCUAAUUCGCAAUAGGCCCCCACGUCGCCCCGCUUGGGUGACUCGGGCGGCGACCGUCCGCCCCGCCGCCACCACCCCUCCCUCCCCUUCCCUCCCCUCGCCGCCGCUGGAGGGCUCGACCGGAAGCCCACGCCGGCCUCAGGACGGCGGCGGCGGGGCCUUACGGCCCUGUUCCGGCCAUGGACAGGGAACAGGCGGCCACGGCGGACCCGCGUCCAGGGCGACGGCGGCAGCUCAGAAAGCUGGAUCCGGCGCCGUGGAGUCCGAAUCCGAUGACGGCGGGCCCGUGCGGAGCCGAGACGGCGGCGGUCGGGCGAGCAGGCGAGAAGGGUGCUAGGACGGAGAAGUGGUGCGGCGCGCCGACCAAGGUGACAGCGGUGGCCCGGGAGGCUGGAUCCGGGCCGGAUCUGGCGAUGGCGGCCCCGCGCGGAGCCGGGACGACGGUCCCAGGCAAGCAGACGCGAAGGGACGCGGAGUGGCGUCGGGCUGCUGCGGGGCAGCGCCUGGGCUGCAGCGCCGGUGGGAGCGGCGAGGUGGUGCGUGGUGCGGGCGCCGACGGAGGCACACCGAGGAGCGGGGGUAGGCGCGGAGCAGCGGCGGGGUGGCGGACGGCGCGGGUGACGAGCUAGUGCGCGGCAGUGGCCGGCCCCCUCUCCAGCAAAGCGACGGGCGGCGCGGCGCCGUCGCGGUGGUGGGGCCGGAGGGUGCUUGUACGUUCGUGGCACCAUGGUGGUGAUGCGUGACGUGCCGGGCUACCAUUCACGGAGGUGACGGGGAACGAGAAGCUGCUGCAGUCGAUGCCCAGCGGUAGUGAGAUGCCAGGAGGUGCGCCGCCGGGUGGAGCGCACGACAGGGAGGAGCGCCACCGACGGCAGGGAGGUGCAGGCGGUGGAGCCGCUAGAGGAGGAGAUGCGGAGGAGGUGCUGGAGGAGGACUCGGGGAGAGGCGCUGUGGCUUGCGGUGGCGUGGAGUGCGGAGGUGGAGGUACGGCGGCGGGAAGUGUGGAGGCGUGGCGGCGGCACCGCCCUGGCUUAGUGGCUGUGGCUGUGGUCUGUGACUGCCAAGCUGAGAGCGUGCAGCGACGGUUGAGAUGCUUCAGGUGAAAGCCCUUGCUGGCUUUUGGGCCGGUGCACAUGACGACGGCGUCCUAGGGCGUCGUUUUCCCUGUUGAGGGCGUCAUGUUGGAGCUACAACCUCCUGCACAGGGGUCCUCCGGGUGAAAAUCCAGUCCAGCUCCUGGACGAGCGACGGCGGCACCACUGGCGUCGUGGCCUCCUUGGAGGCGUCGUCUCUGGAGACCCGACUCAGCUCGGCAUCGCGGGUCCACUGGUCAUAGGCGGCAGCAGCUGGUGGCGGCAACCUCGCUAUGUGGCAAGCUUCAAGGGGGCUGCUGAGCUCACGUGGUGGCAAUCACAGUCAUGGUGGCGACCAGGGAUUGUUGUACAGUUGUCGGUUGGCUGCUUGCAGUGGAUUACGGCGGUUGGCGUUGCUUGGCAACGGCCAGUGCAGCGUGGGAUUGCAUCUUGGGACGGCGCUUGCGGCAGCGGCAUCGUGGGACGACUUGGCUUGCAGCGGACCGCGGCGGGUUUCUCAGCUCGGCUGGGUCAUCCGGUGCGGUACAUCAUCAGAAGACGGCGCAAGGGUACAUCAUCGGAAGACGGCGCAAGCGACAGACUUGGCUCGAUGAAGUGGAUGAAGUGGCGGCAAAGGCUAUGCGCGUGGGUGAAGCAACGACAAGAGGCCAACCUGUGACGGUGGCCCGUCUGUUCGAUGGAGAUCUAGGGAAGCAACACGAGAAACGGAUAUAGGACGUGGAGUUCUGGGAUGAGCGUGGCGAGGCCCCCGCGCGAGAGCGAGAUGGAGUCUAACGGCGGAUGUGGCAAGACCCUCGCGCGUUGUGUACCGUGGUGGCGGCUGCGAGGCAGCUUCUGAGAGAUCCGGAUCUAGUGAUAUCACUUUGUCAGGUGGAGUGUGGUGUCUGCAGCAGCACUUCGACGGAGGGUCCCGCAUGGCGGGGGUCUCCUCGGUGGGGUGCAGUAUGCUCCUGUCAGGUCCCUUGUCGACGCAGGGUCACUUACGGAGGUUUCGGUGUUUAGAUGAGGGUAAUUGUUGGUGGGUGCUGCCAGGACGAGUGGAGUGGGGAGGUCAUAUUUCAGUUGAGUGGAUGUCCCAAUCCAACCGGGUGAGUCCUCUGUUGUUUUUCUUUUUUUUCUUUUCCUGCCUAUGCCCUCCCAUGGUUAUAAUCUUGUAAUUUUCUACUAUAUCAAUGCGUGUAUCCUAGGGUUAUAAUCUUGUAAUUUUCCACUAUAUCAAUAGCGUCGUUCUUUCAAAAAACACUACCUUCUUGCUACCGUAGCGACAUCAGGUAUGUCAUUUGUCGUUCGGCAUGGUACCGUGAGGUGUCAUCCAAGUAGUUGAGUGGUAUAAUGCCUACCCAACAGAGCCAAAUUUCACCAUCUGAGAAAGACGAGAGGAGGGAAUAUGAUCAGCGCAAACACGCAUGUGCACUAGCUCAGCGAGGUGGAAAUGGAAAGAUCCAGGCAGAGAAACACAUGCAUGUGGCAGACAAUUUAGAGAACCCCCAAACUGAAAAAUCCUGCAAAAUUUCGAAAACUUAAUAAAGUAUAAAAAAUCGUGACAUUAUAUAAGCAAGGAAAUUCUUGACAGGCCAUUUUACAUGUUUAGAUUAAUGUAGCUAUUACAAUUUUUGCAACAAAAAAUUUGUGCCUACAAUAAAAGACUGAAGCAACAGGUCACUAGCCAAACUUGGUAUAAAACAUCAGCAUGCCACUGACACUAAGCAAGCAUACUUGCAUUUGUUCAAUCAUGGUUCGUAAUGAUCACUAGCACAAAGAAAACAUUAUUUUACAAGUUUUCUCCUACCCAGCUAGUGUUAGAGCGUGGAGUAACCAACCAUCCGCAUAUUGGACAUCUGAGAACCUAUGAUACUACAUGUUUCCAAAAGGAUUACCCAUGUGUGCAGCUCAGCAGCUAGCAGAGUCCUGUAAGGAUGGCAACCCCUUUUCAAGCGGAAGUUAAUAAGUUUGGGCAUCAACUUCACAUGCAUGGCGCUGUCACCAUUUUUCUUCUCAUUUGCAGGAUCAAGGUGGCUGAAGCCCUUUUGAGGCCUUUUGUUCUGGGACCAAAUGCUGUAUUUGCACUGUAGCUAAAAUAGUAGCUGGUUCUGCAAAUCUCAUGAUUGUAAUAUUUUAGAUUUUGCGGACACUGUAUCCAACUUCUUCUGUUUUCAAGUCCUCAUUCCAGUUCACAAACUCUAACCCUCCAAACUGUACUUGCUUAAUACCAACAUGACUGCAGAAAUCAAACAGAAAAUGGAUGAGAUUGUAUUGUUCUACACAGGAAUAUGAUAACAAAAUUGUUUAUAACAUGAUCGAAUACAGAGCAGUGUCAUCUUGGAAGACAGCCCCUCUAAUUAAUUUUAUAAAAGUUGUUAAGAGGCAGCUGAUAUAUUGUUUUUCAAGAGUAACAACAGUUUGUUAAGUCAUGAUGAGUAAUAAAAAAAGUGUGUUAAUUCCUAUUGGCGUGCCAAAUGCUUUCAGGUAGCCCCAAAAGCUGAACUUGCCCAACUACAGGAGCGGCUUUCGAGAAAGGAUUACAUUUCACACUCCAUUGACAUCAGUUUCCAAAUCAAUAGUUACUACUUCCCUUAAGAUAAAAUGAAAAGUUCUGUUUUCUUCUCCUUAAAAAAGAAGGUUCAGUUUGCUUCUCCAAAGAGAAGAAAAGUGAAUGCUGUGGAGCACAAUGCACACAAACAUGGCAGGUGGGCAAAACAUGGAUUCAACUUUUAGGGUUGCCAAACAAAAACCAGAGGGAAAUAUAAAUAUGCAAGUGCACCAUAUGUUAGAAACCAGAUCGUGAUGAGCAGAAAUCACAUUGUACACAGUAAAUAACCAAAAUAUUGACAAUUCAAAAGUCUGGUUCUUACUCUGAACUUAUGGUCGUUAAGGCAUUAAGUAGGAUGUCCAAAAGCAAUGGCUCAUGAAUACCAAUGUCUACCCUGUGCAAGUCAAUAAGAUGAAGGUAAACAGUCAUGGGAAAUAUCAAUGUGAUUACAACUUGAAAAAGUAUACAUUUGCGAUAUUUCGGUCUAGAAUAAAUAUUUGUCUGAAAGAGGUUAAAGAGGAAAUAUGGCACAUGAACCAAACAUAACUGAGCAAAUAUGGUAUGGCAUUGUUUCAAUACAUGGUGCAAAAAGGUACAAUUGCACGGAAAGACUUAUGGCUUUCUAGGAAGUCAUACAACUCCAAUGUACUAGGCUUAAAUGGUAGUUAUUAUUUUUUUCAGCCAAAGUGGUCCAGCAAGCUUAUUGCACCACAAAAUUCAUAAAUCAUGUAAAAAUGGUUUGUCAUGAUUCACAUCAACAAAAUUUAUGCCGUGAGUGCUCUGUUUGCAAGUUAUGGUAUUUUUCAUAAGCUUGCUGAUAUAAACAGUUAAUGUCUGCAAUCCAGAAUGAUGUGAGAACAGAUGGAACUAAUAAAAGAAUCAGAGGACGGGGAAACCAAAACAACACCCUUGUUCAAAACGUUAUGAUAUUUCACAUGGCAACAUAAAAAGGUUACAGUCUACAGUUGUAAAGGCUGCUUAGAAGAAAAAUAGUACAUACCAUACACGUGCUAGAUUAUCUUGAAUCUCAAGAUUACCAAUGUUAUAAAAUGAUGUUGGAGUGACGUUAGCUCCUUCAAGAGCAUCAUAAGUCGGCCUUUUGCAAUCUAAAGGCAACUGCGAUAGCUGUAAAAUAAACAAGUAUUUUUUAAGCCACUUAUUGCAAAGCAUAGAAGUUCGAUCAAAGCAUUUUUAAGCUACCGAAAUUUUGAAGGAAAGAACAGAGGUCAUUUUUUUUACAUUCUUACUAAUGGCAGGAUUAUGUUAUCCUGACUAGUAUGAUCCACUCUGUUUCCUUACUAUAUUUGAAGGACAUGACAAGAAAAAAGAAUGCUGCCCACAAUAACAUUGGAAAAGUGACAGAGUAAAUCUGGAGCAGCAAAUUUACCUGCAUAUUCAUAGAAUUGCAGCCACCAAGGCGCCCAACUAUAUGCCAAGAACGUAGAGCCUGCAAGCAUGAUAAAAAGGGAAGUUGCAAAACAUUCUGAAUAAACAUGUGUAUAGAUCUGAUACACACUAUGCUUUUUAUUUAUAGCGUGAUCAAUACUUUCCUUUGGAAAAAAAGAAAUAGAGAGCAAGAACUUACAUCAGAAAUUAAGGUAGCAUCUUUUGGCAACAAAGCAUUGUUGAAUUCGAACCAUAUAUAUGAAUUGGAGAAGUCAAAUCUAGAACAGGAAACAACCACAAAUCCAAAUUCAGUAAGCAAUUAAGGAAUACCUCCAAAUGAUUGUUGAUUGUCAAGUUUUACUCCUACAUUGAUCAUUAUAAGGCACUUGAGAUUAAAUUUGUGACAUCUAACAAAUAGUUGAUCCAACAACACAUAGGUUUUGUGACACAAGAGUGACAAUGUUGGGUUUGCACUUGGAUUUAUAGACAAUAAUAAUAUAAUACAUUGUCAAAAAAUUAACAUUAGAAGUUCGAUUUAGGAGACCAAUUUUGUAAACGAAAAUUUGGAGAGUGAUCAGGUCAAACUGCACAGUAUAAACGAGCAAGCUAGCUAAUUGGAUUUUGCACACACAUCUGGCAGCAUGAGAGAAGCACAUUACUUGUUGAAGACGACCUUCAUGGUGUUGGGCGAGCCGGUCUUGGCCUGCACGAUCUUGUGGCGCUUCUUCCUUAUCCUCUCCUCCAUCUGCGCAACGGCACAAGGCACCAAACAAACACCAAAUUAUUCAACCGAGAGAAUCAGACGGGAAAAGCAAUUCAGUCAUCAGAGGAUGAGAGGAAGAAGGGGGAAGAGAAGGCAGGGGACACCGACGCGGUUCUGGGCCUUCUUGGGGUCGUCGAAGUAGUCCCCCAUGAUGUCCCCUAUCUCGGGGUCAUGGUCGUAGUCCUCCUCCUCGCCGCCGCCGCCCUCCCAACGCGGGAAACCUUCGUCCUGGAGCUCGGCUUCGUCCUCGUCGUCGCCCUCCGCGGCGGCUGACGCGCUCACCGCCUCCCCCGCCCCCGCAGCGUGCCGUCGGGCGACGAGGCGGGACGCGUGCCUGAGGCGAGCGUGGAAGGCAGCAGCGAGGCGCGCGCUUGAGCUCGGGGCUGCUGCUGUUGAGGGUGGGAGGAGCGGCGGCGGGUAGGCGGCCAGGUAGCCGCCGAGGAGCGCAGGGAGCAUGGCUGGUGCCCGCUGCGCUAAGAUGUUCCUGCUGUCGCUCGGAAUUAUGCCGCGUGCGCGUGCGCUUUGUGCUGCUUGCUUGCCGCUGGGGCGCACCGGCGAGUAGUCGGCGUCGCGGCUGGCUAGCACCAGACAGCAGUGUAGCAGUAACUGCUGUGGAUGGGGGUAGCAAACAGAGGAGGGGAGAGGGGGUGAUGGAGCAGCUGGACAGUGCGUGAUGGGCCGGUGGUGUAGGCAAGAACAACGGGUCCAUCUUUUUUUUAGAACGAACAACGGGCCCAUCGUCGGCCUACUGGGCUUUACAAUUACCGAGGACACCUACCUCCGCUAAACUUUCUUCUAGUUUCUACGCGGCUGGAAUUGGAGUUGCAGCUUUUAAAUUUUUCUGAAAAUCUGCUGACUUUUUGUCUGAAAACCAACACUAAUUUUUAAAAUAUAUGUUUAACUUUCUGAACUUAAAAGUUACAAAAAUGUGAGAAAAAAAUUGAGUUUUUCAACUUCCCAUAUAAACUUAACUUUUCUAAGACUGCACGAGAAGUUUACUGUUUGUUUGAACUUCUGACUUUUCAUACCGAGAAUCUACCCAAAAGCUCAAACAAACAGGGUCCAAGGCUUCGAGCUUCUGGACAGCUUCUUAUUAUGAAAAGCCAAAAGUUCAAACAAACAUAAACUUCCUACGUAGUUAUCGAAAAGUUAGAAGUAAAAAAAAAUUAAGUUUGUAUGAAAAGUUGAAAAGCCUUAAAUUUUCAUAGCUUUUAGUGCAAAUAAUUAAAAACAUCUUCUAAAAAUUAUUGUUGGUUUCUCAAAACAUAAAAAGUCAGCUACGGCUUUUCAGGAAACUCCAAAAUCUACAUGCUCAAACAAAAGUACCGUAAUAAAGGUUUGCAUAUCCAACUGCAGAACCACCAUCCCACCAAGCUUCUUCGGGGGCGGGCGGGUAGUGAAGCAGAUAAGUACUCAGGGCUGCCGCUGGCCGGGUCAACUAUCAUCUCGAUUCUAUUAACACAUCGGGUCUGUUCACUUCAGCUUAUUCAGCUGGCUUAUCAGCCACCAAAUAGUAUUUUCCUUUCACAACAAAUCAGCCGUUUCAGCUUUUCUUCCAGCUUAUAAGCUGAAGCAAACAGGCCCGGUAUCUAUCAAAGAGCAUGUCUUUAUCAAGGACAGAAGGCACCGAGGCUGAGGCAUUGCGGGCUGCGGCCGUGCCGCCGGGUCCGAUCGUCGGACAGCAGAAAGGCUGGCAAGAGACCAUCGGUCAUCUCCGUUGCCAACUAGGCGCUCUGGCGCGUGUGAAGGCCGGGAAGCCAUGUCGGCAACUGGGGAGUGCGUGCGCGCUCGCCCGCGGCGUAGGAGCUCGGUUCUGUGCCGGUGCCGGCCACCUCCGACCGAUGAGGUGCUUACCAGUGCUCCGGCUUCUUCCAGAACUAAGAUUCUAUGUACCCUGCAGUACCAAUAGGUGUUAUCCUGUACAUUCAUUUUGGAUUCAGUCCUGUUUCGAGAUCCGUGAAAGGGUGCAGGUGGGGUUUAGUAGUAUGGCAUUAUGUCCCGUCACGUAUGCUAUACGGUACGUAUUAAGUAUGUGUACAUGAUCCAUACGUUUGGUAUACAUAAUGAGUAGGCUGGUACAACUCUCCCAAGAUUUCAAAAUCAUUCAAACCUCUUUCUCCCUCUCUCUCCUCCCAUCCUGUCUCCUCUCUGCGGGAAACCGGCGGCGAGCGCGAGGUGUGGGCCGACGCGGGCAAGACGGCGGCGCGGCCACCGGUGGUUGGAUUCGGCACGACGCAGGCCCGGGAUGCUCGCCAGCAUCUAGAUCCGCACAGUCGCGGGCCGAUGCGCGCCCGACGGCAGAUAGAUCCGGCGCGGAGGGUGCAACGGCCGAGGCUUGAGUACCGGUGUCGGAGCGCAGACGGCGUCUGCGAAGGUCAGGGUAGGCCCGACUAGCCGGCGCGGCCCCGAACAGCGAUGGAGGCAGUGGGCGUCGGCCCCCGAACAGCGAUAGGAGGGGCUGCGGGGUUGAUGCCUGAUGCGGUCACCGGAUCCAGCUACGACGCAACCACUUCGUCCUAGCCGCGGGGGACGUCAGCGUCUUGCGGCCCGGCUAGGUCCCGAGCUCUUGCGCCAAAUCCGAUCAGCUCCAACUCCUCCUCCGAGCGACGGCAGGCAUCCCCUUCCCGUUGGCCGCUGGCUCCACGAGCAUGACGGCAAGGGCAAGGGCGGAACGGCGGCAGCGGCAGCGGCACGGCAUCUCGGCGCGAGCACAGGGCCUUCGGCGCUCAUCUCGGCACAAGCGUGGAUGCGCUGCCGAUAGCGGUGGGAUGCGAGGUCGAGCAGGGUUAGCCGGCGUCCUAGCUCCCGGCGCGGCUUGAGGAUCCGCGCCCCUCGCCGUGCCCCGGCAGGCGGUCGGGCGGCUAGCGGCUCGGUGGCGGUGGUCUCGCACGGUGUGGGGCCGGUGGGCGACCAGAGGUGCUCCUCGCACUCCGUCUCCCCGAGCGCUAGUGCUGGGCUGCUAUCGGAGUGGCGGCGCAUGGCGUGGCUGCGGUGGGAGUGGCUGCAAGGACCACCAUGCGCGAGCGGGGAGCGGUGGCCCAACGUGGUGCGGGGUCCAUGGCUCCUGGUAGCUACGAUGACGAGCGCGAGGACCGGAUGAGGAGCAACGCAUGCUGGGCUCGGGGUCGGUGGUGGGUCCGACGGAGCAGAGCCUGGGGUCUCCCAUGGGCAAUGCAUCGGCAAGGUUGUUGCCUACCAGCUCGGCGCACCCAUGUGGCCAGCACUCAUCCUCCAGCUCUGAGUUCCUUCACAUGCGUUAUCCGUGUACGUGUGUUUUCUUCCUGAUUCCUGCUCGUUCAUGGGUUUCUUAUUUCUUUCUUAUUUUUUUCGUUACCAAUUAACCUUUCUUGUUUUUUUUGCCCCAGCUCCUCCAUCUAUUUUUGGAUUGCGCCCCGAAGUUAUGCUUAGAUGGUUAUGCUUGUUGCAAACUAUUUAUUUUCCUUCCUUCCAUCUUCUUAUUUGUUUUGAAGGUGAAUGCCAAUAGUAUACAAUAGAUUCUAGCAUAUUUGUACAAAGUUCUUGGGAAAUUGUUUUACGAAAUAUGUUCGUAAUUAUUGGUUUGGUGGAACACAUAAGAAAGGUUCAUGGUUGUUGGUUUGGUUCUCUUAUUUGCUUGUGUUUUUUUCCUCCGUGUUAGCAGGUUAUUUUCUUCUGUGAAGUAAAUGUUUUCUUAUUUCUUAUCUGCAAUAAUUUAAUUUUUUGUAAUUCAGAUUUGCGAGGUACUAGCUGAGGCCAAAGUGAUAAUAUAGAAGUUAGAGUACAUAGGGUGUGUAUGAAGUACAUUUGAUGAAACGGGGUUAUACCUUGACUGCACAUUGAUACUCGAGCAGCAAUCAUAGGGGUGUACAAAAUUGUGCAUAUGGUGCAAUGGUGAUGUAUCUGUGACAAUACAUAGGGUGUGCAAGGAUGUGCAUAUGUUGCAAUGGUGAUGUACCAGUGAUCAGUGUGAGAUCGUAUGGGAGUCCGGUAGUGUAUGAUCUCGUUACACGUGAUUGUUGUAACAAAUAUCACAAAAAAUUAAUAGGGAGAGAAAAAGUUGCAUGGGAGAUAAAGUUCUUGGAGGGGUGGAUGUCACCCAAAAUUAAUGGUGCUAGAAAAGCUGCAGCACAUGUGGCAGAGGGAGUCGUGGGAGGGUUGCCUUAGUUACAACUUUAGCGGUUCUCGAGACGCUUUAUGAAUACACGCGUGUCACAUAUAUGCGUCGGAAAAAAUCAAAAUACUAAAAUACAUUGACUAGAGACAAAAGGGCACACGUCUCGGUACAGAACAUCAGAUUGCUUCCAUCAUACCUGCAUGGUGUGCGUACAGGACAUUAACCGCUUCUUCCAUCUCUUCCAUUAGCUCCCGGUGUUCUCUGCCUCCCAUUCGCACAUGCACGGAUCGCCACGUCGACGCGACCCGCGGUCGUCGUCGGCUUUAACCCUUUCCUACUUUUGGCCCAACACAGGCCACGCGGUCCGGCCCACCGAAUCCAGCGCGACCCUCCCUCCUCUUUAUCCCAGCCCGGAAAAGGCGACCAAAUCUCGCUCGCCUCCCCACCUCCGUGGCUCCGUCGUGACGGUGCGCCACCCCCCGUCCGACGUCACCGCCCUGCCAGUCUGUCACGUGCCGGGGGCACCGCACCACCCGCCGUCGGAUCCCCCUCCCCACUCUUCUCCCCCGCAGCGCGGCAGCAGCUGCCAUGGAUCUGCUCCCGCCGCCGACGGACGCGCCGGCCGCCGGCGGCCCCGGCGCGGGGGGCUCCGGCCGGGGGCUGCGGCGCGGGGUCGGGUUCCGGUCGCUGAAGCUGGUCAGCGUCGCCAUGGACGAGCCCCUGCCCGUCGACCCCGUCGGCGCCACCUACGGCCGCCUCCCCAACGGCCUGACCUACUACGUCCGCUCCAAUCCCAAGCCGCGCAUGCGCGCCGCGCUCUCGCUCGCCGUCAAGGUCGGGUCAGUGCUACUCACCUCCGUGGUUUCGUCAUCCCCACUAGUCGUUGCUUCGCUUAUCCCCUUCGCGCGUUUGCUGACGGCGAUGCUGUGCUCGGCGGUUGCCUCGUAGGUCGGUGGUGGAGGAGGAGGAUGAGCGCGGGGUGGCGCACAUCGUGGAGCACCUCGCCUUCAGCGCCACUUCGAGGUACACCAACCACGAUAUCGUCAAGUUCCUCGAGAGCAUCGGGGCCGAGUUCGGCGCCUGCCAGAACGCGCUCACCUCAUCCGACGAGACCAUCUAUGAGCUGCUUGUGCCCGUCGACAAGCCAGGCCUGCUCUCCCAGGCCAUCUCUGUCCUCGCAGAAUUCAGCUCCGAGGUCAGUAUUGGGUUAUGUUUGGCUUGCAAAUGCAAUGUUGGCUGAUUAUUGAGAGCUUGAUGACUGAUUGAUGCCUGGAAAUUAAUGGUGGUUACAAGGUCCGGGUGUCGGCAGAGGAUCUGGAGAAAGAGAGAGGUGCUGUGCUGGAGGAGUACAGGGGUGGACGCAAUGCCACAGGGCGGAUGCAGGACUCCCACUGGGCGCUGUUGUUUGAAGGUUCCAAGGUACUAGUCUCUGUCUUCACUAAACUGAAAAUUCUGUGGGCUGCGAUGACAUCACUUGUUACAUUGCAUACUUUUUGUGCACAAUAGGUAGGGUAAACAUGUAUUAUUGAAGGCAUUCACUUUGCUGUUGUGGGUUUGGUCUCAUUGCAUUUAAAUUUGGAUUACCUUUUUAUGCGUUUUGUGUUGCUGUGUUUGGAGCUGCAAGUUCCUGAAUGGUAUUUCUUGUUAAUUUUCUCUGUACCAGUAUGCAGAACGCCUGCCAAUUGGUACUGAGAAGGUCAUACGAACCGUUCCGCAUGAAACUGUGAAGCGAUUUUAUCAGAAGUGGUACCAUUUAAGCAAUAUGGCUGUAUUUGCAGUGGGAGAUUUCCCAGAUACACAGGUUUGGAUUUUGCAUAUCUUGUCACACUCAGUACAACUACAAGAAUUUAUCUGCAAUGAUGUUUACCCUCCUUUAUAUUCCAUGACUUAAUUCCAGGCAGUCGUUGAGUUGAUAAAGGAGCAUUUUGGGCAGAAAGCCCCAGCUCCCCUCCCUCCGCCAGCUAUACCUGAAUUUCGAGUUCCAUCGCAUGAGGAACCUCGCUUUUCAUGCUUUGUGGAAUCCGAAGCUGCAGGGGUUGGUAUUUUAUAGCCUUUUAAACAGAUUCGAUAUCUUUUAGGGCAGCAAUCAAUAAUAAUUUACUGUUUUAUUUUCCUUGUACAAAAAACAGUCAGCUGUUGUUAUUAGCUGCAAAAUGCCUGCUGGUGAAAUUAAAACAGUAAAGGACUACAAGGAUUCACUGGCAGAGUCCAUGUUUCAUUGUGCACUAAACCAGAGGCUCUUCAAAAUAUCUCGUGGAAAGGACCCUCCAUACUUCUCUUGCUCCUCAGCUGCAGAUGCUCUCGUCCGCCCUGUAAAGGCUUAUAUUAUGACAUCCAGUUGCCGUGAAAGGGGAACAGUUGAAGCUCUUGAGUCCAUGCUUCUUGAGGUACUUUUGAACUUUGAUCUCUGAAAGAAUAAGAUACAUAUAGUGUUUUAUUGCAGUGCACUGUUCAAGCUUAUGUGUGAAUAUUCAGUGUAAAUGCCCCCAAAAGUGAAAAAACGUGUGAAAAUUGGUUUGCAAAGCUUUAGAAGUUUCCUAAAGAAGGACCAUCUAUAGGGCAUGGUAUUUAUGAUAGCCAUGCAAAAUCAUAACAUCAUAUAUUGAUCACUUUUUUGAGAUAUGGGAAAUGCAAAUACCAAGUGAAAACAGGUCAUGUUCCUUCGGGCAGUGUUCAAUCCUGGUAAAAGCCUUCAUGUCUUGUAGUAUAAUAACAAAUAAUCUAGUGUGCUAUGCCAAUAUGCCAUCGACUGAUUAGAUGUUCUGCAACUAUUCUUCUCUUAGUGGCAUCUGCUUAGUACGGCAGAUGUUUUAUCAUUGGCACACUAACAAUCAUAUGUAAAUGUUGAUAUCUGAAUUUGAGGUUGUUAUCUGACUACCACUUUCUCCAAUUUCGAGAUGACAUUUUGUUUCAAGAACAUCUUUCUGACAGGAUGUUUCUUUAGGUUGCUAGGGUACGACUCCAUGGAUUUUCUGAUCGUGAGAUAUCCAUUGUACGCGCCUUAAUGAUGUCAGAGAUGGAGUCUGCAUAUUUGGAGCGUGAUCAAAUGCAAUCGACCAGCUUACGGGAUGAAUUUUUGCAGGUUCUUGAAAUCUUAUAGCUAUUUGACACCACAAAGACUUAUUCAUUUGCAUGCCAAUUGCAAUCCAGUCCGUACUUCUAUUUUCAUAUGACUUUACUUCAAUAAUAUUGGACUAGUACUAAGUCCACAUGUUUGCCUACUAUUUAAAUGAAAUUUCAUGAUCUUCAUCUACAGCUUCUAAGCAUAUUAAUAUCAUUUAUAUUUUUCUUGCAGCAUUUUCUUCGUGAGGAGCCUGUUGUUGGGAUUGAAUAUGAAGCACAGUUACAGAAGACUCUUCUUCCCCGUAAGUACACCUCUUUGUUACUUAGUGUCAGAGCUUAGGCGGUAAAUUUCUGAUCUCACUUACCUGCUCACUCAUGGCCUCAUAAUCCUUUAUAACCAUUUAAUUGCUUAUUAAUCUACAUAUCAUCACUUGUAUCACUGCAGUUAUUUAAUUGUCUGUAUAUUACUUUCAACCAGAUAUUUCUUCUGCGGAAGUGGCAAAAUUUGCAGAAAAUUUUUCAACAGCCAGCAGCUGUGUUAUCAAGAUAGUUGAACCUCGAGCUCAUGCUUCUUUGGAGGAUCUUAAAGCAGUUGUAUUGAAAGUCAACAGUCUAGAAGAAGAAAAGUCUAUUCCUCCAUGGGAUGAAGAGCAAAUUCCAGAAGAAAUAGUUGCUGAAGCUCCAGAGCCAGGGUAUUCUUAGCUUUUCCAUGUCAGCCAUCUAUUUCAUUAUCUAUAUCAACCAUCUUCUUGUUCUUAAAUCUUAAUUAGUUGUGUUGAAUUCAUCCUCUCUCAUUUCAGUAUGUGAAUGAUGCCUGCUAUUGUACAAAUUAAUUGCAGGAGUAUAAUUGAUAAGGUGGAGCACCCUGGGAUUGUUGCCACUGAGAUGAUACUUUCAAAUGGCAUGCGGAUUUGUUACAAGUAUACUGAUUUUCUUGAUGAUCAGGUUUGUGGUUUCUAUCAACUUUAUGUCAUCGUGCAGUCUGCUAGUUCCAGGCAGGCAGGCACUCCCAUCUUUUAUUCUAUGGAAUCACUUAGUCUCUGAUAUGGACAUAUAGAAUACAUUCUCUCCAACAUAUACCACAAGUGUCAACUGCAUGCCACACUCUAUAUCUAUGUUAGUUUUUAUUUUACUGCAUACACACAUAAUUUGCCACAUGAAAGUAAUUGAUCUGAUGGGGAUUAAUUCCGGAUAUUCUGGGAUUCUUCAGAAUACAGCAUAAGUUGGUCUUGGGAUGUUUCUACAUUUUAAAUGAUUAACAUGAUUCCCUUGAUAGUGCCAUGAAAUAUGUAGUUUCCCAUGUUUUUUUCUGAUGUGUGAAGGGAAGUAAUUUUAUCUGCACUAAAAACGUUUUGCAUGUUUGUUUGUACUUCUGGUUAGCAUAAUCACAUGAAUCUAUUGUAUUUGCACAUUGAAUAAUUGCUUCAUAAGAACUAAAUUUAUGCAUACCAACAAAAGCAAGCUGCAGCAGUUUUUUGGAAGUUAUUACUAGAAUGUUUCCUUAAUUCCUUGAAGCUCCAGAGGCACUUCUUUUCAUCAUUGUGCCAGUGGAAGAAAAUAGCAAAUAAGUGAGAUGUAGGUGAAAUAAAAAAACAUAUGCAAUAUUCAAUAUAGACUGGAAGGAAAUUGUUUAGUAAAUAGUUAUCUAAUUACCAUGUGAACUCAUGCACUAUAGAAUGCAUAAUUUAUACAUUUGUUGUAGGACCCUUCCUUUAUAAAUUUUCUUGACCUAGUUCUCUGUCCUAUAGUUAAAGAAAACUGCAUCUGAUACUGUCAUUUUAACUCUUUUGUUCUGUAUCAUCUGAUGUAUUUGUGAAAGGGCAUCUUUGAUUUAGGAAAUUAAUGCCAGUGCUUCCCCCGUUCUUCCAGACAUGCUGAGCUCCCCAAAUUUUUGUACAUUCAGAAAAGGAAUUGAUUAGUUAAAGAUGGGAUCGACCAGUAAAUAGAAAAUUACUGAUAUUUCAUCCUUCUGACAUUGUCAAUUUUGUACCAAAGGCGUAUUUUGAGUAUACCGAAUUAGUAUAGUUAUCCUUCCUAUGGCAUAGCAAUCCAGUUUUGCUUGGUCCCGAAACAGAAUUCCUUUUUUCUCUUAUUUAUUCCUUUCUAUAGGGAAAUCACAUGUUAUUCAAGGCAGCAAUAGAACCCCACAACCUUGAACAUUUCAUUUGUCCUCCCAAGUUAUGUUAUUGUUAUACUAAAUUCCCAGUCUAAUUUUUCCAUGGUGCAUUAUUGUUUGCUUUAGAGGUGCAUUUACCAUUUUGCUUCUGCUGUGUUGUUUAGUGCUAUGUUUCAAGUCUUUAUAUGCUUAUCUAUUUUCAGGUUGUUUUUACUGGCUUUGCCUAUGGUGGUCUAUCAGAAUUAUCUGAAGCUGAGUAUACUUCAUGCUCAAUGGGUUCGACCAUAGCAGGAGAAAUUGGCACUUUUGGCUACAGGCCUUCUGUCUUGAUGGACAUGCUUGCUGGCAAGAGAGCUGAAGUUGGUACAAAAGUGGGGGCUUACAUGAGAACAUUUUCAGGCGAUUGCUCACCUUCUGACCUUGAGACAGCUUUGCAGGUUUGCUUCUGCUUCAAGCAUUGUUAGAUACAUGCACAAUUCAACACUGAAAUGCGGUUUCAACUAUAGCAAUAACAUCACUUGUUUCUUUGUUUUUUAUUGGAUACAGCUGGUUUAUCAACUAUUUAUAACAAAUGUUGAGCCAAGGGAGGAAGAAGUAAAAAUAGUGAUGCAAAUGGCAGAGGAAGCAAUCUAUGCUCAAGAGCGGGAUCCAUACACUGCAUUUGCGAAUCGUGUUCGGGAAAUAAAUUACGGGAACUCAUACUUUUUUAAGGUACUUAACUGAGUGAAGAGUAAUCAGUUUCAAUGCUUUAUAUCCUAACUGGGUGAGCAUUAAUCAGUUUCAAUGCUUUAUAUCCUAGAAGUUUACUCAAGUUCUAUAAUGCAGCCAAUUAGAAUAAGUGACCUGAAGAAGGUGGAUCCAAUUAGAGCAUGUGAAUAUUUCAACAAUUGUUUCAAGGAUCCAUCAGCUUUUACAGUUGUAAUAGUUGGAAAAAUAGACCCAGCUAUCUCACUUCCACUGAUUUUGCAGUACUUGGUAUGUCCUGGUCUUUUUCUUAUUGUUCUGAAACAAUGAAGCGACUCUUUUAAUAUGCUCAUUAACUUCACUUUUUGUAGGGUGGGAUACCUAGGGUACAGGAUGCUGCUCAACCACUUAGUCGUGAUGAUCUCAGAGGAUUGCCAUUUAAGUUUCCAGCAACAAUCAUUAGGUACCCCGAUGUUCUGUUUUACAUUGCUAUACUUUGGAAGAUUUACCUGUAUGUGUUUGUGUCAGACGUCCACAGCAAGCAAUCUCUUUGUCUUCCCUGAAUACCUUUUGAUUACUGAUAAUCUUACUCUGACUGUACACCUUAUUUCAGAGAAGUUGUGCGCAGCCCUAUGGUUGAAGCGCAGUGCUUCGUGCAACUAGCAUUUCCUGUUGUUCUAAAGAAUACAAUGAUGGUGAGUACUGAGUAGCAACUGAAACAGUGUCAUUGUUCAUGUUAAUGAUUAAGUGCUGUAUCUCCAUCUUAACAUGUAUUCUUCUGUGUGUGUAGACAGAAGAUAUUCACUAUGUUGGAUUUCUAAGUAAACUUCUGGAAACAAAAAUCAUGCAAGUACUUCGCUUCAAAUAUGGGCAGGUUAGGAAUCUUUUUUAUAUGCAAAUCUAGAUAGGGCAUUCCUUAAACUGGAGUCUAGAAUCUGGGUUUCCUUAAACAUGUCUUCAUAUUCUGCAGGUCUACUCAGUUAAUGUAGCUGUCUUCUUGGGUGGCAACAAACCUUCAAGAACUGGAGAUGUUCGUGGAGACAUAAGCGUAAAUUUCUCAUGUGAUCCAGACAUAUCAUCUAAACUGGUAUGCAACACCAAAUCAUCAUCUUUCUGAAUAGCAUAUAUCCAGCAGCUUCUUAUAUGCAGCUUGAUUUCACCAACUCAGAAUUUCUCCAGGUUGAUUUCGUUCUGGAGGAGAUAUCAUACCUACAGGCUGAAGGUCCUUCUGAAGAAGAUGUGUUGACCAUCCUCGAAAUUGAACAAAGAGCUCAUGAAAAUGGAUUACAGGUUUAGUUUAAUCUGUAACACUCAAAUGAAAUGCUGAUGCACAUAGGUAAUUAUUACUGUAGUUAUAGCUCUCGUAUCUUUUAUAAAUCGCAGGAGAAUUACUUCUGGUUGGAUCGAAUUCUGCGGAGCUAUCAGUCAAGGCUCUUUUCUGGAGAUAUCGGAUCCACCUUUGCGGUAAUACUGAUUUUCCUUUUUAUGGUUCAGUGCCCUAGCAUGAGUUUCAUUCAGUUUCUUUCCUGACACAAUGUGAGGCAUCAAAAUGUUGAUCAGCAGAACCAUAUAUAUGCUUCGCUUUUUAGCUGCAUUGCAAGCAAUGCUAUUGAACUGUUAUACAUGCUUGGCAGUCUACUUUUUUGUUUUACUGUGAGUUUCAUAUUUGAAAUGUUGCUCAUUGGUUUCUUUCUUUGUGCAGUUCCAAGAGGAGGGGCGUAUGAAGGUUAGAGAGGCUUUGACACCGCAGACGAUGCAAUCAGCCUUGCAGCGAGUUCUACCUUUCCCUUGCAGAAAUCAAUACACCGUGGUUAUUCUUAUGCCAAAGUCAUCCUGUUGGGCGUCAGUGAAGUCAAUGCUUAGCUGGAGCUCUAAUGGGGUUAGCAGAGAUGCUAAGGUUCGUAUCAAACAUUUCAUUUAUUUACAACAUCUUAUUCUCUUUUCACCUGUGGUGAAGAAAUCAAGCAUCCUGAGCCUGAGGCCCACUUCCUUGCAGAUUCUUGCUGGCAUCGCUGGUGCACUGGUCUUGGCAGUUAGUUUGUGGAGAUACUCUCGCAGCACGCUAAAAUCAUAGUGCCUGAUACAACUGACCGUUUUUUGAGUCAUCCUGUCAGAUCCGAAAAUGGAUUGACAAUCAGGUUAGGAACUGAUAUACGAGCCUGUCAACACGAUCUUUGUUUCUACCUGAGCACCUGCUGGGUUUGUGGAGAUUGGGCUAUAGAAGAUCCAUACUAGGACAAAAUUGUUAGCUAACAGAUUCGUUGCCACAUGUGUGCGUGUAGUAAGCAUGUAACCACAUUCGUCAUACCGCCACAUGUGUGCUCUGUAAUAGCCCUUGGUGUAUGAUAUUGGCUCCCCCAUUUGAUUUCCAUAGACAGGACUGAAGUAGCAGUCAGCAAUGCUAGAGUGGUGGAAACCCAACGGGCCAACGGUGUAGAUUCAUACUGGUCUCAUUUUUGUUGACAGCUUUGUGUACCUAUACGUCUUUCUGACGACUCAGAAUGAGGAAGAUAGGAUGAACUGGAAAUAAAAUGGGGUCUUUCUUUUACGCCCUGGUUUGUCUCCGCAGACCGCAGCUGUGAUGUUGGCAUGGCAAACACGUGUCUUGGUUUCAUUACUUGAUCCGAAACGCGAUAAUGCAAGUGGGGGUGUUUGGAUAAAGUUUAGCACAUGUUACAUCGGAUAUUUGGAUGCUAAUUAAGAGUAUUAAAUCAGGCUAAUUACAAAAUUAAUUGCAUAGAUUUGCGAGAAGAAUCUAUUAAACCUAAUUAGUUCAUGAUUUGAUAAUGUGGUGCUACAGUAACCAUUUGCUAAUGAUGGAUUAAUUAGGUGUAAUAGAUUCGUCUCGUGAAUUAGCACAAAGUUCUGCAAAAUUAGCACCUGUUACAUCGGAUAUUUGGAUGCUAAUUAAGAGUAUUAAAUCAGGCUAAUUACAAAAUUAAUUGCAUAGAUUUGCGAGAAGAAUCUAUUAAACCUAAUUAGUUCAUGAUUUGAUAAUGUAGUGCUACAGUAACCAUUUGCUAAUGAUGGAUUAAUUAGGUGUAAUAGAUUCGUCUCGUGAAUUAGCACAAAGUUCUGCAAAAUUAGCACCUGUUACAUCGGAUAUUUGGAUGCUAAUUAAGAGUAUUAAAUCAGGCUAAUUACAAAAUUAAUUGCAUAGAUUUGCGAGAAGAAUCUAUUAAACCUAAUUAGUUCAUGAUUUGAUAAUGUGGUGCUACAGUAACCAUUUGCUAAUGAUGAAUUAAUUAGGUGUAAUAGAUUCGUCUCGUGAAUUAGCACAAGGUUCUGCAAUCAUGUUUAGUAUUUUUAAUUAGUAUCCGAAUAUCCGAUGUGACACUGCACCUAAAUAUCCACGCACCCAGAAUGAUUCAUCUUGAUUUUGUGCAAGGAAUGAUUCAUCUUGAUUUUGUGCACGGAUGAACACACCUAGUGACACGUGGGGAACAGCAGGAGCCCUGGCGUACAAGUUUCGGAUAAAGGAGCAGGAGUGGAAUUGACAAAAGCGGGCGUGCCUGGCCCACGGCCACGAUCUGCACCGACCAAGCUGGUGAUCUGGCAUUCCCAGGCCCCACGGCACGACGGGAGUACGGAGAGAGGGCGAGAGGUUGUCGAAGAAAUAGAAUCCCUCUAGACUCCUCUCCAGACUGCAGAGUCCAGACCCCACGACGCCAAAAGGCAUUCAGGGCAGGCAAGCGAUUCGCAGCCCCUCCUAUAUACCCGCCCACCAGGAGGAAGUCGGAAGGAGUCCAGACUCCGCAAGGGGACAAAACGAGAGCAAAUCGAAGCAGGACACGGCUGCUGGCCGCCGCAUUCGGAGAGGAGGAGCGCGAGCGGGAGCGGGAGCGGGAGAGGAGGGAUGGCGUGCCUGCACGAUCACAGCUGCGAGGAUCACAACUGCGCCGCCGACUGGUCGCUCUACAACCACGUCGACACCCCCAAGGUCCUGCGAUCCCCUUCCCCCUUCCUUCUCCUUCCCCCCGCCGCCUCUCUCUCUCGUCAGUUGCCAGAUUGGUUCGCUGCCCCCGCCUCCUUGCGCCUUUGUUUUCGACGAGUUCGAAAUCUUCCGUAGCCGCCACGCGGAGUAUCGGAUUGCGCAACGGUACAGUAGAAGGUGAAUCAGGAUUUAGGGUCGGCGGCUAACCCCUCUCCGUGCGCGCAGGUGGUGGCUCUGAACGAAUCUGUGCCUGGGAGCGUCAAGUCGGUCUUCAAGCCCUGGGAGCAGCGCCUCGACACCUCGGGGGUAUGUGCUGAUGCCGCUCCCUGUUCCUUGUUGCCUUAUUUUAAAUGAGCUUAGGGUUCAACAGUUCUGUUAGGAUUUUAGGAAUCAGGAUAUGCAGAAUGUGCACAAAUUUGUAAGAGUUCAGUAACCACUAACGAAGAACAAUUGCCCUUCUCUUAAGAUCAUAGCUGAAUGUAACUGAUUGAAUUUUGCUUGGUAGCCUGUCAGCUACUGGCCUACUGUCGUUAGGACUUAAGAGUAAACCUGCCAUGGUCAUUUGUCGAGAAUGCAUCUUGUUAUGAUUGAAAAUAUCCAGAAAGAAGAGAUGUCUUGUGAAUUCUUAUCAUCUGUGAAAUAUCGCUUGGAUUUAAGGAUUCUACAGAUUAGCUGUCACUACCACAAGUUUUUUUUUCCUCUUUGCUUUUGAUAUUCCAUUUCAAGGAAUUUAGUUUUAGCUUUCCUUUAAAUACUUUUGUUCAGUAUGCACAUCUUUUGACUUAUAAAUAGAGUCAUGGUUUGGUAACUAUUUAUGAUUCUAUUAGUAUACAACAGUUACCUUUUUUUACAAAGAAAAAAUGAAAUGGUGUAAGCUCUAACAUGAAACCUGAUAGGAGAAGGUUUGUCUAUUUGAAAUGUUAGGCAAAAUAGCAGGCCAGCAAGGUGGCUAUUGAAACUUUUUCAAAUGAAUGCUCUUCAUUAAAUGGUAUAAGUCACCAUUCUUCUGGUUGAGUACAUAUUAAGGACGCUGGUUUAGUGACCUUGAUUCACUCAUGCAAGCUACACAGCGGCAUGACGGAAAUUUUAUGACGUGAUCUGCAUUUUUUAUUUAUUAGUGAUUUUUCAGCACAGAUACCAUUUCUUGAACUCCUCAUAUAGAUAAGCUGCAUUCUCAUUAGCAUCCUUGCUGCACCAGGGUUUUCUGGAGAGUAAUGAUGGUGACCCUGAGCUACUUAUUUUCAUCCCGUAAGUAGUAGAAGUCGCUUGCUCGUUCAAUACAUAUGUGUGUGCUACCCUAAUGUUACUUGUUUUCCUUUACUUUCUUUGUUUAUAAAAGACUAAUUCUAUUGGUUCUUCAAGUUGAGGUAUAGCAACAUGAUCAAGUGUCAGGCGGACUAGUUGAUUAGAGGUGGGUAGCAGAGGCUGUAGCCGAAAUGGGGGGUGGGUUGAGGUUUUGGGAGGUGUUGUGACCUGUUAUCGCUAGCAUGGAGGUGGUGGCUAGCUGCUGCGCAAUAGGAGGGGGCACGUGGCGUGACGCAGGGAGGAGGGGAGGGGGCCGGCGUGGGGAGGCAGAGGGCACAGGGGUGAGGAGAACCUCUAUUCCUUCAGUGGUCAAAACGAUUUCAUCCCUCGGGUUUUUUUACUUGACCCGUAAGGCAACUAAGGAUCAGAUCCUUAUAGAUUGGAUCCACCUUACAACUCAAACUCUUUUCUAUCUCCUGAUUCUAUCUUAACUUAUCCUAAACCAAACCUAACUCUUAUUUUCCUAACUGAAACUCUUUUCAGUCUCCUGAUUCUAUCUUAACUAUUCCUAAACCAAACCAAACUCUUAUUUUCCUAACUGAAACUCCUAAAGAUGAUACAUCGGUGGACCCAGCAUGGAUGGCAGAAGGAAGGGGCAGGGCCACCCCUAGGGUGCGCGUGCCCGUGGAGUCGGUGUGGCCAGGGCAGCUAUGGCCCUGGUGUGCCCUUCUGCGAUGACUGGUCUGGCCGGGCCAAGCCAACCCAUGGGUGCUCAGCCCAAGCCUGCUGUGCCCAUUACAAAGUGUUUUUCCUUUAAUAAUUUCCUCGAACUUAUAAGUGCUUGAGAUAGUGUUUGGUCAUUUUAUUCUAUCAAAUAUGUGAUGUUUCUUAUAAUUUCCUCAAACUUACAGUUGCCUUGAGGUAGUGUUCAGGCUACGGAAUAUGUGAAUUUUCAGGAACAAGAAUAUUCCUAUGUAUUAGAUGGAUUUGUUUUUGUUUUUCCCCUUCUGUGUUGUGAUUGUUCUCUCCACAGUUUACUUCAGCUAGUUCUUGUAGCUAUUGUUCUUGUAGAUAUAUUCUGCUUUCUCCCCCUUGCAAUCUUUCAGUGGCUUUAUACCUACUUACUCAGCAGUAAUUCAUUGAGGUGAUGUUUGUGAAACACAUGUCAGUCUUCACUUUAUAGUCUUUGAAUCAUGUCCCGUCUAUAACAUCCUGUCAUCAAUUAUGCGAAAUAGCCUGAGAAAAUGAGAAUGUUUUGUUUUUUGUGCGCAGAUGCUGAUUCCAUAUGAACCUCCUUAAAGUAGUCGGCAAUAUGUUAAAUGAAUUUACUCUUGUAAAAGUUAUUUCUUCAAUUCACAUAAUCGCACUGAAUUCAAACCUAAAUGCAUUUAUAUUUGUUAAUUUUACCUUUUAAGUGGAACAUAUCUUUCUUUAUUUGUUUUCAGGUUAAGAAAUAGUUCCCCUCAUAUUCGUUUCUUAUGUUCAUCUAAAAAUUGUUGAACCUGUGUAAUCAUGUAUUCCGUUGGUUGCAGGUUCACAUCAGAUGUUAAGAUCAAGAGCAUUUCUGUUGUUGGUGGUGCUGAUGGAACAAGCCCUUCAAGAAUGAGAGCGUUAGUUUUAGAGCUCUAGCUUUUCCUUUCCUUCUCUUUAUCAUGGCAUGAAAUUUAUAAGAUUACCUUGAUGUUACAGGUUUAUCAACAGAGAAGGCAUUGACUUUUCUGAUGCUCAAAACAUGCAGCCCGUGCAGGUAUGUAUUCAAUUUCUUCCUUUUUCUGUAUCCAUGUCAUUAGUGAAACUCCAGUUUCAGUGAGAUACAUUUUCUGCUAGGAAUGGGAGUUAGCAGAGAACCUGCAAGGAACACUUGAGUACCAAACAAGGUAUGUUCUGUAAUUUUUUGUUCUCCUUGUGCCCCUUGGUGUUCCUAACAGAUGUAAAUUGUCAGUUGAAUUAUUUUCUUAGAGCUUCAGUGCCCUCAAGAUAUAUUUGAUUUAGUAAACGCUCAUAAAGCUUCUGAUAGACUGGAGUUCAUUAGAUUCAUGCACUGAUGCUGUGCAAAUCAGUCUAGGACUUUUGCAUUUAGUUACUGGAGUUAAAACACUGGGCUGCUUUUGUUUUAUCUCUGUCUACUGAAUGGCUUGUAACUACUAUGCUUUUAAGUCCUCUUUGCACGUUGUAUGUAGAAGCAGCAUAUGUCUCAUCAGAGAUUUUCUUACCUUUACCCCCUGUAACCUUUUGUUUCUCAGAUAUUCAAGGUUCCAAGGUGUGGCUAACCUAACUCUGCAUUUUUCUGACAACUUUGGUGGCGAUACAACUAAGAUUUAUUACAUUGGACUACGCGGUGAAGCCACUCAGGUACUGAAGUUACUUGUUUCCCUACAUAUUUAGUAAAAAAAAGAUAGUUGAAUGUCACACUGAUGCUUGACUGCUGUGUUCUGCCUAUCAGAACAAAAGGGACGUCGUGGCGACAAUCGUUUAUGAAGUCAUGCCCAAUCCUUCGGACCACAAGUAAGUUUUGUUCAUAUUUGAGCUACUGCUGCUUCAUGUUUCACAUCAAGUAUACAAGUGUUGAUUUGCUACGUUAUAUGUUGUAUCAGUUCAACAGUUUCAUUAGAGUCCUGGUGGCCACCAUAUCUUUGCUCCCUUUUCCUCCUUAACCUUUACUAAAUGUGGAAGAUACUGAUUUUACUAAGGUGCCUCUAAAUAGGGAGAAAAGGGAAGGUUUAUACAACCUAAGAUUAUUUAGCCUUCCAGCUUGCAGAGAAUCAUAUGCUACUUGCAGUACAUACUCUAGCAUGAUAGGUAGUCCUGGUGGUUCCUUUAUAAUCCAAAGUUGCAUAUUGCUUGGUCAAGCUGCAUUAUUUAACUACACUGAUGGUUACACUGGGAGUUUACAAAGGGGAAAAAAUAACAUCUUCGACCCAUCUAACUACCAAGUGCAAGCAUUAUCGCAAAGUUAUUUUCACUAAAAAUGACUAGGUUUUACUCAUUCUUGGCUCGUGAUAAUGCUUUAGCAUGUCUUAACCGAGGGUCAUUCUUGAUGAUACUGUUUCUCUUUCCCGUGCAGAACAAAAUCUGAGACUGGAGGAGGUUUCUCGCAUGUUGAGUAGGCAUCAUUGCCAGGUGAGGCAUAUCUACAGUUCCUGUUGGGCCGAUACCAAUUUACCCUCCUUUUAACUUUUUUUCCCCUAAUUGUUUGGUGUUCUUCCUUGGCAGAGCUUGGGAGAAGCUGAGCACUGCGUCUUCUGGAGGCAAAUGUGCACUUCUCUUCCACGAAUAAGAUAAUCCCAGCUGCUAGUCUUGUAGCUUGACUUUUUUUAGUACUGAACCCUGUACCUGUGGAUGCUGUUAGUCUGUUAUUUUCGGGAGAAUUCUGUACGUGUGAACGCUGUAACUUGUUGCUGAUGCUAUCAUAAGAAUUGGUCGCUCGCUUAUCAUGGUACUCAUGCCUUAUUCACAAUCCAACUAAAUCUUAUCUAUUUUUAACUUAAAAUCAUUAAAAUUAUACUCCCUCCGUCCCAAAUUAUAGGUCGUUUUGACUUUAUUAGAUUCAUAGACUUUGUUAUGCACUUAGAUAUACCUUAUGUCUAGAUGCAUAAUAAUAUCUAUGUAUCUAGAAAAGUCAAAACGACCUAUAAUUUGAAGCGGAGGGAGUAUAUUAUUAUUGUCUAUUCUUAUUGAAUCGAUCCUAAAGGGUUCUUUACCACCCUCGCAUGCCUUGCCUUAAUGUACUAAUUUUCUGCAACAUUGUCUUAAUGUACUAAUUUUCUGCAACAUGUAUUCGGUAUUCCAUUUUGGGUGAGGUGUGGUAGAUAAUUUUCCAGUAUGAUCAUGCAACUUGUGGGAGCUAUUAAAAGAGUGAGGGUGUGUUUGGUUUGUGGAAUUAAAUAGUUCAUGGACAAAAUGGUGCAUUUUGGAUGGGAUCAUCCAGCACAGGAUGGUACACCAUUUGUGUUUGGUUCUACACCCACUUGUGUUUGGUUUGUUGAAUUAAAUAGUUUAUGGAUAAAAUGGUGCAUUUUGGAUGGGAUCAUCCAGCACAGGAUGGUACACCCACUUGUUUGCAUAUAAGACAUACAGGUUGGAUGGAUGUACAGGUUCAUAGUAUGUAAUGCGGUUUCAAAUAAAUACAACCACAUAAAUACAUAGUUGAACUGAACUGUUUCAAAUACAUAGCUGAACUGAAGCAUGUGUACAGGUUCCAAUGUGUAUAAUCCAUAUAAUCCAAAAGUUCAAGUAAUAUGUCUAUAAUAUAUCCAAAAGUUCAAAUACAGUCUGGCUCCAUUGACUUUCUACCACGAAAAGCUGGCUCCAUUAACUUACUAACCGAGGUCCGUAUAUGUUUUCCAUCAAUGGCUCCAAUACAGUCAUAUUUGUUCAUAUUUGUACGAUUGUCAAGUAUCAUACCUUAAAGUAUGGAUCCCACCUAGGGUUGCCUGCGAUUUUGGUUGGGGUCUCCAAAGAAGGUGGUUGGAUAAGAUCAUUUCUCAGCUCACCUAUGGCAUUGAGGAUGAUUCUAAAGUAUCUACUCACUGCUUCACUUGAUCUCCCAAAGUUUGUAGUAACUACCAUAUUCCUUUCAUUGUGUCCAAUCGUAUAGAGGAACAUGACAACUUGCUCUUCAACAGAUACAUGUAUUGUGUCAUAAAGCAACUGUCGUUCCCUUGAAACUUGAUACAACCGAAAGAAAGAUGCUCUCUUAAGCCUAAUCAUAUUUGUGCAGGUUGUGUCAUCCCGCAAAAUUUUAUCAUUCAGGUAGGAUAUUCUAGCCGCAUCCCUUUCCACUAAUGGGCCAUAUAUAAUAGGCUCUCUCCUAUUCCUUAAUCUGAACCGGACAUACAGAACAACCAUAGAAGCGGCAAUAUAUGCAACAUUGAUAAGCAAUUUUCUCCUUUUAACUUGCCUCUUGUCCAUCUACAUGACUAAAGCAAUGAAAAAAUAUUGUAACAAAAUAUUGAUGAAUUACUUGCAUUUGAGUUACUGAUAAUUGUGUUGUCAUUGAAGAAAAAGAAAAAGAUUGCACAUUUUAUUACACAUGAUGCAAAGGAUACAUAGUUUUCAUAAGUAAAGGAGCCGCAAAUAACAGGAAUACAAAAAAGAGAACUUGGUGCUUAGUAAGGGAAAGACAUUAAAAGCUUCUCCAAACCCCCUGCUGUUUUAAGAAAUUUUUAUUUGUAAGCAGUCAUGAGAAAUCAUACGUCCAAUAGGCAUUAAAAGCUUCAACAAACCAGGAAUGUCCGCAGCAAAAGGAUAGCUCUAGAACUAUAAAAGUUUCAUACAGAACCCCAGAGAUAGGCAAACCUAAAGUAACUGCCGUUUUUUAACAAUCUUCUCUUCUCUGAACUUUGCUUAUCAACUUCUCAGCACAAAGAAAGUAUGUGUGCUAAACGGAAAGUCAAGUUCUGGCCAGGCUACUGUCAGAAUAAGGCAGCACAUGGAGCAUCACAAAUAUUCAGGCGACCUUUAUACAAGAAUGCCAAUUUCUAGUAAUUAAAAAAAUAUGGAGCAUGUUGGCCUUAAACAUGUCGCUUCCUGAAAAGAGGAAAGGCAUCUAAACUGACAGAUCAAGUUUAAUCCAACUGACAGAAAAGAGGAAAGGCAUCUAAACUGACAAAUCGAGUUUAAUCCAACUGACAGAAAAGAGAAAAGUCAUCUAAACUGACGGAUCAAGUUUAAUCCAACUGACAGAAAAGAGGAAAGUCAUCUAAACUGACAGAUCCUAGGAUUUUGGUCCCCGUACCUUGAAUCAGAGAGUAGUCGGCCAAGAACAAUCCCUCUACCUCCGCCGCUGCAAACCCUGGUCCAAUCUUGGUGCCUGACCCAUGCAAACCCAUCGAUGGACAAGAUUAGGAUUCGCGCAACACAAGGAAGAAGGGGGAACCACAGGUCAUACCUUGCCUGGUGGCUGCUGGCAAGAAUCUGGUCGUGGUCGCGAGGAUCUGGUCGGGACCGGUGAGGAUCUGGUUGGGGUCGGAGAAGAACAGUCGUGGGCAGCGAGGAGGUGUGGGAGGAGUGGGCCGAUGGGCGCGGGAUGAGCGCUGGCAUCGGGGAGCCGGCGGCGGACCUGCGAGCGGCGGCGUCGGGGAAGAAGAGCUGGCGGCAGAGUCACGAGAGGCAGAGGAGCGGCGAGUCGCGAGCGGCGUCCCACGGGUCGCAGGGGGGAGCGCUCCACGUUCUGGAUGCCGUGGUCCGGUUAUUUUGAGCGCACGGGAUGGUUCAGGAUAUUUGUGGAAUGUUCUCUGAGCUGGUACAACUCUGUCCAAGACGGUGUGGUGCAAUUCAAUCAACCAAACGCUAGGAUAAGGUUCCAUCCUGGAUGCGCUCAUACACGUACGCUGCCGUACACCCAACCAAACACACGCUAAAUUGCACUCUCCAUACAACAACUGGGUACGUGUUGGUCCAACAACUUACAAAAUGCUUAAUUUAGUACAAUAUAAAUUCUAAACUUUUAAAAGGUAAUGUUAGUACAUAUUAAUAUAUUAGUUUUUUAGCUGAACAAUGCAUAGAAUCAAAGAUGUGAACUUAUUAAUACUGAAUAUGGAAUUAAAUAUUCCUAAUCAAAAUUAAAUUUACUCGUUUUAACAUUUGGACUGCGGAUGCACCAAGUUAUCAAGUUAUUGCAUUAAAUUUAACAUUUUACAAGUUGUUGGAUCAAUACGCACUCAUCUAUCAAGUUACAUUGAUUGAGCAUUUUACAUGUUGUUGGACUAAUCUCACCCAUCUAACAAUUUGUUGUAUGCCUAUUAAAAUGCAAAUUCCAGCGCUAACUUGGGAGGAGACGAGUCAUUACAUAAUUUGACUGAACAACCAUGCAGUGCCAAUAUUUUGCUUGUGCAUGGACGUUCAUCUAAACUAGCCUAACAUGUGACCGAUGUUUGCGACAUCCUAUUUGAUGCGCAAAAAUUACACUCGAAACUAGCCAUAGCACAUGUGAUUGUAACCCGUGACCCGGAUCAGUUGAAUGUUUUGCUCGAUCCCCUCUCUGAUUUUGUAAAAAGACACUGGUUUUAAUACCAUGCUAAAUUGAUGGUGAAUUAUUAAAGGGGCAAGUUUAAUUUGCAUGUAAAAAUAGGGAGGGGAGGGUGUUGCUUGGGGUCCUGUGGUUCUACCACACGGUGGUCAACCAUCUCAAACAACGAAACCUGCACCGUAGGCUCUCUCGUCUCCUUCACCGUUGGAUCAUCCUAUAGCUCGAUCUCGCGCCGAUCAUUUCCAAAUGCAUAGAGCAUAAGCCCAUAAUAAAAUACCCCAAAAAAAAAAGCUAUGGCUCAUAAAAUGUGCUUCGCUAACUAACUGCUUCAUCCGGAUCUAGAAAAUACCGAUAUAAAUUCAUGGAGGUAUGGAGGUGGGAGAUGGAAAUUGAUUAUAUAGAUCCUCAUGCUAUGUUUUUAAUGUGCAACUUAUAGCACGCUCUUCAACUCGCUUCCCUAUAGUAGAAGUGCAGCACAUAAGUAUCUCUCCCAUAUGGCCAACAAUAAUAUACAAAUAUAUUCGACAUACAACUAUAUUAGUUUAAUUAAUUUAUAUCUAAAUUAUGAUUAUUAGAAUGGAAUUCAAUUCCAAGGAUCUAAACAGGGCCUAAUGUUUUUAGAAGACUAUAGAGAAGUAGCAAGUGCUAUUUUUUUAUAGGGAAAUUAGUAGGUGCUAAUUUUUUCAAGGGAAAGUUGUAAUCUAUCUAUGAUCGAAAACAAUUGAAAACACUUCUCACCUAGAUUAAUACAACCAUACCCCUCACGUUGGACCCACUCCGCAAUUCAAGGAAGGAUGAGGAGGAUGGAGAAACACCCAAAAUCGUGUUUUCUAAAAUGUUUCCACCCUCUCCGGCUUUCUUUUCACACCAUCACCAUCUUUACCCACCAUGUGUACCCGCUCUUAUCCCCUCCACACCCUCCUCUAAUUUUCUUUCCCUAAUCACGGCUCCUCUAAUUUCCAUCCCCUAAUCAGGUAACAACAUUAUUUUCAAUUAAUUAGUACCGGUCACAUUUCGUUCACUCCCAAAAUCUACCGGAAAAAUAACUUUUCGUCCACUCCCUUAGUACCGGUCAUAUUUUGAUCCGGUACUAAUAUUAUCAUCAGUAUCGGAUCUAAAUUUGGGACCCCCGAGGUCUUUCAGUACCGGGUCGUAACACCACCCGGCACUAAAGUGGCACUUUUAAGUACCGGGUGGUGUUAUGACCUGGUACUAAAGGCCCUCCAUGAGUUAUUUCGAAAGGAAAGCAUAUCUACCUCCAUCACAUGUAUUGCAUAGGUGGGAUGACAAGACAGUCUCACGCGAGAUUUGAGGUCGUGGGCCCAGUAGUGCCCUUUAGUACGUGAUAGUUUUAAAGCGCCUCCCCUAAUCACGUUAAAACAUUAUUUGCAAUUAGUGCCUCCCGUAAUCAUGUAACUUUCCAAUCAACGCCCAUACACGUUAAUCACGGAUCACGUCAUGCAUGUUUCCUUUCGUGCAAUCCAAUCGCAAAUCACAUCAUGCAAGUCAAUUACGUUCCUUCUUUACAUUUCCAUGUCAUCCUUCCUUCCCCGUUUGUCCCUCGAAGAGAUGACGCGCCGGCCGACGGGCGACGCUCGACGCACGACAGCAGACUGGCGACGUCGGUGAGCACUGAACGUGCUUGCAAGCGAGGCGAUGCGAGCGCGAGCUGCGAUGGGGCACCACGGCGUACGUGCACCCUUCCCUUGUGCUGUCCUCAGCGCCCGUCGCCAUUUCCAAGAAGCUGCCGUGCAACGAACAGAUCCUAUUUCCAUGCCAUGUCCGUGUGCACUACCCUGGUGUCCUGAUUGCUGCUACCGUCCAAGGUGUUCUCUUGGCUACCGAAGUAAAGACCAUCAACAAGACUCCGGUGAGUUCAUAUUGGUUACCUCCGAUCGUAACUGGUCCUUGUUUGCAUGCAUUAUUAUUUUUUAUCAACUGUUAUGUUAAUUGCAACGGAUUGUACCCAUGUGUGUUAGUAAUUGAGUUUCAUGUUAUAGGUGCUAGAUCAGCAGGUGAUUAUUGUCAAUUCACAAAUACAUGCCACGUGCACACUGCUAGUGCUAUUAAGAUUUUAUUAAAAUAAAAAAAGCCGCCACAAGGCCAAAUGCCAGCGGAACCUUUACGGCGCAGGCUUGGGCCCAAAUCAGGCACACUCAAAGCGACCAUAAAGUAGGCCCAUGAGGCCCGAGACCUCGUGAGAGAGCCGACCUCUCUCCCCUCUCUGCUCGCCGCCUCUUGCGCUGCUUUCCUGCGUCCUUCGGGGAGAAAGUGGGGAGAGAGAGAGAGAGGCUCCACCGCAUCCAGUGGCGCGGCUGGGCAUGGAGGAAGGCGAGUGCGCCCUGGGCGCCGCCGCGAUAGGCGAGGAAACCCUAAACUACGACGGCGAUGACGUCGAGAUGGCCGACGCGGACGAGGAAGCCCCUGCAGCUGAGGUUUCCGCCGCCGCCGCCGCCGGAGGAGGAGGAGGCGGCGCGCAGGCGGAGAAGAGCGGACAACAGGAUAGGAAUAAGAGGAAGAAGAAGAGGAACAAGGGGAAGAAGAAGAACAAGGGGAGGCAGGACGGGCCGCCCACCAACAUCGCGGACAUUAAUCGGUAAAAACCCUCGCCAUGGUUACCUAGGGUUUUAUGUUUUGCUAUAGGCACGAGUCGAGAUGCAGUGGAUACCGAUUGAAAUUGUGCUUACUUUUGCCCCAUUCGGCAGCAGUAAAUUUGGACCAUAUAGCGCUGGAUGAAUUUGCUCCAGUGCAUUCAAGGACUUGCACAUUUAGAGCCCAGAACUGUUAAUGCAAUUUAGGUGAAAUUUCUGUAUGGGGGAAAUAGUUUCAUUUUCCCCAUUUUCCGUAAUGGUAGUUACAAAUAACACUGCUCUUGUUGUUAACAGAUGCUUUUCCAUGCUGAUAGAAUUAGGUUUGUAAUGAGCAUUUGUAUUAUCUUAUAUCAAAUGAAUUUGAAGUAACUCUAGCUUUGGUGGAAUGUUUACUGUUAAGAAUAUGCAUAGGUUGGUGUGCCUUAUAUGCCGAACUUCUUUGAUCUGAAAAAGGCUUAUGUAGAAUUCCGCUUCUGAACUAGCUUUUUGGCAGACUGUUUUGUUUGACAAACAACUUGAGGUUAUUUGACUCAUGAUUUGUUUGUCAUCUCAUUGGUAUUCAUUGUUUGGCUUCUAUUACCACUGAUUAAUUGAUUAUGGUCAAGGAAAGGCUGUUUUCCUUUUGCAUCCAGUAUAUGUUUCGUUGGCUAAUUACACAACUCCUUUAUCCCUGAUGCAGAUUUGUUCUUAACACUUGCAAGCGCUUGAAGGAGAAGAAGUCGUACCUUGUCUGGAACGCUGUUGGCUGCCUUGGUGUCACUGCUGUCAGUGAUCUUGUCAGAGAGGUAUGCAAUGCGUAUGUGGAAAAAUACUGCUGACAGUUUAUCUGAUCAGUGAUGAACUUUAUCAAAAGAAUUAAUUUAACUACCAAGUGGCGUCUUUCUUUUUUGCUAAAGCAGUACAAAUGCCAUAGAAUAUUUGUAUUUUAAGCUAUUGUCAAUCCUUUUGUUUUGCCUGUUACUUCAGUGGUAGUCCGGUAUAGUAAGUCAUCUUACCCUUCAUUGGAGAUCUGUUGCCCACUGCUCUUACAAGCAUCACUGCCUCGGUUCUUUUUGCAGUUCCUGGAUUUGUAUGUUUUGUGUACUUGAGAGGUUUGGAGUUGUUUCAGAAGAAUCUCUGAAAAAUAUUACCAUCUACAUACUUGAUUUGAUGACAAAUCAAUUGCAGUUAAGUUUCUAUUUCAUAGCUAGCAUUAGCAUAUACAGAUAUACCAUACUCCGUAAGCCAAAGUUCAUGAAUGAUCAAUUCUAGGAGUUAGUAUAUCUAUUGUCGUGUUAAAACUGGUGUUUGGUUUAUAGAUGAAUAUCCAAAUUGUGACACUCGGAUGUUUAUUGAUCCAUACUUGUUAUACUGAGUAUAUUUGAUUUCAGGUGGAGGCUAUUGAGAAGUGUGGUGGCCAGACUAUUGCUGAUGGAAGCCGUUUCCGCACUGGUGGUGGAAUUCUCUGGAACAUCUUAAAGUCGCGGGAACCCAAGGCUUAUAAAGAAAUAAUGGCAAAGGGGAAGGAACUUGAGGUACUCUUUUGUAUUAUGAAUGGAUUAGUUGCUUACUGCAAUAACAACAAAAACAGCUACUAAACCUUUUAAUCGCAAGCAAACUAUGGCAGGCUACAUACGAUACCCAACAAGAGACACAAAAGAGGAUAAAGAAGUAACCAAGAUAUAGAUGUUUGCUGCUUUAGCAAUUAUUUACAAGAGAUCACCUUACCAAAUAAUAUAGGUCUCAAAGUCAGGUGACUUGUGGUGUGCACAACUUUCUACCUUUCCAAAAUAACUUGUGGAGUCACUGUGACUGGCAAUCAUUAUCAUAAAUACUGUGUGGGCAUUGAUUUCUUCUUUCAAAUGAACCAACAUUUGCGAACAUGGUACUGCCUGAGUGAACUAGGAUUCAGUUCGGGAUUAGAUUGCUGCCUCAUUAAUGAAAAGGAGUAUGUAAACAUUGGAAGAAUCAUUCUGGGUUUGAUUCUCCCCCCAUAAAUUGCUGAAGUUAGAAGUAGGAAGCUUCACUGAAAAUUUGGCGAUGAUGCAAAAACAAUUUUACUCUGUUCACAGUGAGACCAAAUUGCUGUUCCUUUUCAUGUGUUUUAUUUUCUUUCCAAGACAAUAUUUUGAGAUUUUAUUUCUCUAUUGACACCUGUAACAUUACAUGUUUAUUACGUGGUCUUUUUAGUUAAGUGAUCCUUUUUGGCCUCUGUUGUAUGGUAUUAACUUUAUACCUAUUUCCUCCUUGCAGAAGCAGUUUAGGUAUACGAAACGACCACAGAUGAGCAGAAACGAAGAUGCAAGUUCACAGGGCAGUGCGUUAAUUGAUGAUGAUAUCGAAGCGCAAGAGCAAAAUGAAGUGUUGGAUGAUCCUGAGCAGUUGGAUGAUGCGGAGAAGGCACCUCCAUCAGACAAUAAAGCUCAACGCAAACCACUAGCGGACAGAAUUCGUGUUCCUGUUGCUUAUGAUGAUCUAUUUGAAGAGGGAGAGAUACACGAAGGAGAACCACAAAAUGGAAGCAUUUGAAAGAUUUGCCUCGACAUGAAAUGCAAGCCCCAAAGGAACGGCACAUAAUGGCAAAGAGGAUUAUGUAUGAACUAGUGAGCCAUCGUUGCAGUGUAGCAAUUUUCCCCCUAAACAUAAACCGUGAACAUGCAGUGAUGUGUGUGACGGAUGAGAGUUUUGUUACGCCAAUUAGAACCAAUGAUCGGCCUGAAUUCAACGUUCAAUGGAAAAUGAUGUUAUGCAAGUAUUGGUGUAUAAAUGUGUAUUCAUCAUAUUUUUUUCACCAUCACUGGUAGGGGAUAUUGAGGAAGGAAGAAUGAUGUGGCUUUGCACUUAUCGUCGUGGUGUUUAGUGUUGGCUUUGGCUUCCUUCUAGGGUAAAACACAGCUAUGAAAAGCUUGUGUUAAACAGAUUUUGUAACCAAAAUGUUGGCAAAUCUUUUAGAAUCUCGCUUCAGCGUUGCCCCUUGACAGUUUACUGUUUUAUAAAUUACCGCCGAUUUCAGAUCUUGAUACCAAUUUCCCAAAUUUCUUCGUAAUAAAUUUAGCGUCGAAAACUUUUACUCGUAUUAUACAAAUUUAAGCUGUUUUGAGUGAAAUUGAUUAAAACAUUAUUAGUCCGUUUUGAGUAAAACCCGUACCCAACGGAACAGCGAGCUCUCGAAGGGUUGAAUCGUCGUCUCGUCCGCACGGAGCCGGCUGCGGAGACGAUCUGACGAUGGCGACUAGGCGGUGGUGGAGGCGGCGCGACGGCGGGGACGAUGAAGCCGAGGACCUCGUUCCCAUGGACACCCAAGGUACGAUUCAAUUUCGGGCGCGCAUCCCCCGCCGCCCCCCGUGCCCUUGGGGUUUUAGGCGCUUCUAACUCCACGAUCUCGAAUAUUUGUUGCUGUCGUGAUGCGUUCGCAGAGCAAGAGGAGCUGGUCCGGUUGCUGGAGCAGAAGCAGGCGCAGCAGAGCCGCCGUUGGAGGGUGCGUUUCCGAUUCCCGAUUGGUUUGGCCUGGCGUUGAGGAGGAACAGAGAUCUUGCCGUGAGCGCAGGGCGCUGGUUCGUACCUUGAUUUGGCGAUUUCGUGCUCACAUCGCCUACUGUUUUGUGCAGCGCGUCUUCGCGGGGUUCGUCCUGGCUUACGCGGCCUUCCUGGUCUACUCCAGCUUCCACCACGCCUGGUCUCCCUGGGAGCUGGUAGGUUGCUUACUCCUAUCUACUAUUCGCUUGAUUCUUCUUUUCAUGGCGUUUGUGAUCAUUCGUGCCCAACCAUUGAUGUAUACAUAAUACCUACCAUCAAUUGGGGGUCACUGCACCACAAAUUCCUUCUAUGUUGGAUUAGGAUCAUAAGGAUCGAAAUCAUGUUAUUUUGUUUUGUUAUUACUAGUCACUAGUUGAUAGAUGCAAAACUGAUGUAUACUUUUUACAAUUUCUUGGGGUCCUGAUAACUGAAAAUGCUUGCAAUUGGAAAUAAUCGGUCACUGCUGUAUACUUCGCACUUUUGACAUAUCACUACUAUUGUUAGAAUCAAGUUUUUCUUAUUGGUGUGGUAAUCUAUUUGCCUGAAACUAUGCUUCUCCAAUUAACAGCGGUACCAUGCUUACUUCAUGGAAGAUUUGCCUGCACCAAUGGUCAUAAUUGCAGGUUCGGUAUCUUAUUCAACCUUCUUGUUUUAUCUUGGGAACUUCUAAACUAACCAUGCGUUGAUGCUUGGAACUGAAUUUUUUUGUGGAUCAGGUUGUUCUUUUGCUAAUGUUGACUAGGGUGCUUGCUUACGAUUUGAUUGGCCACUCAAAACAAUUGUGAGCUUGUCCUUGUUGCAAAAAUAUAUAUUUAUAGAUCACAAAACCUUAUGUUGUACAAUUUGUUGAUGCUCAUAUAGGGAUCUACUUUGUAUACUUGUAUGUCUUAUCUUGUUCUGCUGGGACUUCCCUGAUCAUUUCAAUCAGAAGACGGUUAAGUAUCAGCAAAUGAUUGUAUAUCAUUAUUUUUAAUAUCCUGCCAGUAGGCAGUCAUAACUUAAGCUUUUUAAAAGAGGCUAGGUGAAAAAAAAUGAUAUUAGUAUCUUACCAGUACCUGAUUGUUAUUAACUCGUUCCAUUAGGAUUUCCAUUUUAUCCUAGGAUCCAAAAUAAAAGAAGAAUACAUUGCUCAUAGCCUGAUAGGCACAAAGGUAUACAUAUCAGCUAUUCAAAACAAUCUUUGAUCUGAAUAUACAUAAAUGUGAAAUUACAGAUUGGAUAUCUGCCCUAGCAUGUCUCUUUGCUGUUAAAGGAUUACUACAGAAUUCAGGCCCGUCAAAGAAGUGGAUGUGGUAUUCAUGCUAUAUUGGCAUUUUGGUAGCCAUCUUUUGGACAUACUACAUCUUGAGGUAUAUCAUCUAUAACUAUUCUUUUUUUUUUGUCCUUCCUGCGUCGGACAAAUGGUUUGCUAAUACGCUAGCAUCUCAAACAAUUCAUAUCAUGGCAGUGCAGUUCUAGCUGUUGCAGCUACACUAACACACAACAAUCAUGUCUAGUCAUUUCUGACUGUUGGUAUUGUUGUAGGUUGCCAAGAAUCCGAUGGGAUGUGGCAUGGCUCCCACUUGGCCCCCUAAUGUAUGGACUUGAAUCUCUUUUCAGCUUCCUUCAGCGACUACUGAUGAAUAGUAAUAACUGACAUACUGCUGCCUUGUAUAUCUGGUUGCUGUGCAGAGCUGGUGCAUUGAGCCUGUAUGUGGACCAUGUGCUGCUGGAAUCGAUGCAAGAUAUCAGCACAUUGAGGAGUUACAUGUAUAACUUUAAGGCCUUGUAAUGUUGACUAUAGUUUCCCUCUCUCCAAUGUAGCUACAUCUGCGGAGUAGGUCCAUGUAAUUUCUCCUUCAGUUUCACAACCCCCUUGCUGCCAGAGUUGUGGAGGUACCUUGUUACAUGGUGUGUUUACCUGAAUUUUCGACCCGUCAGUGACUACUUGCGCAUCAUUUUUGCUACGUGGUGGAUGUAUGUACAAGCUGUGGUGCCCAUUGGCACCAAACUGUUUUCAGAAAACCCCCUGUGCUUCUAGUGAUGCUUACUUAAAGUUUGAUGAUUUUGAAGAGGCGCUGACACCAUAGGCCUUUACUUAAAGUUCUUCCAAUGUUUGUGAUGAAUUUCCUUUUUUUUUCUCCUUUUUCUCCUUUUUUUAUUUGCUUUGUGAGAGAGGAUGACUUUGUAUCUCAGUAUGGAGGGAUUAUCACCAUCAUGAUUUUGUCGGGAUGUAGUAAGCGAUAAAGGUAAGCAGAAUGCUUGUCAAAUUCGACACGCGUGGUAGGACGGAGCAUGAACAGAACAAGGUCAAUUGUUGGUGCAUUGAUCGGUUCGUUUCGAGCUGACGUUUUGCUUCUCAGCCGGCCGAAAUAUAUACUCCCUCCUUAAUAUCCUAUUCCUAAAAUACUAGGAAUAUUAUUUAUUUUAAUUUUUCUAAAUACAUAACUUUUGCUACGUAUCUAGAAAUACUUCCUUCGUUCUGUAAUACAAGAAAUUCAAACGUUCAAAAUUUAUCUUCAAAUACAAAGCAUUGCAGGCACAUUCGGAUUGAUUAUCAUUUAAUUCUUUUUAUAAUUAACAAGAUAAGGGUGGCUAAUUAGUGGAUUAUUACUGUAAUUAACAAGAUAAGAGAAUUAUAAGAGUGGUUGAUUAGUGGAUUAUUAAUGAUUAGUGGAUUAUUAAGUUACUUUUUAUCUGCAACUACCACUAACUUAAGGUACAUGCUUAAGAGCAAGGAACUCCUUCUUUUUGAGCUUCAUUAAUCCGGAAGGAAUGUGGUGACUUCUAAAGUUAGUCCUGAAUUCCUCCCAGGUAAUGCCAUUAGCGUUGGCAUGGGUGGUGGUGUAAGCAUCCCACCAAUCUGCAGCUGGCCCUUCCAGGCGUCCUGAAGCAUACAGGACCUUCUCCCUGUCAGAACACUGGGUGAUAUUCAGCAUCUUCUCCACGGUUUUCAACCAGUCAUCAGCAUCUAACGGGUCUGGAGAAUGUGAAAACGUUGGGGGCUUGUGGCUUAUGAACUCCCUGUGCCUAUCCCUUGGCGGCGGCUGUUGCUGGUUGUUGUUGUUGUUGUUGUUAUUGUUCAGCUGAGCUUGUAAGGCUGCCACGGUGUUGGUCAGUCCGGCGAGAAGCUGAGUCUGGGCUGCUAGAAACUGCUCCAUCCCUGCAGGUGCUUGCUGAUUCUGUUGCGGAGCGGGGUUGGGAUUGCUGCUGUUGUCCCUGUGACGAGGCACUGCGGGACGGUCAACUCCUGAUCCGGACCUGGUGUUUACCAUCUGAGCGUUAGAGACAAUGGAUUUAGAUAUGUGUGUGAAGGAAUAACUGAGAAAGAUAAAGCGACAAGAUAUAAAAAUAAAACAGAUUCUAUUAGCUCCGUUAAAUUAGAUGUGGCCGUUAGAAGAAGUGUCCAAAAUUACUGAAAAAUUACCAAGUCGUAACUUAUUAAAUUCGUAAACCAACCCAACUGGAAUCACCUCAAUCGGACUUCUAUAUCUCGGGUUUCAAAAUUAACAAGCUGAUAGUGUCGGUCGACAGUUUCAGAUUCUGAUUGCUCUACUAAUUCGCAUACAUCUCCCAGAAAGAUCCUCCAAAAAUUCUGAAACAUUUACAGAAAUUGACCCACAAAAUUCUGGAACUAACCCCACUGAUUUCAUGUCAUUUGGACUUCUGUAGAUCGAGAUAUAAAUAAAAAAGUACUGACGUGUCAAUUAAUGUCGAGAACAGAAUGAACAUCGCUUAGCUUGCAUGAUAGAUAGAUUUAGACAGAUGGUAGAUCAUGAUUAAGAAAGAUUAGAAGCUGAUUUAGAACAGAGUUAAAACCCAACUAAGCACUUUUAUUACUAAGACCGGUAUCGUGUGGCAAUUACCCAACAUACCGCACUCAUUACAAAGAUCCAACUCAAACAUGUAACACAAAACCAAGCAUCUAAGUACACUUUAACUAACACACUCGAGCGACGUCUAACAAUUACAAGAAUUUUAAGCUAAACACUCCUAACUCCUAGAGAUCUUCUGCGGCGGCGCCGGGCGAGUCGUAGCGGGGACGCUUAGGUGACGGCGACGAAGCGGGAAAAUCAGCAUCCUCUUGUGGCGGCGGUGCCCCCGUUGCGGAAGCCACUAGCACAUCUCUCUCCCACCAAACUUCAUGAAGCUCCCGUUGAAGCUCAAAGAUGUGGUUGUUUGCUUCAUUCAAAGCGGUGAGAGUUGCCGACAAGUACUUGCGAAGAAAAUCCAUGGCCAUGUCAACUCCAUCAUGAGUCGCUAUGAAGGUUCUUGCUUCUCCACUAGCUCUGAACAGAAGGAACCGGCGAUAUGUGUACUGUAGCCGUGGCCGUUCCUUGUGGGAAAGGACCUCAAGUACCCUCCUAGCUGCCUCGGCGAUGCCGGACUCCAUGGUCCUCCUCGUCGCCACAUCAUGAUGAACAACCAUCACCUCCCAUCCUCUUUCGUGCUCUUCACGAAGGACAACCUUCACCUCCCAAAAAGUGGGAUAGCGAGGGUGGGUGAACCGAGCACACUUGUAGAUAGGCCUCAUGCUAUACCCCAAGUGAUGACAAGUCCACCUGAGUAUGUUGGCCAUGUGCACUCCUUGGCUAUAGUCUUCCUUCACCCACUUGAUCCAUCUCUCGAGCUCGGAAUCUGCUUCGGGCUCUUCAUCCGAUAAGUCGAUGACCGGUACGGGCGCCGGGGCUGGUGCAGGUGCUGGCGCCGGUGCUGGUGCCGGUGCUGGUGACGAUGCGGUCUCCUGCUCCACGGGCACGGCGUCCUCGUCAGUGUCAUCCCCGGGUGCUGGAAGUAGUAUUCUUCCUCUUCCUCCUCGUCCCUAGGCUCCAUGGGUUGAUAUGAUGCGAUGCCAUGACGCGGGGGACGGGUGCUCUUGCGUGCUGUCAACCGGGUGCGAGCCAUCUAACAGAAAGAAAGAAGAAAAUUUUUAGAAUAAAAUUUUGAACGAACCAAGAUAAUAAUAAAAGAUCAAAAUAGCAACAAGGAUGAGACAAAUCAAGUUUAGGAAUAAUUAAGUAGAUUUAAAUUAAGAAAAGGUAGGAAUGGCUACUAGAUUAUUAUAAUCCUUAAAUACGACCAUUUUCUAACUAGGCUAACGUCCUACAGUCAACACGGCUCUGGUACCACUUUUGUCACACCCGAUUUUGAGGACAAAAUCGAGUGCAUUAAAUACAUGUACGUCAGGAUCAAGUUACACACAUGUACGACAAUAGUGAAUAACAAUAGUGCGCCAAAAUCGAGUCCAAAUCUCGGUUAGAGAUAUUGAGCAUUUCCGUCCUAGAGUUACGGACCCCCAGACACGAAGUUUUCUAGACGUAAGAAUCAAAUUAUUCUUUCAAAUACUUUAUUAAUACGUUACAUUCUUUCAUUUAACUAGUUUUUUCACAACAGUGACUGUCAAGUUGGCUUCGCCGUGCGGCUGCUUGUUGUGGUUGCAGGACUGCCACGACGCUAGACAUGCACGUUCCAUCCCCACGCGAAGGAGGCGUUGGUUCGUCCGGGCAAGGCCCGUCAGGGUCCAAAGUAAUUGCAUCCGAGGAUGAGGACGAUGACGACGAUGACCAGAGGCCCGACGAGCUUGGCCCGUCUCAGCUCCACGACACUCCCUUGGCUCAGCCUACACAGAUUGUAGGCACUAGACUACGUCGCCUACGUUCUCCUUACACUCCAAGCACCGACGUCCUUGGUCACAAGGGUAAGGGUAAGACUAGGAGGCAGUAAGGGUACUUAUUGCGGACUUUGUGGUACAUGCUAGUGUGUAUAUGGACUACUGUGUACAUGAACUUUCAUUAUUUGACUAUUGUGUAUGUGGACUUUCAUUAUUUGACUAUUGUGUGUAUGAACUAUUAGGGAUUUUUAUUAUAAACUUUGUGGAUGUUCAUUAUCAACGGACGUUCAUUGUUAACUAUUCUGUACUUUCGUUGUAAACUAUUAUGGAUUUUUAUUAUGAAUGUGCCAUAUGCUUGUAUGUUUGUAUUUAUGUUAACUAUUCAUCUCAUAAUUUUGUAUGGAUUGCAUCGAAAAAUAGGGGAAAUUCUGCCGAAAUUUCACUAAGAAGUACCCUUUUCAUUUUCUGCGGAAAUUUCACUAUAGAGUACAACUUCGAAGUGCAUUACAUCGCAAAAUAAACAUAGGUCGUCGACGUGACUUGCAUGCCCAUACUUAAAGUGCAUCAUUACAUGACAAUAUAAUAAAAAUCUCACAGUAGACAAUAUUGUUCAUAAAUAAACCAUAGAACUAAAAACUAAUUAUGACUACUGAGUGCAACGAGGCCACUUUCUCUUCCUUAAGGCAUCAGUAUUCUCCUCAAUCACUACUUUCGCUCGGCAUGCACGCUCAAGCUUCUUCUCCCUCUCCUCCCUAUUCGCAGCAACACGCCUCCUUUCCUCCUCUUCCUUGUGCUCCUUUUCUGGAGCCUCCUCUCUAAGCCUCUUCUCCAUCAUCUCCUUCCUCUCUGCAUCCCAGCGCAACAUAUACUCCAUCUCCUCCUUGUCUUCAGGAUUGAUCUCAGUGUCGAUCCAUUGCUCAAAAUCACAUAGCGGUGGAGGGGUCUACAACAAAUGCAAUUGUUAGAAAACAAAAAAAAUAUGAACAAUAAUUAUAAGACAACAACAAUUCCUUACCAACUUGUUAAUACGGCGCUGACGAAGUGUAGGUUCAAACGUAAAGUUGGAACACAUCCAAUACCUCUGCCUAUACGUGUCAUGUUCAUCGGAUUUGGCUACCUUGCAAGGAUCGCCGCAAGCACAUAGGCACUGGAACACCACUAGUCAGAGGUAAUGUAUCGAAGGCAUUUUCGGUCAGCUUGGCACCAUAACUACAAUUUAGUUUAUAUCGUUGUAAGAAUCGAACGCACUUAACAAUAAACCUACAAUUAAGGUUUUUCAUUUGAUCCACAACAAUGAGCACAUAACAUAACUACGUGCGCUGGAGUUACCUUGGUUUCCUAGUUCUUUUCCACGCCUCGGCAUCCUACAGUUGCAUGAAACCCUAAGUUAAAAAAUACAAUUAAUAUAUAGCGAAUCGAUGUGAAAAAAAAGCUACGAGGGAGAGAGGAUACCUUGCUCUUCAAGAUCCACGGAUCAAAUGAAAGUUUCCUAGGUUAAAAUAUCGAUUCGUAGUCUAGGGCGAAGUGGGAAGAGUAAAAACCUGAGAGGGAGGAAAAAGAGGAGGAGGAAAGUUCGACCAGGAAGGAGUGCGGGGCUUAUGUAGGAGGCUUGCCGCCGAGGUCUAUGGCGCCAAGGCUUGACGCCAGCCUAGCGCCGAGCCUCAGUCGCGCCAAGCGUCAAGCCUACGCCACGUCAGCUGUCCGGUCAGCGGUGACGGCUCGACCUUGGCACCAAGACGUUGUAGCUUGGUACCGGCCAUCCUGGCACCAAGCUAAGGGUCCAUUUUUUGAAAUUAGUUUCACCAUGAGUCUAUUUGUGAAAAAAUUUCGCGAAAAAGGCUAAAAUAAAAAAAAGACGGCCCAUUUGAGCCUGGAGCCGGGCUAUCUUUUGUCCGAUGAGACUCCUCAGUAGUAGAUGUAGUUGUACUCACUGAGACGUGGAUCCGGCCCACGCGUCUUCCCUUUUGUCUCCCCGACUCCCCCUCAGGCCUGCCACUCUGCUUGCAACGGCCGAGUCGAAUGCGAGACGGGAACAGAUAGCACGCCGCGGCGCCGCGAUGGAAGCCUCGUCCUUGCCGAUGCUCACCGCCUCCCGCUUCCUGCCUCCGCCUCCGCCGCCGCCGCUGCUGACGCCGACAUGCCCCCGGCAGGCCGUCCCCUUCGUCCGCGCGGCCGCGCGGACACUAGAAGCGCCGGAGGCGCCCAAGCCCCAGCGGCCGUCCCCCAGGCGCAGCGCCGUCGCCGAGGUCAAGGCCUCCUCCGACCCCGUAGCCGCGCUCAACAGGUACCCCCAAGCACCGUUCGUUGCUGUAAACUUUCAACUCCCAAGAAUUGUCCGUAUCAGUUGUGGACUACGCGAUUGGUUUUUCCUACUAAAUGUGGGUACUAAAAUUCGCAGGCUCUGCUUCCAUUGGUAGAGAGAAGAUAAAUGGGAUGUUAGGAUGGGUUCAGUCACUAGUUCCUGCUUGAUUUUAAUUGUAAUUGAACCAUGAAUAUUACGCCCUCGUUUGCAGGUUCGAGGAUGUGCUGCAGACACAGGACUGCAACAUAAUCCUGCGCCACUGCGGAGACACUAGGCGCUGGGAUGACCUCUCUAAGGUAGUGUUCAGGGACUUCACAUCCUCUUUUUAAUGUAUGCUCUCGGUCUAGCGAGGAGAGUUGCCCAUAGCUAAACAGCAAGCCGCUGAACUUUGUGUGUUUCAGGUCUUCGAGUGGAUGCAGGAGCGCGAGAUGACCAACGCUGCAUCUUACAGCAGUUACUUCAAAUACCUUGGACUGAGCCGUGAUCCCGCGAGGGCGCUGCAAGUGUAUGGUGCCAUCCAAGACUGCACGAUGAGGGUUCACGUCUCUGUCUGUAAUUCGGUUCUCGGGUGCUUGGUGAAGAAUGGGAGGUUUGACAGCAGCUUCAAGCUCUAUGACGAGAUGAUACGCGAAGGGCUAUCACCUGAUCCAUUCACCUACAGUACUGUACGGGACUAUGACCCUUUUCUUUAUCUGUCAACAUUGUGAUAUGUAGGACAUAGCUUUUGAAAUAGCUCUCUUGUAUCGUCCAGCUGCUAUCAGGGUGCGUGAAGUUGAAGCAGGGUUACACGAAGGCAAUGGGAUUGAUCAAUGAGAUGAAAUCCCGAGAUCUUCAGAUGGAUAGUGUAAUAUAUGGCACUCUUCUGGCAAUAUGUGCAUCUCAUAACUACUGUGAGGAGGCUGAAGUAUAUUUUCAGAAAAUGAAAGAUGAAGGCCAUAGUCCUAAUCUGUUCCAUUACAGCUCCCUGUUGAAUGCAUAUUCAGAAAAUGCUGAUUAUGGAAAAGCUGAGCUGUUGAUGAAAGAUCUGAGGUCCUCUGGAUUAACACCAAAUAAGGUCAUUUUUCUUAUUCUUGUUCAGUGGUCCUUUAUUAAUAAGCUAGAAUGUAUAUGCUUCCUGAUAUGCCGAAGGAUAUUCUUACAUCAAGUGGGGGAAGUGUCUGCAAACCCAUCUAGUUUCUACCAUGAUUUACUGUUUGCUACAUCAUCAGUUGAGUGGGACUUGGCUGACCCGCAUUAAAGUUGCAUGGAGAGCACUGGUGCUCCCAAUUGUUUCUAAAUAGCCUCUUCACAUUGCAAUCAUCACCUGCUUCUUUUUUGAACUCCUAUACAGCUAUACCUGUACUCGAGGAGUUCACCUUGAAUAUUUUGGAAUUUUCAUCAUUCGUUCAACAAAAAGUUUGUGCUAAUAUUGUCAUUCUAGUACCAUCUAAAUUAUAUUACACUCGCAGGUUAUGUUGACCACUUUGUUAAAGGUGUAUUCUAAAGGUGGUAUCUUUGAGAAGGCUAAGGACCUGCUAGCUGAACUGGAAGCCUCAGGUUUUGCACAGGAUGAGGUAAAACAUGGGGUCUCACACAGGAAUACUUAACGUGCAUGAUUGCAUGGUCCCUUAAAUUGAUCAGCUUUAGUUAAUGCUUCAAUUCAUGUUAUCAUAAUUCAUUAAUUCAUUAAUCCUUAUACUGUGUCCAGAUGCCAUACUGUAUAUUGAUUGAUGGCCUUGUCAAAGGUGGGAAGAUAGAGGAAGCAAAUAUGUUAUUUAAUGAAAUGAAAGAAAAAGGGGUCAAAUCUGGUAUGGUAUAUAGCUGGAUAACACAUUAAAUUCUCUCCUUUUUCUAGUUUCUCGUUGUAACUGUACAUAUAUGAUUCUUCGUAAUAUACUUUUCUGGGCUAUAAAUAUUUCAUUCCAGUGCCUUGUUCCUACCAAUAGAAUUAGAUGGUUCACUGUGUAUAUGCUGACUAGUUGCAAAUAAGCACAUCAAAUUUUAUUUUAAGCUUCCUCUAAGAAAGUUAUGCUUCAUGGUUGUGUUAAUUGCAUGCUCCUGUAGUCCUGUUUAGUGCAAUCUAGCUUUUGCACUUCGUGUUGUGUUGAGGAGUCUUAGGUGGCAUAGUAUGUGGUAAUAUAAUAAUUUUCUUGACCUUUGUACAUGCACUCGCAUGCAAAUAUCUUACUGGUCCUAGCAUCAACUAUUUGUUUCUUGUUGACAUUUUCUGAUCUGCUUAUCUUCUGGCCACUGCAGAUGGUUAUGCAUUUAGUAUCAUGAUUUCAGCAUUACACAGAGGUGGUCAUCAUCAAGAAUCAAAACAACUUGCAAAAGAAUUUGAGGCUGAGAAUGCAUCAUAUGAUCUGGUUAUGCUUAAUACAUCACUGCGCACUUACUGCAGCACAAAUGAUAUGGAGAGUGUAAUGAGGAUGCUGAAGAAAAUGGAUGAAUUGAACAUAUCUCCUGAUAAUAUUACAUUUAAUACCUUGAUAAGGUACUUCUGCAAUGCAAAGGUUUAUCACCUAGCAUACAAGACGGUUGAAGAUAUGCAUACAAAGGGUCAUCAAUUAAAUGAGGUAUUUUUGUUAUCAUACUGUUGAUCUAUUUAAUGCAUCAUUCCUGAGUUGUAUCCAAAUUGAAGCUCCAUGAUCACAUCCUUGAUAUUCUGUUCAUUCUUGAUUGGAAUCAAAACUUUAUUUAUUUUCCUUGUAUCAUUUCCAUUUGCUUGUUUUGUAUUCUGCAUGGGGAUAUAGUUACCUCUUUUAUUUACAGAGAUCAAGUGGGAAUACACAACGAUAGGCUUAAGUUUUUGUUAUUUGAUCGGUUAAUCUUGUUAUCAUCUCAGUAUUUGGAGCACAGUCAAAUAGUUCUACAUUAUAGUAUGUCUGAAUAUUUUCCAUUGCUGACUGAACUGUUGAACCAAAAUGAGUACACCUAUCAUUUUGAGUGAACACACUUGCAGAAGAGAGUGAGGGAUAGUAAUUGCACAAUUUCCUAGAGCACGCUUCAAGUCAGCUUUUUAUUGCAGAAAACCUAUAUGUAGCUGAUAAAAAAAAUUAUAAAUCUUCUCCAGGAGCUUUGUUCUCAUGUAAUGGUACAGCUAGGAAAAGCAGGUUUUCCUUCUGAAGCAUUUUCUGUGUAUAACAUGUUGAGGUACAGUAAGAGAACAGUACGUAAAUCUCUUCAUGAGAAGGCUUUAGGCAUCUUGGUUUCAUCAGAACUUCUCAAGGAUGCAUACAUUGUUGUUAAGGUAAUAAAAUAUUACUCUUUUCGGUCUUUUGGCAUUUGCUACUGCAAUCUGCUUUGUUUAUUCUUGUGUCCCCACUAAGCAUAUCAAAUUGAGCAGGACAAUGCUGAGCUGAUUUCUCCUUCCUCCUUGGAGAAGUUUGCUAGGGCUUUCAUGGUAUCAGGAAAUAUAAAUCUAAUUAACGAUGUCAUGAAAGCCCUAAAUCGCUCUGGGUGGCGUAUCAGCCAGGUGAUGCUUCUGUACCUGUAGUAUGUCCUUUGGUACCUGUUUGGAAUUUAAUACAGAUUUCAAAACAGUAUAAUUAUACUAGAUGGUUUGUUUUGAGGCUCUGAGAGUCCAAGUAUACCCAAAAACUAAAUGUUUUAGUUAACCAAAGGCUUAUGCUAUCGGAUACUCUGAAAGUACAAUUACAUGUCAAGGGCACAAUUCUCAUGGUAUUAUAUGUUCCAAUGUCCAUCAAUCUGGUUAAACCUUGCAGAUUUCCACUCUUGACUCCUGGGUUUGGGCUCCAAUAUUUAUUUAUAAUUCAUGUCUGAAAUUGGAAUUCUUGUUUACAGUAUGUCUUCUUUUAAUAUUUAUUUAUCAGACUUCUAGGAAACUUUUUGGUUGAAGAUUUUUUUUUUUUGAGGAAGUGGUUGGGACAAGAAUGCUACCAUAAUGUUUAGAGUAUUGGACAAUUCGCAUUGAAUUUCAAUUUAUUUUUUUAAAAAGUAACUUGUAUUUGCGUCCUUGUAAGUGAAUACACGCCUAGUAUUCUUACUAAUGAUGAAAUGGUGUGGCUUUUACAAGCUUCUGCUACCUGAUACUAGUAAUUACAAGGUUCCCUACAUCCUGAACUUAAUGGGGCUUAGCAAUACCAUUGUUGCUCUAGCACUGACAUGUUGAAAUGGCUGCUGGGAAUGAAGAUCAUAGAAAUCAGUGUUUUAGGAUCCCAGGACCAGGAUAAAAAACAUUAGCAUGUCACUUUCAAGAAAUUAGGUGGUUGGGAAUAACUGGUGUGUUUUUGGUUUUUCUGAAAACAGUGAUAAGUAGGCAUUUUCUUACCACGAGGAUUUUAAAAUUCCAUGCAUAAGAGUUUGUUGCUUCAGACUUCAUCACAAUGUUUGGUACAUUUUGUCUUUUCUGGGUUUCUUUUGGUAGCUUGCAUUUAUUGGCUGAUCAACGACCAGCCUAUACCUUCUCCUGGACCCAGUCUGAGUGUGUUCCUCAGGACCAGGUCGGGAAUAGUUUUAUAGCAUGUAUUAGUUUUCAGGUGAGGCUCAUGAUUUAACUUUAGUAGAGCAAAAAGCUCGCCAAAGUUUAAGCUUCCAUAUUUUUGUGACCUUCCCCAACUCCCCAUUGUAUACCCAACAUUGGAUCUUCGUUUCAUCUUCUGGAUGGCAAAAUUACCUAUCCGCUUUGUUGGCCAAUGGCAUUCCCCAAGUUGUUUCUUCCUGCCUAAAGUUGUCCUGUCCUGAUUUCUGGUAUAAUAAUCUAGAAAAAUGUGUCCUCUACUUAUUUUUUUCCUUUUCUUCAAUAGAUUAAACAAUCUUACUUUUGGAGAAGAGAGGUUAGUGAUGCUUCUUUCCUUUUUCUGAUGCAUUCCUGACAGUGAUGAUGCACUGAUUAGUUUUUUAGGGAACUUUUUUAUUACCUGUAAAGUCUGACAUGAACUGUUCUGUAGAACAUAAAAUGGAUCUUUUACUCUAUGUUCUUUUGAAUUUGAUUGCUUCUUUAGCUCUUGUUGUGUGAUAAUUUUUUGAUAAUACGAUUAUUCCCAGAAUGCUGGUUGUUUGUAAUUUUUUGCCCACUGCAAAAUUUUGUGGUUUGGGCUUUGGGAUUCAUGUUUUUGGCUGGUCAAUUUGGCCUGAUGCUGCCAAGUUCUCAUACUUCAGACAUGCCUCGGGCAAUAUUGUGCUUUGUCAGGCCUGUCCUGACCCCACAUAUGAACAUUUAUAGCAAGCAUGCUAAUUUAGUCUUCCUUUCAAUGCUGCUGAACACAAUCGUUGCAUUUACAGGAUAUCUUUGGGAGAGCAAUUCAGAGAUACAUCCAGAAGCCUGAUAAAAAGCAUCUACUGCUGUGCCUCUUGGACUGGAUGACUGGACAAGGCUAUUCUGUAGACUCAUCAUCAAGGAACUUGCUUUUGAAGAAUGCACAGCUUUUUGGCCAAAAACAACUGAUAGCAGAAAUUCUUUCUAAGCAGCAGACAGCAUCAAGGACCAUUGGACAAAGACACAAAAAAUGAUUAAGGAAAGAUUUUGUAUAUAUAAUUUGUUCAUAUCCACCCAAGAACCUCCUUCAAUAAGCCACAAUUGUUUGAGGAUCAAUUUACUGUGCUCAGAGUCGUCGUUCAGAUGACAAGGUAUCAGCUAUCGCCGUCGUGUGCGGAUGUGCCUAAGCUCCGGCAACUGACUUCCAUUAGAAUUUCAGAUUAUGGUAUGUGGUAUAAGUCUGCACAUAGUGAAUCACCCUGAGUUCAUUCUCCUUAACUUGUGCUAUGUCUACUGUGGCCAGGAACUUUCCCGUGAGACAUGCUUGUUCCACAGCAAUCCACCUGGGAGUGAUGGUAGUAUAGGCCAUGCUUGAAAUGAUGUGUAGGUUAGAUUAUAGAUUGUCUGAUAAGCUUACCAAGUAUCCGCAACAUUUCUUUGUAGCUACAGCAGAGAAUGUCGGUUUAUAUCUACAGCAGAGAAUGUCAGAUUAUAUCCACAGCAGAUCGGGAAUGUCAGUUUAUAGCUACAGCAGAGAAUGUUGGCUUGACUUUAGCGGAUUGUGCUUGUUGAAGUCACUGUACAUGGACCUAGAAAGCUGCGCACAGAUUUAGAUUUGUUAACUACAUAUAUUUUGUAACCAGUCCUGAACAUGGAAUGGACAGUUUCCUGAGCAAUGAAUGUAAGAUGGAUUAACCAAACAUACAAAUGGAGUUAAUGGGAUUUUUUGGUCAUAUGCUACUGUUAUACCAGUAUUACGUGAACUCAGAUUCAGGGGGAAAAAACUUCGCUAUCCUUUAGUUUCUUUUGAUUGGAUUUGGAGCAUCAGAAUACCUCAUGAUUCAUGAAACCAGAUAAGCAUGUUUUGAUCCAGAUUUUGAAGACACUUCAUUUGGAACAUGGCAUUUCAUCUGGUUAUUGCACUGGCUCUGUGGGUCAUUAUAUCCCAAUGAAAAGCUUUAUAAAAGCACAAACAAAAUCCCAAAAAGAAUAGUAGAUUUAAAUAUAAGAGAAGGGCAUUAGAAAAAGAAAAAUAUUGGACAUCCAAAUAAAUUCCAAGGGAAGGAAAAUGUAAUAGUACUCGCGGUCGCAUUGUCCCAAUGACCAGUUCCUCCAUAUAUGGCGUGUUAUGGGAUCUAUGCCAAUUAUUGUUGAGUAUUGCCACAAAAUUUUGUAAGGACUACAAAUUUCAGAAAGUAACCAGUGUGCUGCCUUCCAUCACUAAACUGCUUAUUGGAGAUAAGAUGUUGAUUUGAGAUUUGGCUUUUUAUCAUAUGCAAGCACAACGGGGAAAAAAAAUCAAUUUGCCUGCUGGAGUUUAUGCCUUCUAAAAAUGGAGUGGACACACUGGAAGUCGACACUAGCUAGGUCAUGCUAAACCAAGUUUCUUAGAGGAUCCUUAGUUAUCUUUUCCUGUUAUUUGUAGGAUAUUGCCAUGUGAAACUAUAGCCUCCUAAACUGCUCUCCUUUUGCAGGUCAGGUAAAUUGCAAUAAUGCAUAGACAUGCAAGGUUUAUCUCCAUCAUCAAGAGGUUCGAAGUUCUUUGUCCUCAUCACUGAAUCGGUGCCACUGUUGAGGUGAACUUGGAGAAAGAACCGUGCUUGAGUUUGACAAAAUUUAUUCUCUGAUGGUUACAUAAGAUGUCGUUUUUAGAGAUGCGUCCGUGGCACGAACUGAUAAACAGUGACGUGAAUAUUUUUGCUCUAAGGCUGAGGCCGCAGAGUAUAUUUUCUUAUUCACACAUCCCUUUCGUCUUGAGUUGAGAUAUUCAGUUCAUGGUUGGCUGAAUGGUGGGGACUCUAUGAUUGAGCUUACACUAACCACCAUCUGCAGGAUCUUUUGGAUAAAAAUCAUCCAAUCAGUUUUCGAGUCCAAACAAUUCGAGCACAUAAGAUUCCUGUCCUGUGCGUACAGUUUUGACCAGUUUUGCGGAAUCUUGUUGCGUGUCUAGGCUUCAAAACUAUUUCCCCCAUUUGUUUGUCCUCUAUCUCCUUGCAACGAUGAUUUUAUCAUCCCUGGUAACAUGCAGUCUUAAUCUUCCUUGCAAGUAGCACCGAAAGAACAAGUUCAUUGCAUCCAGACAUAAUUGCAGUGCACAAAGUCGUCAUACUCAGCUAUAUUCAUUGAGUGGGACAUCCUUUUUUGUGUUGUUGCAGGGAACAAGAUUUUCAGGUACCAGAGCAUAUCACAUUGGGUUCCCAUCUAAUUUCCUAUGCUUUAGUCAUUAUCUUCAAAAAAAUCAAGCAGCACCUAUCAUUGACUGAAACGAUGAUCUGUUUCACCAGAAUAUCAAACAAACAAAAAGUACAGGAGCAAACAUUGACAAUAUUUCCCUGAAAUAUUAUGGAGCAUGCCAGUUCCUUUUUCUUGCUAUUGUUUGGCUCUGGACAGUUAAUAAAUUUGCGCUGAGGCCACUAUCUGAAGAACAAAGAUAGAGGGAGACAACAAACUUGGGGUAAAGGACUGACAUUCAGUCAAAAGUUUUGUGAUACUAGUUUGAGAAAACCGUACUUCAAAAUUUUGGAGCAAAUUAUGUUUUGAGUUCCUUGUGGACCUUUUCUAUUUCACGGUCCACUUAACCCACUGAAGGAAAACUCUGUUUUUAACCGGCCAAUUGCGACUCUUGCGUCCCUGAUAAGAUAAACCACGCGAGAACAUCCUUAUCAGAGUGUACAAAUCACCAAAAAGAAAAUGGGGUACAGAAUCAGCAGGUAUGCAGGUGAGGAUCAGCACAAGACGGAAGAGGCCAAGGCCUUCGUUCUCAAUCCAUCGCGGGCCCAUGACAGCUCGUCCACUUCUCUAAUCUCUAGUGUUUAUUUUUUUCCCCCGAAGGGCGACUUUCAGUUUCGUCCCCCUUGAGUAACCGGUGUUACCAUCUUUCUUUCUUCUUUUCUUCAAUCGUGUCACUGUCAAUUGCCGUCAUUUGGUCUAUUCUCGGUGGUCAAGUGGAGGAAUCUCACAAGCAAUCCCAUCCAUAGGGAGGAAAUGGUCGCCAGCCAAUGGGAUCGCCUUCUUGUGUGACUGACUUGUGGGCCCGGUGCAGAUGCGUUCACUUUCAAUUGGGAGAAUCUCACUAGCGGUUUAUUGUGGUGCGCAACAGCGCAAUGACACGCAAUGCAGUGAAAGCUAAGUUAUUGUUGCUAUCGCUCUACACGGACUGACGGACAAGCUUAUGCAGCGUCCAGUGGUGUAGGCCUGCUAAGGGGUUAUUCACCCACCCCGCCCUACUUCAUAAUUCUAUUAUCUAAACCCAACCCGACCCGUUCCACUAAUUAAUAUAACACAUAAAUUUGGUAUAUAAACCUAUGAGUUUAUAUAAGCUUCAUGUUCACACCUUAAAAUUUUAGAGAAAUCGACUGAAAUUUGCCGGAGAUGAAUCAGCUUAUAUAUGGAGCCCGCGUCAAGAGCCGGACCUUAAAACUAAAAUCUCACUUUCACACAUUAAAAUUUUAGAGAAAUUGAUCAAAUUUUGCUAAAGACAAUCCGCUAGUUUUGUACAGUUCGAGAGCCGAAAUUAAACCUAUGAACUAAAUCCAUACAAACUAAAAAAGAACCACUUCCAAUCCGACCCAACCUACCCCAACCCAUUAGAUACUCAAACACACCUCAUGUCACAACCCGUCAUAUAAAACAUAUUUCAACCCGCCCCAUUAGCAGGUCUACAGUGAUAGGCGAAUCUGACUCUGAGCUCCACCGUACCAAUGGCAAAUAGGAGGCAACAAGCACGGAAUUGACUGGGAAUUCUCAAUUAUUUGCCGUUCAAUUGGUCAAUAUUCUUUCUAUAGUUUUCUAUGCAAAAAAAAUAUUUAAAGUUUUCACGAAAGUGUGUCAACAGAUUGCCGUGGAGAAUACAUUAUUGAAUCAGUGCGUUGUUUGCAAUAUUUCCAACAUACAACUAGAGGAAAUGGACGGAGAAUCAUUGUUAGUUUUUUAGCCUUUUGGUCUUUUUACCGUACUAUAUUCUCAAUUAAAAUUUCACAAAAUCAUUGUUAGUUUCUUAGACUUUUGGUCUUUUUACCGUACUAUAUUCUCAAUUAAAAUUCCAGAAAUCACAUCUAACACUAAUUAUAUGGUGAAUAGCUUGUCAGUUCCCUCUUCUUUCUUUUAUAAAUUUUUUUUCCUUUUGGAUGUUAGAAGUUCCUACUCUUAAGUCCCGAACAAUACAUGCUGCAGUCCUAGAAAAUUUCAACCUAUGCAAAACAACUAACUGAUGAUACUAUUUUUUUUCUUCCUUCCUUCAUUUCUUUCUUUCUUCAAUGGCGUUAAUCAGCUACUAUCAUUGCAAUUGGGUCUUCUCCCUGCUUAGUGCGGUGAGGGGAACAAUCUCACAAGCAACUCCAUUAAUAAAAGGAAAUGGUAGCAAGUGGAAUAGAUGACGGGUUUGUGGGGCCCAACGUAGAUGAGUUCACUCUUGAGAAUAAUCCUCACUGGAAGUUCAUUGUGAUGUACAAUGACGCAUGAUGAUGAAAGCUGAGUUAUUUGCUACUUCGUUUAAAAUUGCAUGUUGUUUUAGUUUUUCUAGGUUCAUAGAUAUUAUUAUGCACAUAGAUAGUACAUAAUAAUAUCUAUGAACCUAGAAAAGUUAAAACAACUUACAAUUUGGAACGGAGGGAGUAUAUAUUACAAUACUGGGACAUACUAUACAUGUGCAUAUGGCAAUGCUACUCUCUCUUUCUCCCUUACAAAAUGUUUGUUCUAAGUUAAACUUCUCUAAUUUUUAACCAAUUUUAUAAACAACACACCAUUAUCUGCAAGACUGCAACAUCAAAUAUGUUUCAUUAAAUCUACCAUAAAAAUGUGUCUUUAUACUUCAUUUAUUUCCUAUUGUCAAAACCAACGAGUGGUCUUGCAACAUGUUAUUCUCAUCUAGUAAUUUCUAAAGACAAACCACCAACGAACGGAAGGAGCAUCUUACAGUCCUAAAUUUAAAAACAAACUACACAAACCACCAACAUUAUGCUACAAUUCUUUUAAUUUUAAUUAUCUUUUUUUAAGAGAGAAGGUGCCGAGAGUCGUUAGACUUGACUACAAAUCAAAAGCAGGAAUUCUUGAUUGCUGAGGGGUUGGCCAUCAGACCUCGGCGUGUCGCCGUCGUCCAAACUGGUAAGAGCACGUACCAUUUUUACGAAAAAAUCUCUCAACUCAGCCGAGAGACGGGUGCGCCGUCUCCUCGUAAAGGGAUGACGGGGGCUCGUGCUCCCAAACCAUAUUUAAUCAUCUUAAUUUAUGAGUUUAUAUAAGAAUUAAUUAGCUUGCAGAUAACCUAUUAUAUAAGUUAUCUGUAUUGCUAACCGGCUAAACUGAGGAACGUGCUCUAAGGAUUGCAGCGAUGCAGCGGCUGACGUUUCAACUGAGAGAGCUCCCGGCUCCCGGCUCCCGGCGGCGUGGAUAGCGACGCGGCAAUAAAAGGCGAGCAGGGGUAACCUGGGCCGCACCCGCACCCUUCCGUGAUACCGACGCCCGUCGUGGGCCGGCGGCGGGAGUACGCUGGCGCCGUCAGCGGGGCCCAUUGCGGGUCUGGGCCCACACGUCAACCGCCGCACGGUGAGGUGUGAGGAAAUAUCUGGAGCGGCCGUCUUGGCGAUCUGCUGGCCCGUCGUCGGACACCUCGGAUUCGGGUCGGAUGUACGGUCGCCGACUCGCCCGCCCCGUCGCUAAACCAGCGGCGAUCCGCGCGCCACGUGGCAGCGGCCUUGGCGCCUGGAGAUUCCGUGGACCCGUUCUUCUUCAGGCUGCGUGUGAACCAAAUCCGUCCUGCACCGUCACUAUAAAUUUAAUCGGCUACGUAUGGAGUGUACUACCAUUAAAUUAAUUUUAGCAGUAUCACGUCGAUAUUCGGGUGCUAAUUAGGAGGACUAAAUAUGAACUAAUUAUAAAACUAAUUGCAGAACCCUAGACUAAUUCGCGAGACGAAUCUAUUAAACCUAAUUAAUCCAUCAUUAAGCCUAAUUAAUCCAUCAUUAUCAAAUGAUUACUGUAGCACCACAUUGUCAAAUCAUGAACUAAUUAGGUUUAAUAGAUUCGUCUCGCGAAUUAGACUCCAUAUGUGCAAUUAGUUUUGUAAUUAGCUUAUAUUUAAUACUCCUAAUUAGUAUCAAACAUCCGAUGCGACAUGUGCUAAACUUUAGCGGGUGGCCUCUAAACACCUCCAUAGACUGCUUGAUCGUCGGUGCGCAAAAAGGUCACAGGGACGCUUCCCUUUCACUACUCCUGCAGCCUGGAUGGAAAUAUGGAAUGAUCACGAUCCCUAUGUUUUGGAAAAAGAUAAAUCAAACAAACUGCUAUUAUGUUUUAAAAUUUAGGUCAUUUUAAUUUUUUUAAAGUUAAAUUUCUCUAAAAUCGGUUCCUUCUAAAUUCACCUCCUCUAGCUGGUAGGUGCAUACGUACGUUGUUGUGUGUAAGCGCAUGAUCCAUAUACGGGGAGAGAGAAAGCUAAGCUCAAUUGAAUUAGCAAAUUAUAAUCAAUAAUGCAAGAAAAAGUACAAGGAAAGCAAAAGUAAUAAAGUACAUUGGCCUACUCUAUUCGUUCAAGAAUCAAAAAUUAGUUGAAGUGCAUUGGAUUAAUUGCUUUCUGCUGGGAGCUAAAGAAAUAAACCUUCCCUUUAUGCGUCUUGUAAGCCGUGGGGUGUUACUAAGGGUUUUAUGAUCAUUAAAUCAUAGCCACAUCAGUAGUUUUGCUAAUAUGGCAACCUAAUUAUGAGGAGAGAGGAGAGGGAAGCUUCAUCCUCAUGAAACCCACCUGGCACAAUUACCUGGUCCUAUGAAAUCCAAUAAAAAUUGCAUUGAGGAUGUUAUAGUUUCAUCGCAAAACACAUUUGAUCAUACCUCCACACAAAAAUUAAAUGCUACAGGUUGUCUAUAAAACUGUGCAAUGAAACUAUACAUUGAGUGAUAGUUUCAUUUCAUUGAAAAGAUGACAUGACAAUCUUGGUAACAGUGUGAGGAAACUAUGCACCGAGACUGGCCUAAAGAUGCAAAAAUUCAAGAAAUCCAGUCUUAGUAUACAGUUUUACUGCACUGUUAUAAGACUAAAAACUAGGUAACUGUGCUUGUUGAGCGUUAUUGGAAAUAAAUUCUUCUCACACAUGAUGAAACUCCUCUUCUCUCUUCUCAUAAAAGGGCGUUGCUAGCGCCCGGACAUCUGAUGGAAAAAUUUCCCAUCGGAUGCUCUAUUGGUCCAUCGCAACAUCAAAAAAUAAUAUCUGCAAGAUAGAAAAUAAACGUUUGGAACAUAGAAAAUCACCGUUUGCAACAUCAAAAAACAUAUGCAACAUCUAGAUCUAUUUUGCAACAUCCACAUGAAACACUUGCAAUAUCCUUUUGAAACAUCUGAAACACUUGAAACGUACGCUUGCAGCGACGCCGUGGGCCAGCGGUAGCUCACCGUCUUCGCCUUCCAGGCCGUCCUCUUGGCUGCCGCUCGGCGCUCCACCUCGCGACGUCCCUGCGCAGCAGCCGCCUGCCGCUCCUCGCGCUCCACCCGCUCUUGGCCUGAGCAGCCGCGGGCCUCCUCCCGCUAACCCUCCUCCUCACCGCGUGAGGGAGCGGCACCGGGAGAGCGGCAGCCCGCCGCCCCUAGCCGCUUCCCCACGGCCCGCGUCCGGCGCCCUUCCCCCGUCGCAAGAGUAGCAGCUGGCGCUAAGCCCCUAGCGCCUGGCCUGCCACCAUGACCUCGCUGCUUGCUGCUCUUGGGGUAGAGUUGGGGUAGAGUGGUAGGCCAUGGAUAGCUGCGCCUAGCGAAGGAGCCGGCGGGCCAAACGGAUAAGGAGAGAAAGAACAUGAAGAAAAAUAGCGGUUGCAAAAAUCAACUCGAGAAGCUACUAGUUGGCAGGUUGAGUGGUGGACCCGCGUCCGAUUUAUUUAGCAAGCACCGGACCUGAGCUUAGCAUUUCCGCUCACAAACUUCUACCAAAUCAGCAAAAUUGCUGAUGUGACAUAAAAUUUAAUGCCUUGAUACUACUAACAAGCACGGGUGAACGUGCAUACGAUUCGUAUUUGGCUCACUUUCCCCGCAUUUGCCUCGGAGAAAUAAGAUUCAUUCCACACUGACAACCAACAUUUAAGGUAGAGAGAUACACUCGUACGUGCAGCUGUUUUGAGAGGUACAGAGACCCAUCAGAUUUUCUAAAGUUUCACACUUACAUACAUACAAGGUUUUAUGGUUUGAAGGAUUCAUGCCGUUUGCAAUUUACAAGAUUAACUAUGUAUUUGAGUUUGUGAUACGACAGAAGUAAAAUAUUUUUUUGAGGAAGUAACAAAGGUAAAAAGAAAAUAUUACGAAGUCCAUUCCGAAAAGAGUGAAUUUGCAAAGAAGGGUGCCAAUAAAAAGCCUAGUCAUUGAUUUGAGGAUGGUUCUUAAAAGGAUUUCGCAAUGUUUGUAACAAAAGCUAGUCCAUUAUAUGUAUAGCUUUACAAAAUUAUACACUUGAUUAAUUAAGGCAAAUUGCAUCCGUGUACUUUUUCCGGUGCUUUUUAAUCAGUGAGCAUCCAGAAAGCGUGCACGUAUGCACAUGCCAAACGUCCCUCACACUCUACCUAAAUUUCUCGUCCCACUUGCAUUAGUGAACACCAAACAGUGAUGACUCAUACAGUCAUACUAAUAAACAAGUAAAAGUUCCGAUCACAGAUGGUCACUGCUGUUUGCUCCACUUAACCGAGAUGUUUUACCACGUACACGACUUCAUAACACGUCCAUAACAAGCCAAGAGGCUCCCAAUCCUUCCAUCUAAUUAAUAAAAAGACACGGUAGGCAACCCUCGGUGUGGCGGGUGCGGCCACGAAGAGAGACAGCUGUCUCAGGGAGGGUCUGUUGCGAGCGAAAAUAUCGAGCUCCUCCAGCUGGUGAUUGGCCGGCCGUUCGCGCAGGGUAGGGACUAGGGGACAUAGGCGGUAGGCCCGUGGUAGGGACGAGAAAUCUAGGACGAACAAACCGAGUGGUUGUGCAAUCAGAGGGCACAGCUCGAUCAGGUCUGUUCAGCAUCAUCAUCAUUCAGGAAAUUUGGUAGUUUCGCGUACCGACUCUUCUUACGCCAUUUCUUUCUUGUUUGGCUUCAUGAAGAAGCGGAAUAUUCCUGCAAGCUAAUGGCCUUUAAAUGGUCCUUACAGAUUAACUGAUUUUUUUUUCCAUUAAGACAAUAUCAGUUCUACAUCCGUCUCAAAAUACAGCUAUACCCGCAUUAGCACUAGGUCAGUCAAGCUUCUGACUCUGCCUCUACUAGCCACAAAAUGAGGAUACCAUACUCAAAAGUUGGAUUCCAGUAGAUCACGAUAACAAUGGAUCGGUGAUGAGAAGACAUUUUGCAGCAGAGGCGAGAAUUAUAAUAGGUAAGAAUUAUAAUAGGUAGCUCUCCUGUUGGUUCGUUUUAAAAAAAAAUUAUGGUUGCAAUAACAGGAUGUCCUCCCAUGUUUUUAUUUAUUUUUAUUUUUUCUUCAUUCAUUUUGUCUAAAAUUCGUAGACCCGACGCGACGCGACCCGCCUCAGCGAGCAUGCGGCCUAAGACCACUACCGGCCCACGUCGUCACUACCUUCCUCCCCGUAUGCCCUAGCGCCGCUCUCCUGCAUCAUCUUUGGCAACUCCCGUCACCAGCGACCCUCCCCCGCGCACUAACCCAGCUCCGCCACUGACUCCUAUGUCGCCUUCCUCCUCCAACUCCUUCCUCCCCUUUGCUUGCCCCCGCGCUGCCGCCAGCACCCUCCGCCGCCCUAACCUGGCUCCGUUGGGGAGCUCACCUCCAACCCCCACCCCCGCCUGUCCCUGACCCACUGGUUGUCUAGCUGCCGACCCCGGCCGGUGGUGUCCCCACCGCCACGCCGUGCCGCAUCGCUCCGCAACCCGCCUCCGCCGCUAGGCCUAGCUGCGGCCCCCACCCCCUUUCUAAGGUCGGUGCCGCUCCCCCGGCAGUCCUAAACCCGAAGCCCGAAUCCAGCGGUGGCGGCUCGAAACUCUAACAUGAGAGGAGGAAGAUAGGGGACAGGAGAAAGGCGGGAGGCUGUCGGACGAAGGGAGAGGAGGAAGAGAGAACUGAUAGGUGGAUCCCGCAUAUGCGAUAUUUGUCGUGUAUGCGACAUAUAGUCAUGGUGACUAAACUGUGGGGUAGAGGUGUGUAGUUUCGCUGAAAAUGUGACCACCGCUGGGCUCCACUGCGCGUCCGUGGACCCACAGGAACGAAGCCUACGGCGCACGAUAAAAGGAGACGUUGGAGGCUUCCUUCCCCCGGAACCCAACCAAAACCCCCCCUCUUCCGAACCAACUCCCAAUUCCACUCGCCGCCUUCCCUCCGACGCCAUGAUGGCCGCCGCUCGCCUCCGCCUCGCGCUGCUGCUCUACGUGUUCAUGUGCGCCGCGUGGGCGCGUCCCGGCCUCGAGCCGGCCAUCCGCCUCCCGUCGGAGCGCGCGGCGGCGGCGGGCGAGGGGACGGACGACGCCGUCGGGACCCGGUGGGCCGUGCUCAUCGCCGGCUCCAACGGCUACUACAACUACCGCCACCAGGUACGCGCCCCGACGCCUACCAGGAGAUGCGCGCCGCGAGCUCCGAUCGUCGGCUCGGCUGCGCGUAAUUUGAUUUCCUUGGUGACGAUUUAGCUUUUUAAUCAUUCUUGCGCAGCAUGUAGAACCCGAUUCGUGUCAUCCCCAUUUGAUUUUAUACGGUUUGAUUUGACAGAUGAUCAUCCAUAGUUAAAGCUAGAAAGAUUUUUUUCCCCGCUGCCCAUUCGGUGAUGAGCACUGCCGUAUCACUUUGAAAGCAGGCCCCACGAAUUUAAGAAAGCAAAAAAUUAGAGUUUCCCCCGUCCCGUCUGCUGUCUGCACCACCCGUUAGUAGUAAUAUCCUAGGAAGAUUUCAUGUUUUGGUCCAGCUCAUUUGCCGUAUGAACUGGAUUCCGGUUCCUCUUGUUCAGCUUUUCUGUUUUCUCAGAAUGAGAAAUUGGCAAGUCCCCUCGGCCGUAGGUGAUGAAAUUUUGCUGACUUUAGGGGGGCCUACAUGUCACCAUCAGUGCUGCAGGGAUCAGCAACCAUCCUAAUAAGGCCAAAUCUGUACAAAACCAUAUAUUUCUAGGAGUCCACAAACAUGACGAUUUGAAUAUUCAUAUUAAUUGGACAAACAAGACUUGAAUAUGUUUGUUUUUACUAGGUGCUGGAUGUCUGAUUGUACAAGCAUCAUACGUCUGCCUUACGGUUGUGUUCCAAAUUAUCGUUAACAUGAUUUUUCUUUUCAAAAUUACUUCCAACUUUGUGCUUAAUGGAAAAAAGACAUGGACCAUAAGAAGUGCUGUAUUUUUUAUGACAAAGAAAGGUUAUCUACUUAGCUUUUAUUGGAACCUAAGACAAGUUCUUCUGGGAAAUCAAACUUGCAGGCGGACAUCUGCCAUGCCUACCAGAUACUGAAGAAGGGGGGACUCAAGGACGAGAACAUCAUCGUGUUCAUGUAUGACGACAUCGCACACAGCCCAGAGAAUCCGAGGCCUGGUGUCAUCAUCAACCAUCCCCAGGGUGGCGAUGUCUAUGCUGGGGUUCCAAAGGUAACUCAUAUUUAUUCCUCCAGUAAAGUUUACGCUAGUUAGGGAUGUUCAGAAUUACCUUUCUACUAAGUGGAGUAGUUGUGAAAAAAGAAAAGUUACAUCGUGACAGUAUUAUAGUUUAAGUAUUUAACCCCCAAAAAUAUGAACACCAUCAAGUACUGCAUUGAAAAUGACAGAAUGCCUAAAUUUCCAUCAUACUGACAUCUUUGGCCAAUUUGUUCUGAACAAGAAAGGCUGUGAUUUGGUGGAGAUAAAGCUAGGACGACUUAAUUAUAAUUGAAAUUUUCUACAUACUAAUGUCAACAUCUUUAGUACUACUGGUUACGCAUCUUUAGUCUUACUUUUCCAUCCAUUUGGCUAAAAUUACUCUGAUUUGCACUGCAGGAUUACACUGGGAGGGAGGUCAAUGUCAACAAUUUCUUUGCUGUUCUGCUUGGCAACAAAACCGCUGUCAGUGGUGGGAGCGGCAAGGUUGUGGACAGUGGCCCCAAUGAUCACAUUUUCGUUUUCUACAGUGACCAUGGGGGUCCUGGUGUCCUUGGUCAGUGCUCACAAGUCACAACUAAUCAUUCUAGGACUUCAUUCAGAUUAGUUAGUUUUUCACUUCAAUCAGAUAAGGUAUCAGUACGUACAUGUUUGUCGAACCAAAAACUGAACAGCUGUUUACUAUGUCAAAAACUUUCAGGGAUGCCUACCUAUCCGUACCUCUACGGUGAUGACCUCGUAAAUGUCCUGAAGAAGAAGCACGCUGCCGGGACGUACAAAAGCCUGGUAACAGAUCAGUUGUUUGCUCACUUCUGCUUUUGUAAUGUUGUGAUGCGUGAAGAAUUCACUUGAUCUGUAUGCGGAUUCUCUGAUUCUCUCACCUUUUGCAGGUCUUUUACCUUGAAGCAUGUGAAUCUGGGAGCAUCUUUGAGGGCCUCCUGCCGAACGACAUCAAUGUGUAUGCGACCACUGCUUCAAAUGCAGACGAGAGCAGCUGGGGGACGUACUGCCCCGGCGAGUCCCCAAGCCCUCCGCCAGAGUAUGACACCUGCUUGGGAGACUUGUAUAGUGUUGCUUGGAUGGAAGACAGGUACUUGAUUUUUUAAAUAUCUUUUUUUACUGCGUUUUCCUAUUGUGAGAUCUUGUCAGACCAAUUCACAUGUUGGGCCAUGGAACUGAGUCUGUUUUGGUUUCACUCACAUCAGGUAGUUAACAUGGUACUUGAUAAACCAAUGGGUUAGCUAACAUAGACACAUAGUACUGUACGGAUUUGCGAUUUGGGAAUGAUACUAGUACCUGAUAACAUGACUACACCUCGCUGUCUUUGUUAAAUACAGUCAGACGCAGAGGAUAUGCAUAUGUUGCACUGCACUACUUUUAGGUGCAUAUGCUUGACAAAAAAAUUAUAGAUUUGCCCCACGAUAUGAUAUCUUACAGCAGUUGGUUUGGACCAUGUGCUCUUUACUGAAAGAAUAGGCUGAACAUGUCAAUUUGCACAAUUCCCUUAAAUAAGAUAGAGAAGAAAUCAAAUACUAGUACCAUGAGUCAUCACCAGCUAUUCUGCUUUCAUUCUCAGCUGAGUCUACUUGUGAGCUUGGCCAAACUCUAUAUCAGACCAAGUUCAAAUGCUGCAGCUCAACUGCAAAAUUAUGCAUUCGACUAGGCCAGCUCUAACCUUUUUGUAGACUACAAACCUGAUAACCUGAUAACCAUGGAUCUAGACUCAUUUUAUUCUUUUGUAGUUCUUUCGUGUUUUAUCAUUCUGAAACAUUUCGGCAAGUCAGAGGAGAUUAGCUGCGCAUAUAAUAUCAUGCAUGUUCAUAUGUUCAAACUUUGAAGUGAGUUAUAACCUUUCUCCAUUUAGCUUAUUUGAAAUUUCUCAAUCUUGACAGUGAUUUCCACAAUCUGCGAACUGAGUCUCUCAAGCAGCAAUACAAUUUGGUGAGACUUUCAAACUUGAUUUGAUAAAAUCAUCUUAUAAGCUCGUUUCAGUAUGUCUAACAAUUAAACUUAUUGGUUGAUCAGGUCAAGGAUAGGACAUCGGUUCACAACACAUUCACCUAUGGUUCCCAUGUGAUGCAAUAUGGUUCACUGAACCUGAAUGUGCAGCAUUUGUUUUCGUACAUUGGCACAAACCCUGCUAAUGAUGACAACAAGUUUGUGGAAGGCAAUUCAUUGCCAUCAUUCACAAGAGCUGUUAAUCAGCGUGAUGCUGAUCUUGUUUACUUCUGGCAGAAGGUCUGUAUAUCGUGAGAAAGCAAUUAUUGUUUUCAGAAGAUCUCUUUACUUCAUUCAUGUCUUUUCCCCAACUUAAGCAUUCAUUUUGAUGAAUAAACCAACUGAUUGGCUUCUUUAUCUCUUGUGAAGUAUCGGAAAGUGGCUGAGGGCUCACCUGGGAAAAACGACGCCCGGAAGGAAUUGCUUGAAGUGAUGGCCCACAGAUCUCAUGUUGACAACAGUGUUGAGCUGAUUGGAAGCCUUCUCUUUGGCUCAGAGGAUGGUCCAAGGGUUCUGAAGGCUGUUCGUGCAGCUGGUGAACCUUUGGUUGAUGACUGGAGCUGCCUCAAGUCCAUGGUAAGCCUCUUAUUGACUAUGGUUGCAGCUACAUCAUGAAACAACUCUUCCUCUUCUUGCAUAGUUGCAUGCCUAACAAACCUCUGUAUUUUCUUCAGGUUCGUGCUUUUGAGGCGCAAUGUGGGUCGUUGUCUCAGUAUGGAAUGAAGCACAUGAGGUCCUUUGCAAACAUAUGCAAUGCUGGCAUCCUUCCUGAUGCAGUGUCAAAGGUUGCUGCUCAGGCUUGCACCAGCAUUCCUUCCAACCCCUGGAGCUCCAUCCACAUGGGUUUUAGUGCCUAAGUGAUGCACAGGUGAAGUGAAAUAUUUCAGCUGCUCCACCAUACCAAACUCCAUUACAAUCCUCAGGUGUGUUAGUGCUUGAACCAUAGGUGACGCGGAAUAUUUCAACCGCUCCAUCAUACCAAAUUAUAUAACAGUCCUCAAGGGCGUUAGUGCUUGAACCAUAGGUGAAGCAGACUUAUGCCAUUAUUUCAGCUGUUCCACCGUACCAUAUUGCCAUAGUUAUGCCCGAUUUCCGGUGUACAUACAUAGUCAGAAAGUUAUUUGGCAAUACAAUUUGUCGAUGUACAUAUAUUCCCUAUAGCUUGUUAGCAGAUGUGUAUAGUUUGUACUUCCAUUAAUGAAGAAGGCAUUGAUGCUAUUUUUAUGUCAUCAUCUAAAAUUCAAGCUUUGUCCAUGGCAUGGGAAUUUGUUCUUGACUCUUACAGGGAAGUGGACCAUUUAUUGUGAAAUUCUUGCGUUCAAAGAAACAAUACCUGCUGAGUUAUCUUUCAUCAGAUCGAGUUGAACUGUUUAUUCAUCUUCUGUUGUAAGUUGGGCACAUUUUCAGCUGUAGGCUUGUACCUAGUGAUACCUGCUUAAAGCAUGAAGACAUCAGGGCCAUCCAGUGUGAUUUCAGCAAAGGGUCGUUUCAUUAGUUUGCAUCCCUCUGUUGCAUUGUUUUCAGUAACAUGCCUUCAUGCUCGUCUGCUUAUAAAAUACGGAGUAGCGCACAUGUGCAGACUGCAGAGGUAUUGAUGAAAGGGAAUUCCAGUAUUACCAUUGAGCUGGAAAUGGUUACCAUUUCCUCGCAAAGUAUGCUAGGACUGGGAAGCAUUGCUGCAUAGGAGUGUAGGACUGUACAACUCGCAGGAAGUUGUGCCCUUGUUUACUCUAAUGUCGAUUGGUACUUAAUCUCUCUCUGCUCUCAUGUUUGAGAUUUAGCAGGAGACGUAAAAUCUUUGCACAUCAGUUUUAUAUAUUCAAAGAAGACCUCAAUGGAUCUAGUCGCCACAUUUUAUUUUCGAUGCCCUUAGGCCAAGUAACUGCUACAUGUCUGAACCACCUCUUGCGUUUCUGAAUUCUGGUGUGACUGCCUGGCUUAAAUGUCCAUCGAAGUUUAAACAGAGACACGAUUGUCUUGAGAUUCCAUGGCAGGAAUUUCCAGGCUGCCCAACAGAGUUGCUGAACCAACCAGAAUGUCUGCAACCUCAAGGAACCCAUCUGUCAACUCCAAAGCAACGCAAGUCUGUCAGACAGAACCUCGAUUUUCAUGUACGAAUGUGUUGUGCUGUCAACCCAGAACGAUUGAGUAAUCCAGCAGCCGUACCACUGCAGUUUUUGUUUACCGUAAGAGCAAUUAGUUGAUGAUUCCAUUGCAAGUACCAACGGCCGCGCUACGAAACGGACGGAGGGUAGGAGAUGGUUUCGGCCAGGGCUCCGUGUAGGCCAUUGCCAGGGCAAAGCAAGACAGUGCCGACCACACAGUUCCAGCCAGAGCUCCGUGCAGGCUGUAGUGCCAGUGCUACUGCUUUUGAUCCCCUUCUCUUUGGCUCGCACAUGCAGCGCAAUCAUGCAAUAAAAAGUAGAGUAGUAUGUAGCCUCCCCAGUCUGCAAGUUUAUUCAUGCAUGCCACUCUUUUGCUCGCGGCAGUGGAAGCCAACGAGAACGAAACAGACUGAAUUCAAGAAACUUGCUCUGGCUUGAACAUGGCAUUGGCAUGUCCAUGUCAUCCUUAACUGAAUAUUUGGACUCGGUACAACCUCAGAUAGGAAAUUACAGGGCGCGUUUGGUAGAUGUUUAUACAACAUCAUGACUCUUUGCCAAACUAUACCUGAGGUGUGGGUGUGGCUAAACAUUUGCUCACCUGCACGGUGUAGGUGAGGAAGUUUAGCAAAGUAUAUGACAUGCGGGGCGUUGAGUUGAAAAGGGUGGAAAGUUUGGCAAGCCCCAAUUACGGCAGAGGAACAAACAUUAGCAUGGUGAGAAUCAGGAACUGCCACAUGAAUAGCUUUGUAAACUUGCUGUUGUAAGAUUUUUACUGCACAUCUCCAAGUGUUUUUUUUCUUCCAGAGCUAAUGUAUCGCAAGUUAAAGAGCACAUGAGUGAUGAUGAGCGUCUUUCUAACCAGAAUACAGACCAUGGCGGGCACACAGCAGUGCAAGCACAACUGAAGCUGUAAAGAUGGCGUGGCAUCUUGAAGGGACCUACUAGGUCCUAGUACCAAGCACAAAACGACACGCACGGAAUUCAUGUCCCCGAUGUUCUGAGUGAUCCUGUGAUGAGGCUUAAUUUAAGCACUCUUCUGGGCUGCCGGCUAGCAGAGCAGGUGAAGGAUUAAGUUUUGUGAACAACAGGACGAGGGCCAGCUUAGUACUAGUGUAACCUGCGCUUAGUUUAAUCCGGAGGAUCUGCAGAAGCUUCUAUGCCCGCCUUUCCGUUGCACGCACAUGGUGCGUGUCGAGACUAAUCGUAGUAACAAUCAUGCCAAGCAUAAUUCGACAGGGAUCGUGUCUCGGAUAUAUUUUUUUUUCUUUCAUUAUUUUUUUUCAGAUAUUUCGGAUUUGGCUGGAAAGUCGCAAUUAGAGCAAUAAUUAUUAGCACCAUUAAUGUGUAUAGAGAAAGCCAGUGGUGACGGUGUAUGAUACUAACAUGAUGUAGUAGGCCCACUAACGACGACGUAACGUGCGCGGCAAUUCCUGCUGACGACGACCGAGUAUCAACCCGACAAAAGCACGUCAAAACACUGCCAGUACUUUGCUUUGCUUAACUGCUUUCACUGACGCUAGUCUUUGGCGGGAAAUUUCCUCUUUGCAACUCUGCAUCUGCAAGGCCAUGGAGAAUGGGGGUUGCUUGUGCAUGAUUGCGAGGCGUAAUCAGCUUGACUUGGCCCGUGGAUUGGAGCCCAUGCAUGAUAAUUGCGUGGGGGUAAUUAGCUUGACCCGCUGGGUGAUUACUGAUUAGGUGAGAGAGGCGGACCAUGGGCGGUUCUUGCGGCCAGGGUAGGUUUGACAGCUUGCCGUGACACCAAAGUUGCAACCACCCCGAACUAUUCUGGACUGUACACAUGGUUGCAGUUGCAACGAUGGAAUCUGUACAGCGGUGAGAGCUCGUAAGGUGGUGUACCAGCAGUACCAAAAAUGAACUCGAUUCUUUAAGUUGUUUCAUCCAGAGAGCUAGGUGCCCAAGUCCUACACGCACCUUCCAAUUUCCAGACGCUGCCAAAUUUCGUAGCCAGGUUGCUCCUGCGUCCUGUUGCAAAGCCUAGGCCUAGCUGGUAGCUGUUGGACGCUUGCUAUAGCUACAGCUACUAUAGCUAGGGAUCAGAGUUGCGGUUGCCUGCUGUUGCGGUCCAAUGGUUUUUGGGUUCUCUGCGUUCGAUUUCUCAUCAUGGAAUUGCGAUCUAAAAACUAUCCUUGGUUCCCCGUCCAAAAUAAGCUAGGAGGCAGGCGGUGAACGAACGAAUGGAUCGGUAGAGGUCGCUGUCUUUCCAGCCUCCCUGCAGGCUUGAAGAGACAACAACUGAAAGAAUGAUACGCGAAUCGCGCGCGCGCAAGGGGUGACCCGUCGCUUUUAGAGACCGGCUCGCCUCGCAUGUGCUGCCAUCUGAAUAAUUGCUUUGCUGGCUGCCGCUGCGCGCUCGGGCUUCUUUUGGUUUGGGUCCGCCGCAACGCAACGCAACGGCAGCGCGCGCACAUAUUCUCUCUUCUCCAUCGGGCGCGCGCCAUUUGUGUGGAUGGGUGCGCUCGUCACGGAGCGCGCGCGCACACACACACGAUCACCGAAUCAUCAUUGCCAUCACACAAGGAGAAUAAAGAAUACUAAAGCAGCAGAGGAGAGGUAAGCUAACGCGAUGGAGCUGCGCAUCCUUUUUGCUGCCGUGCUCCUCGAUCUUUGCCUAACAAAUCGACCGGAAGCCAAAUGGACGAGACGACCACCACGCACUCUGCUUUCCUUGCCCUGUCCCUUGAGACUGCGGCGCGUGUCAGUCUGGCCGAUGCCUGGGUCGAAAUCAUCCAUCAGUUUUGCCGUACGCCGCGACGGCGAAACAGAGUGCCUGGUGCGGCCGAGAAACGACAGAUAAAGGCGCCUCUGAUCCUUUCUUUUUGCGUGUUCCGAUCCCGUUCGUGGCUGUGGCCUCGCCCCGCUCGGUCGGCGUAGGCAAAGGCAAUACUGGUGGCACGCACGCGCGCAGCCAGGCUGCCGGGUUGGUGGGUGCCGUCGCAAUCGCUGCCUUCAUUCCCCGAGUCCCCUUCCCUUCCCUUCCCUUGGCAACGAAGGAAACGGAUCCCUUGGUGCAUUGGCGGCUGCGACUUUGCGAGCUACUAGUGCCUAGUGGGAUCAUGCGGCGCGUGCCGAAAUUAACCAUCUCUGAAUACGUAUAUGUGGCAGGCACGAAGCUUCCUUUCGCGGUCGCAACGCGCAUGCCUGCGUCGCGUCGGGUGCGUGUACGUACCUGCAGUGCACCGAUCAGUUACUCCUUGCUAUCCCCGUGCACGCGCGCCACCGUACGCAAUGCAAUGCAAAGUGAAUAGAAUAAACUACUUGUAGCGAUACAAUGCAAGUGGCAGCUUGCAGGGCUCGCACUCUCGCUUAACAACGCACCAGCUUUGGUAGUGCCAUCCACCAUGCUCCCGUGGGCACGAAAGCAACUGGAAACGGUGGAGGCCAAAGGGCAAGAAGGGCAAACGCGCGAUCGACGACGGCAAAGCUGGAGGAGGAAUGGGAAACUAAUAAUGAAAGCAAGGGAGGGAAAAAAAAAGCGGUCUACGAUUCAUGCGAGUAUUUUCUCCAUCCCUACACCCGAAUUUUUAGACCCUCGUAUCUGAAUCGGAUGGCCCGCAUCAAUUCCACCUCUUCCUUACCUUAUCUUCUUCAACCUCGGUUGAUCCCCUCGCGAGUCGUGAGUCUGCCUGACACAUUGCACCCCCGCCUCACCGUCGUCGUCCCCGGCGCCGUGGCCCGCGUUCAUCGCCUCUACCCCCCCUCCCCGGUAGGGCUGUUCCGAAUCCAUUUCGACGCUGGUUGCUGCUCGCUCCCACCGCAACCAGCAACCUGGCCCAUCAGGCGCCGCCACUGCCUCACCCACGCUAACCCGUCGACGGUUCUCGCUCCCGCCACUUCCAUAGGCCAACUGGUUAUCCACCAGCCACACCCGCGACCGGCGGCGCCCAUGCCGCCUCGCCACCCCACCAGCACAAACCGCCACCACCGCCCACUACCAUGCCACUUUGGAGCUCCCUCUACGCCCGCUGGAUACAGGCACACCUCCUCCCACCAGCCCCUGAACAAUCCUGGACCCUAAAAGCUUGCCAGGAUAGAGAAAGAUGAGGCCGGGUGGCGUCUCCUUAUUGACCACAAAUUCGAGUGUGGAGGCUUGAAAAUGCGCGAGCAUCUUGUAGCUUAAAAAAAAGUUGCGUUGCGCCGCGCCGUCCGUUCGUCAGGCACUCAGGUCGGCCGGGUCGCCAUACACGUGGUGUGGGGCGUUGGCCCGCCCGGCUCUCGCCUUUGCUUUGCACUUCCACCACCGACCAUGCCUGCUGGGCGCUGGCUGCUGGCCUGCUGCCUCGCUCGGUGACUCCCUCCGUCGACGUGCACGGCACGACCACGAGUCCACGCCCGUGGAGUCUUUAGCGUCAAGGACUCAGGCAUUGUACAUACAUAUAUACAUAUACAUAUACAUACAUACAUACAUAAUAUAUAUAUAUAUAUAUAUAUAUAUAUAUAUAUAUAUAUAUAUAUAUAUAUACACGCAUUUGGCUACGCAGAUUUCGUAUGAACUAUCUAGUAGCGUUAAACCGCUUUUUGGUUGCUUCAUUCGCAUACUUCACUAGUUCAUGGGGUUUAUUUACACUUUUUGUACUAGUGUUGCAACAAAAGUCCCCUUACAGUAAAAAUAAAAUAAAAAGCAGUCAGUAGCCUGGUACUACCUACUACUCCCUCCGUCCCAAAUUACUUUUGUUUUAAAUUUUUUAGAUAUGUAGUUUUUACUAUGCACAUAGAUAUACAUUAUAUUCAGAUACGUAGCAAAAUCUACGUAUCUAGAAAAGUCAAAACGAAUAGUAAUUUAGAAUGAAGGGAGUACGCAACAUAAAUGCUAUAGUACUAUUUUCUGCAAUCUUUAUGACUCUCCAUCAAGGUAAAUCAGUGGGAACACGAUAGACCAACUCUUUUUCACUCAAUUUCUGGAUUUUCAACCAAACAGUUAGUACCCAAAACAAAAUCAUUUUUAUAUGAAAGAAAAUCAGAGUAUCUAAACAGAAAACAUCAUGCCGGACCGGGGGCAAAAAACCAUCGUCUGUUUGAAAAAAAAAACAGAGUAUAUCAACACCAAACCAUCGCCGGGCCAGGAAAAAAAAACAGAGUAUCUCGUCAGAAGCAGAACAGACGAAAUCUGCAACCGCAUUCGCACCCGUGCCAGCUGUCACCACCAGGCCAGACCCGUUAACCCGCGACUCCGCCCGCCUCCUCUAUAAAUAUCCGCCCCUCCGCACCUUUCCCCACCCCACCACAAGCAGAGAUCUCGUGCUCCACAGCAACAGAUCGCCUUCCAGAACCUUCUCACCGCCGCCGCCACCACCACCGCCCGUCGAAGCCGAAGCAAUGGCCGGAGUCGGAUCGAAGACCCUCGCCGUGCUCGCCGUCCUGGCGGCCGCCGCCCUCUCCGUGUCCGCCGCGACCGAGGCUCCGGCGCCCAGCCCCGUCUCCGCCGCCGGCGCCGCGGCCCCGCCCCUCGCCGCCGCCCUCGUCGCCUCCGCCGCCGCAUUCCUCUUCGCCGCCGUCCGCCACUGAGCUCCGCGCUCGGCGCCGAGGAUGGGGUCGGAGGACGCCUGCCUACCUGGCAGUACUGCCACCACCAUCGCCUAGAUCUAUUUUAUUAUCAUUCAGCAGCAGCAGUAGAAGUAGAGAUGGAUUUUCUUCGUUGGUCGUGUCGUGGCAUUUUGGUCGGAUCUGGUUGAUGACGGAUGAGUUCCUACCGGUGUCGUGGUGUGCUGGGUUGUGUGAUCCCUUGUAGAUACUCUGCUAUCUCGUCGUGAGUUGAUGAUGGUUCAGUCUGGUUGCUACUGAUGUAUUGUUAUCCGUCCCAUUUGUUGAGAUGAUGGUGCGUUGCUGCUAAUCUUUAAUUUUGUGUGCUUGAUUUUACUCUGCGUUUCUCUGAAAUGAUGAUUCGAUCGGCGAGGAAUUUUAAGUUGCUAUUGAUCCGUGACGCGUGAGAUUCGAUUCUGUGUUACCUCGGAGCGCCUGCGUCGCCGCGACGCAGAGGUUUCCGCUGAUUCUCCGCGAUCUGAAGAAUUAAACUUGUGGUCAGGUGUGCGUCCGUCGACCGAUCUGCUUAUUUUAUUCCCUUCUGGAAGAAGAAUCUACUUUGGGGCAUGUGUAGUUUAAUGCUCCUCCCCCAUGGAUCAUUUAAAGUCGCGAAAUCAAUGAAAUCCAUUAGCUCCUCUGCCGCUCAGCGUAGUGCUCGCAAUAUUCGUGAAGAAUCUAAAGCAGAAACACGCGUGAUCUUAUAAAUUGAAAGAACGCAACAAGCAGCAGUAAUCGACAUCUCCCGAAUCCCGAUGAGAGACUGCCGAAUAAACAUAGACCGCAUGAUGACUGGAUGUACCCUCGCGGCUGGCACUGCGGAGGUCGGAGCACAUGAGCGCUGUUCAAAGGCAUGGAGCCAUAUGGGGCAGGCCGGCAGGGGCAUGGGCUUCUUUCUUUUUGCUGCAGCUGCACUGACCGGUCGUUUGGACGGUCUGGCUGAGCUUGACCGGAGACCUGCAGGCGGCCAGGCAGGCACGUUCCUUCCUGCCCCUCUUCUUUUCUUGGCCAAUAUGAUAUGAAUGAGCAGCAACAAUGGCAACGCGAGCUUCUCGUUUCACUGCCGUCAACUCAACUCCGAUAUGAUGGAGCAGCUUCAUUUCAUUUCAUUUCCUUCUCAAACAUACUCACUUGCAAUGCUUUUUUUUUAAAACAUUAUACUUGCAAGAUGCUACAAACAUUAUCUGGAUAAACCCAAUUCCCUCCCAAUCCAUAUGGAGUGGAAAAUGAACUGAGUUCCACUAGCUAGCUCUGUUCGGUGUACCAGCUCCCUUAUCUGACGGCUGCUCUUGCUUCUACAGAGAAAAGAACGGUUACUAUGCUUUUGGCAGCUCAUGAUCAGGAGAGUAGAAGCGUGUAGCCAACGGUUUUACUAGACUUAGUAGUGAGCAUGCAUUAUUUUGGGGGGGGGGGGGGGGGGGGGGGGCCGUUGGACCAUUGGGCCCAUGUUCCAGGCAGGAAAGGGCAAAGCAAAGCAAGCACGCGAAACCAUCAUGCCUCCGCCUUUGUGGCGUGGCCAUAUGGCCCUGCAGCCAUGUGCCGCCCGGCCUGUCCCGCCCGCGUGUGGGCGCCGGAAAUCCUAUGCAUCCUUCGGGAGAUUUUUUUCAAGUUAUUUUCCAAUAUUUAACGAAUGAGGUCCGUUAGAUCUACAUCAAACCAAAAUCCUAGCCUCCACCCCUCUCUCCUCCCCUGCCUGCACCGCUGCCAUGCGUCAUCACCGCCGCAGGGUCGGCCGGCACCCUCUUGGGUGCCGCGCCACCAACGGCCGCCGGAGUCAGAGAAGAAGGUCGAAAAAUGUUGGAUCAACUUUUCUUUGAAAAAUGUUGGUGCAACCUUUUUUUGAAAAAUGUUGGAUUCAACUUUUUCUAAAGAAAUGUUUGGCUCAACUUUUUUUCAAAUAAAUAUUGGUUCAACUUUUUUUUAGAAAUGUUGGUCCAACUUUUUUGAAAAAUGUUUGCCCAACUUGUUUUAAAAAUGUCGAUAAUAUUUUUUCAGUUAAAUAGUCAUGCGCACGGUUGUUGUGCUGCGGUGAUGCGCGAUUGCUGGGCUGUGCUGCAGCGUACUGCAAUGAACGAAAAUAAUGAACUUUCGUGGACUCACCUCCCACAUGAGCCCCGGGUGGGCGGCUGGGCGCCUUGUGCGUUCCCAUUACCGCCUUUUGCAGUCGUUUUGCGCCUUGUGCGUUCCCAUAGCCGCCUUUUGCAGUCGUUUUCAAGGUCCUACAAUUACAAGGCUCCUGGAGAGACGGGACGGGGUUAGGUGUCAAAACUCUGCGUGUUUGAGAUUGGCAAAGCACACAUGUAAUAAGGAGGCUCCGCGAAAAAUUGUCAAAGAGAUAAACCUUUGUAUUUUGCCACUGAAAUUCCUGCUGACACCAGCUGACAGCGAACCCGGCUGAGGUGGUAAUCGAUCGCAAUGCCAUGCAUGGGGGGCCAACAGGUGUCACAAGAUGUUGGUAAGAACGGCGGUUUGCGUUUACCACAAUUUUUAGACGCCGUUGUCGUCUGACGUGGGUUAAAAAGAAGCAUAUCCUCCCUUUUUUUUCUCAACUAACGAUGAUGGGCCAACAGAGUUAACCCCAUGUCCAUUCUCUUUCUCCAUUACACAAGACACCAACGGGCAAACACGACAGCCUGGUUAGAGGGACAGGUGGUGCGUCACCGGCAUGUACAAGCAGUAGCAGUAUCAUUCAAGCGCCCGGAUAAUUUAUGAUCCUGUCGUGUCAUAUCCCUCUCAUUUCAAGAUAUUAUCAACCGUUUGCAUGUCAGUAGGGACAAGCUAAAAAAAGGACAUCAAUUUGCAAAAAAAAAAAAUUCUUUUUUUAAGGCAAACGAGGUGAAAUCCAUGACUGGGCUACGAAAUGUGAGUUUGGCAUAUCACAAAUCCAAUUUUUUUUUCAAAGAAUAAAGUCCAAUGUCAUGCCAUAUGUGCUUGCAAUGCAAUUUACAUUUUUUUUCCCUCCCGAAGUCCUACGAAACCGUCAUCAAAAUCAAACCAAGUUAUUUUUUUUUAUGCAAACGAGGUGAAAUCCAACACCAGCAAAAUCGUGAUUCAGAUGACGCAAGUCCACGUACGUCAGCAAACAUCUUGUUUCUUGAGAUGACGUCAGUACACGUACCUUCGGCGAGGGGUCGCUUGAGCAAAGAGCCAAAGACUACAGAGGGUCAAUGCCCUUUGCCAACGAGCACCUAGUCUGAAUCCUGAAAUUGCCAUAAAUUGGAAAACAGGACAUCGUUAUGGCUGCAGUACGUUUCUGCGGGUCCUAGAUUUCUAGAUACUGUGAGUGUUGGUCCGGUAGGCUAGACCCCAAACCAAGGAGGCUCCCCCGUUCCAAACGGCAUUGGUUACUUGGCUUGGGGUCAAUUGUUAGGCCUUGGCACUUUCAAAAAAAAAUUGUUAGGCCUUGGCUUCAGAAUUGUAUUGGCCCAGGUAUUUUGCCAACAGAAUAGUCCCCGUCCACGGGAACAACAAGCUCUUGAUGGUGAUAUCAAAAGAGAACAAAUAGGCAAGCUUCACGAACUUUCCGUUAAGAUUUAUGUGGUUGGACAAGAGAACACAAUGUGGCAGUCAUACCUUUGCGUGUCAAAAAGGAAAAUCGACAUUAAAAAAUGACUCGAACUCAGCCGAUUAAAAAACCUCUUCGAAGGGCAUCCCCACAACAGUAUUGGAGAGGUGGAUAUAUGCGCACGUGCUUGCGAUUGCAAUUUACUUUUUUUUUAAAAAAAACUGCAAUUUGCUUUUCCAAAUUCCUACGAACCAUCAUGAAAAUGAAAUUAUGAAAUCGAGAAACACUAGUAAAAUCGUGAUUUGGAUGACGCCAGUUCACGCACGUCAGCAAAAAAUCGUGAUUCAGAUGACGCCAUUCCAUAUUCAUUUGAUGAGAGGUCCCUUGAGCAAAGACUUAGACGGUCAAUGUCCUUUGCCUUGAAUUCGAAUCCAAUUGGAGCAUAGAGUCUGAAUUCUGAAACCGCCAUCAAUUGAAAAAACAGGACAUCUUCAUCAGAAAAAUGGUUGUGAUUUGUAAAAUAGGGUGUACACCGAUCUAUUAUUGGUCCUAUAUUCUAGGCUUUGUAAAUGCUGGCCCCGGUAGGCAAGACUCCAAACCAAGAGUCUCCCCGUUCCAAACGGCGUUGCAGUCAAUUGAUGGGCCUUGUUUGUAAUGGCGCCGAUAAUUGCGAACAUAAUAAUCAUCGGCCCUUGGAAAGACAAGUUCUUGAUGGUGAUACUUUCAUUGUAAUCGGUAGGUCCUACUAUAUAGUUGCACUCGUCUCCCGUGCAUUGCAGCGGUUGAUUUGCCACUGGUGCUGCCCAAAGACAUCGAUUGACAAAAAUCAUUUUUCUACGUAGGAAAAAUCAUGAAUUUCUGACAAAAUGUGGGUUUGGCAAAUCAAAAGUCCAUUUUUUCCAAAGAAUAAACCCCAAUUAGUUUGGAUACCCACACUUACAUGAGUAUGUUUGGUUCCGAGCUGUUCCAUAACAACUAUUUCUUGUUUAUGUGUACGUGCUUGUGAUCACAUUGACGUUUUCUUUUUGAAACAUUGCAAUUUACUUUUCCAAAUUCCUACGAACCAUCAUAAAAAUGAAAUUGUGAAAUCGAGCAACACCGGAAAAAAAAUUGUGAUUUAGAUGACGCCAGUUCACGCACAUCAACAAAAAAAAUCGUGAUUUAGAUGACGCCAUUCCACGUACGUUCGACGAGAGGUCCCUUGAGCAAAGACUUAGAGUCAAUGUCCUUCGCCUUGAAUUCGAAUCCAAUCGGAGCACGCAAGGUCUGAAUUCUGAAAUCGCCAUCAAUUGAAAAAACAGGACAUCAUCAUAAGAACAAGGUUGAUAAAUAGGGUGUACACCUAUCGGUCCUAUAUUCAUAGGCUUUGUAAAUGCUGGCCCGGUAGGCAAGACUCCAAACCAAGGAGACACGGAGUCUCCCCGUUCCAAACGGCAUUGCUAUUUUGCUUGUGGUCAAUUCACAGGCCUUGACUUCAGGUUUGUAAUGGCGCCGGUAAUUGCGAACAGAAUAAUCACCGGCCCUUGGGAAAAAAAAACAAGUUCUUGAUGGUGAUAUCAAAAGAGAACAAGCAGUCAAGCUUCACGAGCUUUCCGUUAUGAUUUUGUGUGUUUUGACAAGAAGCAUCGCUAGAGAUAAGGUUGUCGAUGCCAACUGCUAGAAUUGUCGAUUUUUGCCAAACGGGUGGAUGCUCUGAUUGCGCGACACAUGUGUCUAAUAAUAAUCAUAUGACACAUAUGCAAUGCAAUUAUGGUUAAGGCUCACCAAGUCGCCUUUGCUCUAUUAAAAAAAUGAACCCAAUCUCGUGCCGGAGUUUUUUCUUUAAGAUACAUGGCCACAAAGUCAGUCAACUAUGCAGAGUCCCACCAAGAUGAUCCUAUGGGUUACGGAGAUUUAUUUGAGCAUUUUUUAGAAUACUAGCAAUGAUGCACGUGGCUAUCAAAUAUUUCAGUAUUCAACGAUCUAAAAUCAAGAAGUUUUUUAAAUCGCAAUUUGAGAAGUUAUUCGUGUCUGUUCAUGUUCCAAUCAGAUUUGGAGGACAAUACUGACGCAGCGGGCGGAUGCGCUCGGCCACGCCGAGCUAGCAUCGGACGAAGAUGCCGUUCGGAUUUGGGAAAGCCGGGAUGUACACGUUUUGUUGUCGCCACUGCCGAUCGUUUACCGGCCACCGCUAUGACGCUCGAUCGAACGAUCGCCGCGGGCGGGGACAUGGACGUGAUCACGUAACACUCCGAGAAGAAGAUGACUCCCACACUGCCUUGAAGCGGACCCCUAUCGCCGCGCGCUCCUGCUCCGCGGCCCGGAGCGGCUCCGCGAGCGCUGCCACCUGCCACGAGAACGCCCAGAGCUCGCCAAGCCGCGCCUCGGGCGGGAGCGGGCCAUUCGUUCAUCACAUCAACUUUUUUUUUUUUAGAUGUUUGAUAACAUCAAUUUUUUACCCGAAGAGAGCGAGAGGAAGUUGAAGGAAACGCAUCGCUACCUCGUAAUUGUGGCCUUGCGGUCAUGACUCACGAGUCACCGUCCAUCCUUUUCCAGCACCAAACCCUGCCACCUCACCCCCAGCUCUUGCAUCCCGCACGCUGUCACAGUGGGCCCCGCCACCGUAAUCAAACCCUAAUUACCAUCGACUAUCUGCCAACCGCGCUCUAAUCCCCCACAAAACCCGGGAUUCAUAAUCGUAACCGCCCUUCGCGACAGUUGAGGCCAGGCUGGAAUAACUACCAGAUCCCCCAUUCCGGCCGCCACCCCCUAUAAAUCCACCCUCCCUCCCACCUCCCCCAACGCCAUUCCCCCUCUCCGCCUCCACGCCUCCCGAGCCCAAACAAAACCCUAGCUCCGGCGCCGCCACCUCGCCGUCCGGCUCCUCCCGCCUCCAGCAGCAGCAGCAGCAAAUGGCCCGCCCCUCCGCCGCCGUCGUGAUCGCCGCCUUCGUGGCCUUGGCCGCGCUGGCCACCGCGGCCUCCGCCGCCGAUUUGGCGCCGGCCCCCGCCCCGACCUCCGGCGCCGGCGCCCUCUCGGCGCCGCUCUCCGCUGUCUGCCUGGCCGGGCUCCUCGCCGCCUUCCUCCGCCACUGAGCCGGCGGCGGCCGCCUCGCCCGCGUGCGCGUGUCUUCGUCGGAUCUAGUAGUACAGUGGUAGUGAGAGUCUUAUUAGUGGUAGUAGCAGUAUUGUAGUGGUUGUGAUAGUGCCAUGGAGGGAGAGGCAUUUGUUUUGGUGGUUCGCCGGGCGGAUGGAUCUGAGGGUUUCGUGUGGGGAUUUUGAGAGGUUUUUGAGGGUGGAUUUGAUUAGCGUGGUUGGUGUGAGUCUAUUCCUAUUAUUUAGUCGCGUCUUGUGUACCUAGUGCUCACUGGCUCUGAGAGUAUUAUUAUUAUUGUUAUGGAUUUAUGAUAUUAUUAUUAUUGUUAUAUUAUUCUCGCGUAUCAUCUCUGUUCAGUUUCAGUAGAUUUAUGCUUAUUAUCAGCAAAAUUCACUGAAAUUUCAUAGAAGAUCACUGUCGCAAAAUCUUAAAUUCACGGUGUGUUAUGAGACCGAUUCUGUUGGGCAUCUGCCCUGUCCAGACACUGCGAGGUGUAUGGUUGUGGCAUGCCCUGCUGAGAAUCUGAGCAGAUUGAUAUGAUUCGAGAUGGAAUUUUGUGUGUGCGCGACAUGUGUCCCGGCAUGAAGGGAAGGGUAGAAAGCUUGAGACCGAGGCAGCUUAAAGGCUAAGCAAGCACACGCACGCAGUACGUGUGAGCGAGCGAGGCCGCGCCAGAGCGGAGAUGGAGAUGCCUGUACGGCGUGGCCCACCUGUUUGGGCAGCACAUGGGCAGCGGUUGGGGGUUCGUUGUGACCACCUGGCCGACGCCCCCGCCACCCAGAGGAAUAGCUCAAUCGCAUCGCGUUGCCAAGACUCUCCAGAAUUUUCUGCGUGUAUAAUGCGCCCUUCCAUACUUGGGAAUCCUGGGAAUUCCCCCUCCCAAACGACGCUAACCAGAAUAGGAAUCCAUCCACGCUAACAAAGAAAUGGGAAUCCUGAUGUUCCUUGGUACCCAUGGGCUUUCCAGCUGAACUCGUCGACAAAGAAGCCCAUCAGAAAACAAAACGACAUCUAAGCUAGACGCGAACCAUGUUCGGGCCAAAUGCCGGCCCUCUAAGCAUGGCCCAGAACUUAAUUUAUUAUACUCGAUGCUAAAAAUUGCUUUCAAAGAUUAUCCUAAAACAAAGAUAUCCAUCAAGAUAGCAAAAAGUUGAGAAUAUUUCAUCAGAGGGAGAAAGGAAAACAGCCAAACAGGCAUGAAAGAGCCGAUGAACCUGGGGCCUCAACUAAUUAUAAGCCUGAGGUCAGCAACAAUAAACUUGAACUUAUAAUCUUAUUCCUUUCCCUGACGAACUAGGCAUAUCGACAAGAUUAUCUGUUUAUUUGUGACAAGAAUCAAAACAAUUGGUGGACCAAAAAUGACUUUCUUCUCCAAUGGAAGGUCAUGGCAGCACCUAUACCAUAAUAUAGGAACUAACUAAACCGUUCAGCUUGCUUUUCCCCCCACCACCAGCCUACCUCACGGACAAAAAAGAGAGAAGAUCUCCGAUUAGAAGCUAAUCCAAGUAGAAAAGCGUCACGAUCUUCCGAAGGUUCUUGGCCUCCUGGCAUGUCUCCAUCAGCAGCUUGCUGUCAUGGAACGCGAAGCAGAUCACCUGUUGGAUCUUCGAGAUGAUGUCCAUGUUGCAUAACCUGAAGGUUACAAGAGUUGCCAUUAAGCAUAAAGAUGAUAUUCAAGAAGCAAUACUGAUUUACAGAAAAUGUGACUUGUCUUUCAGUUCGUCAAAUAGGCAAAAAGACAGAUGCUCGUCGUCUAGAAUACAACAGAUAAACCCCAAAAGUUUACGACCUGUCGCCAUAAUAGUGUAGUAUCAACUCUGAAAAAUAAACUACUCUACAGCUACAGAUGCAUACCCUUGGCCCUUGGGCAGACCCCAAUCUAGAGCUAUAGUUCAUGGCGUCAACCUGUCCAAUGCUUGUUUCGCGUAAGUUCUGUAAAUGAGGCAUCAGAUACUCUUGCAGAAUGUACAGAACAUAGUAUUUGUUUUUCAUGGCAUUAUGAGGUUACUAAUAGUAUUCCAACCAUCUAUGUAACAAUCAAUGAGUUAAAAAAAGUGAUGUCGGUUUUCAUCAAAAGCAUAGUCUCUGACAAGUGCUGGAACUAAAUGAUACACUGAUCAGGCAUGGACCGAAUACAUGUAGCGACACCAUUGGUAACAAAAAAUAUACAAUAUAGGAAAAGUAUGAGCAAUUUCGAAAGGUAGCUGACCAACCUGCUAGCCUCAAUCAGUGGCAAAUGGUCAUACUGUGGUUUCUCAAUCAAGUUUUGUACCUACAAAGUAUACAAAACCUUACUGAAGCAUUUUAAAUUUUACCAUAUGGAAAUGGAACAUCAGGAGGAUGCUAUUUAACUCCUGAGGCAUGCUAUUGGAAUUAAUGCAUAUGACAGUGGAUGCCUAAUAAUCUCACUAUCUAGCCAGAAUCCUAGAUCAUAGGAUAAUGCUAAUGUUUUCUGAACAAUUGCAAGCGGGUUCUGGCCUGGUUGGCUAGCUCAUUGUAGAGCGGAGCUAGCAACCGCGGUUUGAAUCCCUGUUUGCACAGAUAUUAAGCCAUCUAAUAUGGCUGGGGGCUAAACCCCUGUAAUCGUUUUUUUUCCUGAAAACUUCAGAUGCCAUGGUGAGACAUUCCUAACCAAAUUGAUCGCAUUGAUUUUUAAGCAUAUUUACAAUCAAGCUUGAUAAAGAUAGCAACAAAACACUCUAAGGAUCCAAAAUUAAAUACAAACUUUCUUAUGUUUUCUUGUGUAAGAACAGAUGUACAACAGAACUGAAGGUUAAUGGUAACAGCAGAAUUAAUUCAGAAGCCUGCAGUGAAAAUAAAUAGAAUGCUCUCUUGGUGAAGGAUGAAUCAGGUCAACUAUUUAUCUUCGUAUUACUCUAUAGUCUAUACAGAAGAGCAUACACAUAACAAUAACGAAGCACAAUGUUCUCCUAAAGAAUGUUUACAUGUAUGGUCAGGGGAUAUCAAAUUAAAAAGAAUUGGCUGUAAGACCUAACUCAGAGAUGAUAAUACUGUAGUUUACUGUAAACAAAGUAUCAUCAAACAUCAGUUCAUUGAUAGAAAAACACAACUAAGGAAGCUCAUGCAUUUGUCAUACAACCAGCAUCAUCAUGCCUACACCAAUUUGAAUAUCAUAUAGAUUACAAACAUGAUUCAUACACAAGCAUGGGUACAUCUUCUCCUUUUUCGUGGAGCACUAAGAAAUUCUGCAUAACUUGUCUCAAUAUGCUGAAUUUAAUGCGAUGAGCAGUCUAUCAAUACAAAAUCACUAAAUGCCAGCACUAAAUAUAUAGAACAACAGGUAUAUUGGCGCGCAUAGGAAUCUAUACGAAUAGGUCUGGAACUAAUUUUGACUAGAAAAUGACAAGUCAGAAUAGAAAUAUCAGGAAGUCUUACUUUGGACAACAGUUCUUGGCUUUCAGGAGGUUGCUUCUUUAGACUCUGAGGUAAAAUUACAGUAAGCAACUCUGGCUUUUCAGCUCUUAAAGCGCCCCUGAUAACAGCUGCAUUAGUUCCGGAAGCCCCAGAUGUGAAUAUAUGAUUUUUCUGCAAUUUCUACACAAAUAUUACUAACAAUGCUAGAGGACUCAAAGACCAUAUGAAUGGCAACAUCAAAUAAAUCAGGGAGAUCAUAUGAAUCAGUGAAUCACAGUAGCACAUAAAUAAAGAACAUACUGUUAUGACCAUAGCAUAGCUCAGGAUCUCAAUAAGCUGCUGAUGCAUAUACCCCAUGUUGCGGGUUCCAAAGAAACCUAUUGCACGAGGUCCUUGUUGCUGAAUAGCCAACAGCUCCUGCAUGACCACCAAUUAAAUGAGAUCAGUUUGCAGGAUAAAUCAAUUCAUAAACGCCAUGUAUGCAAAGUAGCAUUCAUUAUUGAAAGUCUGAUUGUACUAAACUAACUUUCAGAGGUAACCACUAAAGUUAACUUUGAGUAAACUGAACAGAAAAAAACAAAACACAAUGUAAAAUGAGCAGAAACAUUACCUGUAGGUAAUCUAGAUCAGGGAUCGGCUUGUAUUCUGGUUCAGCAACCAUUGCAGUACCCUUGACAAGAGUCUCUGUCUGAGUAGGAAUCUUUACACCAUCAUCAUCUGGCCCAAACAUAAUAGUAUCAUCUCUUCCUUGACUCCUCACAUCACCUUCAUGCCCAUCUCUUUGCAUGUAUCCGCAGAGCAACUAUACGAGCACAAUAAAAACAGAACCUGGCAGUAAAUCAUUAGUGAAAACCAAAUAUAUUACAUCAUACUAAAUAAAGUUUCCAGUUUUACAAUUUUACUUUGCACCUGUGCUGAUUCUUCAAAGUCAGCUAGCCAUCAAGUAAUCCCAGAUCUAAAGUAACACCAUACCACAACAAGGGCCACAGCAAUUUAGGACACAACCUAAAUUCAGUGAGCGGAUUUGUAUACCCGUUUUAAACCCAACUUUCUGAAGACACAGCAGAAACUUUGAAUAAAAGAUACCAACAAAGGUGACGAGAAUCCCAAGCAUUGGAUUCUGAAUAAAUGUAAAGGGCAGGCUGAAUCCAAUUCAGUGGAGCAUUAAGUAUUUAAAGGGAUCUAGAAGUGUAGCCUUUGAGUUGCACAGUUCACCCUUUAAAGGUAUGCUAAAGAAAAAUAAUACAAACACUUUUGACAUGUAAUGAUAAUAGCCUGCAACAUUUAUCUGCAAAAGAUGAUUAACUUUAUGAAUGGUGCAUAUCUUUACCAUCUAUCAGCCAGAAAGUUCCAUCAAUUGAGGUCGGUCCUAUUCUGAGGCGACCAUGACUUACUCUGCACCUUAGUCCCAACCGCGCACGGUUUGGAUUGACGGGAGCAUAGCUCAGAUGCAGGAAGGUGUGAAUGACAUUAAUAAACUUUAGGCACAGGAUCUAAGCAUCAGCAACACAAGCAGGAUCGCUUGUUACAGUGGACUGUUAAAAUAUCUAAUUUUGACGAACUUUUUCCUUUCCACGGUAAGAAUUUUGAGAUCUCAUUGCACCUAUCAAUCUACCAUGCUAUAUAUUUCUAUUGCAAUUAUGGUGUGACUACAGAGUCUGUAUACUGUAAGUACAGAUCACAGAGGAUUAACAUGCAUGUAAUCUUGAUUUGUGUCGAAUUUGAAGGAAUUAUGAUGGCAACCAAUAUCAAUACACACUCAAUUUGAGACCAUCUUGCAUUCUUGUCUGUCAUUUCUCUCUUUUUCUUAGAACGUGAAAUUACAAUCACCGCAGCAAUCCAAUCAAUAAACAGUUACGAGGAGGGGGAAAUUAUCUUUGGAGGUGAAUUCUACUCCAACCAACCCAUGAUAUCACACAGCGCACACAACAAAACAAGUUUAUAUGUAGGCAAAGUACCCGGUUCAGCCGUGCCACUGCCGGCGGCUGCUUGGUCGCCUGAGCCCAUCCCAGCAAGACGCCGCCGGGGCUCCUCGCGGCCGAGGAACAGUGCAAGAAGCCGCCGAGUCUCAAGUUCAUUCGCGGCGGCGUCCUCAACGAGGGAAGACCGCCAACGGGCGCCGCGGCGCAAGAACCCGCCAUCGUCAUCCGGCCGCCGAUUCCAAUCUACGCAGAGGAGGGAGGGGGAGAACCGCGUGAACUGCUGUGCGUGGCGGCGCUCUCGUGACCAAACCGAGGAUGGCCGCGCGGCGCGGCGCAGGUCAUGUCAGAGGAGGGGGAGGGAAUUGCUGGGUGGGCUGGGGAUGAGACGAGAGAGAGGGAGGGAGGGAGUGAGACUGGACUGGCUCAAGCCGGUUUGGUCCUCUGGCGGCCUCGCUGGCUGCUGUGGUGCGCUUGUGGGGAGGAGCUGGACGCCUUUGGAUAAAAGGUGGCGCACCACCUUGUUUGCCGUUUUUGCGUGCCUCUUCUCUCGACUCUCGUCUAGUUGUUCUUCUACGUUUCUUAUCGAGAAUACUCUUUCUUAUUUUGAUUUUUUUGUCAGACUGUUUUAGGGUUUUUAUCUAGAACACCUGGCUUAAGGAUAGGAAAAAAUAAACCCUAUUCCAAAUUUCAGGGUUCAUUACUAUACUACUAUCACAUCUCAAAUUUCAUAUCAAUGAGUAUGCGUGCACUUCUUUUAAAAAUGCAUUUGUUUGUAUUGUUUCAAUCUAAAUCCAUGUGGUUGUGGCUAAGUCAAAGAGUCUAGCAAAGACAAUUGUUAGCUCUUACGCAAUCUUAUGAGUGUCAUUUAUACUGAGUUUUCUAAAAUUAAUGUUAUAUACUCCCUUAGCUCAGAAAUGAUAAUGUAUAUUUGAAAUUGGGGAAAAGUCCUUCAAAGUAGAUUUUGACUCUUAAUUUCUCUUAUAGUAUAAUGUUAAUAGCUUAUAAUGUUAAUAGCUAAAGACUCAAUAUCAUCUCAAAAAGACUUCGAGUAUAAAUAUAUUGAUGCAAAUUUUACACACUAAGUGUGCUUUUAAUUUAACUAAUUACUGACCAAAGUUUGUAGACUUUGAAUUUUCCUUGAUCAAAAUACGCCUACCAUUGGGAGUAAUUACAAACUACAAACAUUGUGUAAUUCAUCUACCAGUCAAGUUGGUAUUCAUUUAUUAUUUGUUUGAAGACUUCAGAAAUUCUGAAUUAUUUAUUUGAAGACUUCGGGAAUUCUAAGGUGACUAACCCUCCCUACUCUUGUUCUGCUUGGCAUAACACUACCUAUUUCUCACUAGUGUCCUUCAAAUCUCAAUUGUUUUCCCACAGUUAAAACACAUGUUCUAAAUCCAUAAACUACUACAUGAUAAAGGUCCACUCCAAGACUGGCAAGGUUUUGACCCAUCUAAUAAUCCUUUCAGUCUUCACUCUUCACAGACAUUCUAAAUGCUUAUAUAUUGAACUGUAGGUUGAAAUAACACCUGGUUCUGUUUGAACUUGAAUAGUUCAAAUUAAGUAUAUAGCACCUAUUGUAAAAAUAUCAAAAUGGAACACCCGGAUAGUUUCGGGCCUGGUCAGGUCUGGUUCAUGAGAAUGUUAGGUCAAGCCUGAGCUACCCAGUUGGGUUAAAUAACAUCUUUAAACCUUCGAAAACAAAUAUUUUAUUUAAAAUCAUUUAUUCAAAUAAACUCAUUAAAACUUAGAUGCACGGCUGCCGCCAGCAUGUGGGCUAGAAUAUUGUAUCCUUAUUUGGAACAGCUUCCCUAUUGCCUACUCCCUCCGUUUACUCCCUCCGUUCCAAAUUAUAGAUCGUUUUAGCAUUUCAAGGUUCAUAGUUUUUACAAUGUAUCUAGAUACAUACUAAUAGUUAUGAAUCUAGAUUUGCCAAAAUAACCUACAAUUUGGAGCGGAGAGAGUAUAUUCCUAGAACAAUUUUUCUAUCAACAAAAAAAUAGGUAUCUUAUUAGGAUGUAGUUUGGAACCAUGCCAAAUUGCAUAUUUCUUGUAGAUGCAAAAAUAAUAUAUUUCAUAUUUCUAUUUUUUUACUUUGUUGUAUUUUCUUUUUAUGUUUGGGGUAAUCUCUUUGGCUCUAAUGGAAGAAUAUGUAUUGUUUUGUAAGCCAAAUGUGUGUAUGUGAGUCAAAUACAUUAGUACUAAUGAUGAAUUUUUUGUAUUGUGUUAUGACAUGAAUUUGUUUUAUUGUUAAGAUCAAAUUAAAGGGUAUAAUCUCUUUGCCUCACAUGAAAUUAACAUUAUGUUCUUGUGUUAUUAAUUUGCCUUUGUGGACCAAGCGUAGCUUAAUAUAUUAGGUGACAUAAUCCACCUUGGUUUGAGACCGAGUCAUAUUUUUCUGGAUUUAAUUUAGGAAAUAAUGAAACUAUGCUUUCGGCGUACGACGUGAGCAACAUGCAUGUCGACAUUGAUGUGUCGUGCUUAUAGUGUUGGGUUUGCAGGGUGAGUAGAAAUGAGAUUAAAAAAUAUACAUUUUCCUUUUUAAUAAGAAAUAAUUUGUUUUUAACCUUCUUCUUCUGUUAAUGGCUCAGUUUAGUUUUUCGAGUUUGGUUGACCCGCGACGAAUGGCAUAGGGACCUGGCAGGGCCAGUUCUAAGAUUUGGGAAGCCCGGGACGAAAGUAAAACUCGGGACCCUUUAAUAUAAACAUUAUAACAAAUAUAUAUGAAAUGUUACCAAUAAAUAUUAAAUGUAUGUAAAAGCAAUAUUUAUAUCCUUUUCUUUUCCUUUCUCGUUACCUGAUUCAUAUUUUCUUGACGACAUGAUAUCCUACUGUGCAGAAAUUAUUAUAAAUAAAUAAUAGUUAUAAAUUAGUUAAGAUUAAAUAACUUGUGAUAGUGAAUUAAUAAUUAAUGGUAUGGGGAAUUGGCAAUUGAAUCACCUGAUCACAUAAGCGAAUUGACGAUCUCCUAUCUGAUCUCUGCCCGUCUGUCGUUGCACCGAGGGGCGACGGGUGUGCGAUGCGAGCAGGAGAGAGGACCACCGGCAGGAUGAGGCGUUAAGGAUGAGGGGUGCGGUUGAUGAAUCAGGUUCUUGUUUUAACCACGAAGUGGGCCCACCUUAAUGUCACCUUUUACCGUGAACCAUUGUGGGCGGAGCAUUAACAAAUAUUAUCUUUUUCUGAGACCCCACCUUAAUACUAUUUGGAACGUAAGCAAUAUUCAGUCGAUUUUUAUUUCCAGAUCCUGUGAUGUGUCAAAUCCGAUUGAUUUUUUGUUUCUUGUCACUCGAUCUUUCUCUACUGCCCAUUAUUGCUACGUUGCUUCACCCUGUUGGUCUAAAAUUCGACUAACAGCAUCCCAGAUUUUACUCGAUUGUUACAUAGUCAUUCCCGUAUCUCUAUCUUUGUUCACUUAUUUAUAGAAGGGAUCAUGAAAUCCAGAAAUCUGGCCCAGACUAUACACAGAGGUAUAACCUAAUUUAUUUGGAAUACUCACACUGAGCUUUAUUGUUAUAUAUACAUCAUGAAAUGAUCAGAUCAACAUGACGUGUGCGUGCUAUAGUCUUUGAAUCUAUGGCGUGCCCGCCGCGUCGCCGCCGAAGAGGCCCUUGUCGAACACCCAGUCCUCGAUCAUCUCCUGCGCGGCCCGCCCCUGCGCCGCCGGCACCAAGUGCCCGGCCCCGUACACGGCCACGUGCACGAGCGCGCCGUGCCUCUGCACGUACCCGGCGAGCCUCCCUCGCCCGCCGCCGCCACCUCUCCGUCUCCGCCACACAGCGCGGGGGGCGUCCCGGAACGCGGCCAGCCCGUCCCACUCCAGCUCCCGCAGCCAUGCCUCCGCCGCCACCGGCCCGUCCUGCGCGUCGCGGAUCCCCUCGUAGAGGAGGACGCGCGCCGACGCCCCGGCGAGCAGCGCCUCCACGUCCGGCUUGGCGCUCUUCAUCACGUCGUCGUGGAACGCCGCGUCCACCGCCGGGCUUACCAGCUGCCACGGCGAGCCGCCCUCCGACGCGCGCCGCGCUCCCAGCGCCGCCCUCACCUCGGCGCUGUUCAUGAGCGCCUCGGCCACGGCGGCGGCCCCUGCGAACUCGGCCUCCAGGGACGUCUCCACCGCCACGUCGAACAGCGACGCGAGCCCCGUGGCGUUCCGCAGCGACGACAGCAGACGCGCCCGCGCGUCCGACGCCUCGCGCCAGCGCGCCGCGUUGGUCAGCGCCACCGCCGCCGCUUGCAUCGCCUCGGCGUCGCGCUUCUGCUUGUCGUUGAUGAGCCCCAUGAAGUAGGCGGUGUCGGCGUGCGUGGCCACCUGCGCCACGGGGUGGACCAGGCCGUUGCCGAUGGCCACGCCCCGCAGGUUGAUCCGCCGGUGCUCCGGCAGCUCGGGGUUCGUGGCCAGUAUGAGCGAGCCGGCCGCGGGGAUGGACUUACCGGCGUAGCUCUCGCCGGUGAGGAAGAGCGGGCGCGCGCGGAACUCCGCCGGCUGGGCGUCGAAGAAGGACUGGAGCGCGGCGAGGACGUGCUCCGCGACGACGGACUGGUUGGUGGGGAUGGCGGAGGGAGACGGCGCCGAGCUGUAGCCGGUGCCAAGCGGGCUGUCGACGAAGAGGAGCCCGAAGCGGCGGUUCCACGCGAAAGGGUUGGGCGACAAGGGGGCGGAGCUGUUGUUGCGGCCGGCGGCGAAGGUGUAGGGGCCGAUCUGGAAGAAGUUGCUGACGAGGGAGGACACGCCGGGGCCGCCCUCGAGCCAGACGAGGAGCGGCGUGGAGGCCGGCGGGGUCACAGGGUGGGUGGCCUCGUAGAAGGCGAAGUAGAGAGAAGCGUUCGCCGGUGGGAUCGGGAGGUAGCCGGACUUGGUCGGGAGGGCUUCUCUGGGGAACAACGCCGCCGCCGCGGCUGAGCCAUGAACGGCGGGGGCGAGGAAAAUGACGACGAGGAGGGAAAACGGGAGAGGAGAUGCCAUGGUACGUGUUGCCUGAAUGCUGUUGCGUGCCUGUGCUUGAACGUAGUCUUUCUUACACCAUCAUCAGAGCGCCCUAAAUAUGUUUACGUGGCUGAAAAAUCUCGGAAGCCUAGCUGACAAAAGAAAAGUCUCUCAGACGAGUUUCCAAACACGCGGCGCCACAGUGCAGGUGAGGCAAAAGUUCAAUGCCAGGUGUGCUCAGAUUAUUGAACAAGAACUCAAUUGUUUUGCGUGUGUCAGUCAAGCUCCCAUGCAUUCCCUGUUGGACUAGAAAGGUGAUGAGCUAGUAGUAAUCAGUAGCAAGGUUGACCUGAUGAAUAGUGCAGUAUGCCUGGAUUUGUACAGGGUUCUGGUUUCAUUUUCUCACGACUACAACAAAAGUAAGUUCCAGUCUUCCACAGCCGCUCCUUCCAGAUGGUCGACCGUUCCGGUCAGUGAGAACAAUAUUUCUUCCCUGGUUGGUGAGCGGAGACAACAGGUGGAAGAGCUCUUGAAUCUAAUGCUGGAAUUUUGUAAGUUCUUAACUCAAAUGGGAGGCAAGAAAACAGAGACAAGAGCAGAGUACUGCAAAGUAGAACUAAAAAAACGACUAACAAGCACUAGCAAUAUUUUGCAACAACUCCCUCCGUUUCAAAUUGUAGGUUGUUUAAAUUUUUCUAGAAUUAUAGAUAUUAUUAUGCAUCUAAACAUACACUAUAUUUAUAUGCACAGUAAAAACUAAGCACCUAGUAAAAUCAAAAUAACCUACAAUUUGGGAUGGAAGGAGUAGCAAACAGCACACGUGCAGCUAUUUUUUUAGAAAAAAAAUGAUCAAUGGAGCUUGAGCUGUCUACAUAUAAUUUUGACUCGAGUUUGUUACGCCAUUGCCUGUACUUUGUACAGCUAUUGUCCAAGACUAGCACUCACAGUAGAUGCCAUGCAUAAGUAGCAAAUAUGAAUUUGAUUUAAUUUGAUUGCUUGCUAAGCACAGCAAGAUGGAGACCAGCUCCCUCAUGAACGAAGUUUUUUCUAAUCCAUUUGUCCGGAUAUAAUCAACAUUUAACAUCACUUCUUCUGAUUGUAACGGUGCUUCAUUACCUUAAACAUGUACAAAUACUAGUGAGGCGUUCAGAACGAAUCACGUCAUGCCAAAAGAAAAAAAAAACGGCCUCACUAGUUAAGUAGCAUUGCCAGAUUAAAGCAUUAUGUUACCUUGCUAUUAGUCAAGGUUCACAUGGGUGUGCGUAAACUAGGUUUCUAGGUUACGGUGAGCAUGAUGACAUAUACCAUAAGUUGCAUCGGAGCGCAGCAGCAUUUUCAUUUUCUUGAUUUAAAUACGAUAUCAUAUAUAUAUUAAGUUGGAACUAGGCUGAUUUAGAAAAGCCGUUACAAUGGCUAUUUCAGUGCUUGAAAACUAAAGAUUUAGAACUAGGCUGAUUUAGAAAAGAUUGUAUUGUUUACUUACAUUACUCAUAGGUUUAAGUGAACUAGCACAUACAAUGCUUAUGGCUCGAUGAUGGGAAAAAUCCAGUGCAAACUACUUCGGUGGAAACGUGAAAUUGUGAAACCUCCCCUAAAAGCCAUACCCUAAAGUUUCCAAAAAUUAAAAACAAUGUGCAUUCAGAAUAUAUUUAAAGAUUUACUUUGUUGCAAAUUUAAUGUAGAAAAAUCCAUACAAAAAUGACAGAAUUCGAAUGCAUGUGCACUAGGAGACAAAAUUUCUAGGCAUAUGUAUUCUAGUACACAAGCACUUGGAACUUUGUCAUUUUCAUAUGAACUUUUACAAAACGAGUUUGCAUCUCAACUUUGCAACAAAGUACAUCUAUGGAUGGAUAUAGAUGCGCAUCGUUUCAAAAUUUUUAAAAACUUCUAUAUAUUUUUUAAGAAGAAUUUUCAUGUUUCCACCGAAGAGGUGAUUUCCACUAAAUAUUUCCACAUAUCUACUCGCAACUUCAUCCAAGUAGAGGGCUGUUACAGAUACCCACCUAGCUCAUACCACCGGAGGAGCUGGCAAAAUUUGGAAGCCCACUACGCCCAUCGUUAACACAUUUACCACGAAAACCAUAUGCUCCUGGUGAACAGAACAGAAGAUCCUGAGAGUAAACAUAUCGGUUUGAACAGCCAAAUUAAAUUCCUCGGCCGUCAAGCUGGCGAUUCAUCGUCUUCGCGACAGCAAUAAGCAACCGCAGACGAUAAGAACUAUGAACAGGUUUGAAGAACCAAUUUUCCCACAUUAUUUGCUGACUUCAGCAUCGCGCUAAAUAAUACCAGAGUGCACAAUUAUUGAGCAAGCGAUUAUUAUGAAAAGUGCGCAAAUAUCAGAGUAUAUGUACAUCUGAUGAAUAACUUGGCGAAAGGUAAGGUGACCAGCUGAAAAUUCAGCUUCGAUGGCUCAAUCUAUUUGCACCAACUUAUGCUAUCAUUUGCAUUUCAUCAGAAGUCAAUGAAGCAGACAGUAACUAUCUACAGCUCAUCAUGGGUUUUUGCCUUAUCCAGGGUAGAAGCAGGCUGCUGGUGCUCGUGAAGAUAGCGAGCAGCCAUUGCUGCUUGUGCAGCCGCCCCGUAGGGGAGGGCAUCCUCGUUGAUGGUGAAGUAGGGUGAAUGAUGGGGCGCCUGUGGUCCGCGGGUCUCGUUGUACAUUCCCACAAAAUAGUAGUAGGUGGAGGGGAUCGCCUCGGCGUAGAAGGCGAAGUCUUCAGCACCCAUCAGCGGUUGCCUGUCCCUCACAUUCUUGGAGCCAACCAUCUCGCUGGCCACAUUCACGAAGAAAUCAUGGAGCUCAGGGCUGUUGAUGGUUGGGGGAAAGAAAGGGCGGUCCUUGGUGAGGAAGUCCACAGUAGCAGUGCACCGCUGCACAGAUGCUUGAGAGACAAUUACCUGGGACAUGAAAGACAGAGAGAAGCUGAGGAUCUGCUGCAGGACAAUCCACAGUGAAAUUCAAGUAAAUUGUUGAAAAACUCUUGAGGGGAAUAGUGGGUAAUUCACACAGAUAAGAUGACUGUCAGAGUUAUGACCAUUGUGACCGGACACUUCCAUCUGCUGACCUUCCAACACUUACUAGCUAUGAGAAAAUUUGUUUUGCAAGUGCAGUAAAACCAUUACUAAAGUGAAAGCUACAAGGCUGCAGCUGCAAUUUUCAUUAAAGUAGUGUAAAAGGAAAAAAAAAUCUAUUAUGCAUGCUCAAACAACAAACUACACACGGUCCUGUAUCCAUGCAAUUAACCUUAUUCAUGAAAGAAUAAGAGUCAGGAACUGCUCUUGUGUUCAAGCUAAAAGCAGUACAAUUGAGUAAAGAUGGAGAAUAAGGGAAUGCCCCACAUUUUAGAUGCGCACCAGCUUAUUUGUUUAUCUGGUUGUAGUAUAUAUUUAAAUUAGAUAACAUCCCAGUGCCAGAGGAUGAGGUGACACUUACAAGUACCCAUUUUUCUACAGCUAUCAAUAAAAUGUGCAAAUUCAUCUAUUUAAUAAUUACUACUGUAGUUAGUCAUAGUGAUCUUAACAAGAAGUUCAAGCAGUCAUUUAUUUAACGCAAUUUUGAGUCCUUUUUCUUCCAAGAGAACCUGAUCCGCACAAAAUAAUUAAGAAACUGACUAUUCAGUUACAAUAAGUUCCCAAGUAACUAAUGCUGUUACCUCUUCAAUUCGCUGCUUCAAUUGAUUAAAACUCUCUUUCAAAAAGGCCCGGAAGGUGCCACCUAUUGUUACUGAAUCAGGGAUAACAUUGAAGGCCCCACCUCCUUGAAAUUUUCCAAUUGUUACAACCUGCAGAACAAAGCAUGGACCAAAGGAAACAAUUUAUAUACUGGUUUGUAAAUUUGCCAAAGGUUCAACAUAGAGAAAGUGCUAGUCAGUGCACUGGACAAACUGAUGGGGUCCUGGCCUUCUGGGAGUAACAUAUUGAAUAAACAGCCAAAAUUCAGCUUCAAUGGUCCAAUCUAAUUUUACCUAUUUCUGCUAUCAUUUAAUUUGUAUAUGGAACUAAAAAUUCCUCUAUCAAACAACUUAAGAGUGUAAAACUUAAGUUUUGAAUGUUAUAUAGUAAUGGAUGUGGAACAAUUUGUGCUGCCUAGUUCUAAUAAGUACAAGCAAACUUGGGCUGGCCUCCUGGGUUGUUUCCAUACUAAGAGCAGGAUAAAAAGUUCAACACGAUCUUGACCAAUUUCAAAUAAAUCAUCUACACACAUAGCAAAAUCAUUUUGUAAAAAAUUUUCUAUGCUUGUUCUGCAAUUUAGACCAACAGAACAGUACAUCAUGCAACUUCUGCGGAAGGGAGUUAUGUCAAUCAUAUAAAUAGAUAUAGAGAAAGGUUGUCAAGAUCAUGAUUCAUUGCUUGGGAAUUUAUGGCAGGCAACAACAAAUUAAGUCGGUGAAGGGUAAGAUGGUACCUGUGAGUCCAAGGGAUCAGCUUCCCGGGAAACAAGUUGCUGAAGGCUCACAAUAACAUUUGAGGCAGCCAAUAUCGGAUCUAUAGUGUGAUGAGGAAGUGCAGCAUGCCCUCCCUUUCCACUUAUUACAGCCUCAAAGAAUCCACUCCCAGCCAUAAUAGGCCCUGGCCUGGAUGCCAGCACACCAAUAGGAAUAGAGUCAGCUAUGUGAAUCCCAAAAAUGGCAUCAAUAUUUUCCACUGCUCCAGCUUCUAUCAUUUUCUGAGCCCCACCACCACCUUCCUCGGCUGGUUGGAAAACAAGGACUACAGUGCCCUACAGUAAUCAACAUGAUAUUCAUAACCACUGAAAUUUGUUCUAGGUGAUAAAAAUUCAAUGAUUACAAGUCAAUUCAUAUAACUGAUAUGGAGGCAACUGAACUAAGUGAUUCGAUAAGGAGAAUUGCUGAUGGACUAUCAGGAUUAGUUGUGUGCUGUCUAAACAUAAUUACUCGCUUUCCCUAAGAACAGUAAUAUAAGCAAUUGACAAAAAUGCUAAAUCUAUUGCAAAAGGUUGGCUAAAGAAAUGAAGUAUAGACGAAUAAAAAAAGGCAGAAAGAAACAAUGUAUUGCAUUUCACAGAUUUAAACCUGAGAUAAAAAGAAUGAACAACUUCCUUAGACUAAAAGAAGCUACCUCUUACAAAAUAUACACCCAUUUUAAAUUACGCAAAAUAUAAGCAAACUACCAAUAGAUAAUAGUAUAGUACGCUCUGCAGUCUUAGGGAUCAAGGAGUUAAAAACUAGGAUUGGGUAAUAGUUAUCAGACAAAUGAAUUUCACUUCUAUAUUUCUUUCAGAAAGAAAAUGCCAAAAAACAGAGUCUGCAUCCUAAUCAUUUUCCAAAUCUUCAAAAGAAGUGAGAACAUGUAGCUUAAUGCAAUUAAAGUAAGGAAAAGAUCGCUAUAUACAAAGUGUUAAGCAUCUUCCAUAGGUUUUCUGAAGGCUAUUCUCUAAUUAUUUAAUUAACACAUCUAUACAAGUGUUAAGCACUUUUUAUAGGUUUUCUGAAGGGUAUCCUCUCAUAAAUCAAUUAACAAAUCUCCCUAUCAUUGGUGGACAUAAAUUUGGAGGUGGCAGGGAUGGUGCACAGGGAUUAUGUCUACAAUACAUAACAGGUGCUACGUAAACCAUGAAAAUCUAUUAUAUGACCAACACAAAAACAAAGUAUCAAAUAAACAAGAUAUCUGUCUCUGGCUGUCUGCUGAAAUGAAGGAUUGGACAUACAAGUAUACAACUGUUGCUAAACCUCAAUACUUCAACAAUUAAUGGUAUAUCCAUAUUUAAAGAAAAUUCUGAUAUCUCACCCAAAGUUUGAAAAUAUUAAUUAUUUCAGAAAUUUUCAUCGCACAAUGAGAAACUUACAAUUUCGCUUUGCUUUAUAACUAAAGAAAAAUAUUUUAACCAACCUUCAACUCAUCACGAUGCUCCUGAAGGAUCUUGGCAGAUCCCAAGAGCAUAGCAACAUGAGCAUCAUGUCCACAUCCAUGCAUUUUCCCAGGAACUUUGCUCCUGUGUUCCCAUUCCACGCUUUCCUGUAAAAAAAGACAUGAAUUUUAACUUGGACAGAUAUAAACUAGUCGAAUCUAACUUUGGGCAAAUGAAACUUACCGCAAUUAAAUUUAUCAAUAAUAAAUAACUGAAAAUUGAUAAUAUGCAUUAUGCAAGGUUUAAAAUUUGUGGCUUAGUACAUUGAGAAGCAGCUCUCCACAUACCGAACAUUAAUCAAUUGGAUCAUAUGAAUAAUAGACCUAUUGCACCAGAAAAAUAUAUAUAUCAAUACAGUUCAAUAAGCACAUCAUAGUUAUGCAAUCUACAUGAAUCACAUAUUUGUCUCAUACUCUCAUCACUAAUCACCACCUGCAACAUGAUUGAAGGCUCACUUGACUGCACAUAUGCAUAUAGGCAGCCCAUGUGAUUCCUCCCAGUGAGAAGCUAAAGUCUUUUCUCCGUAUGUUCCUAAUUAGGAGGGACAGGUAGCCAGCUAGGGAACUACUUAGGAGUAGGCUGGCACCUGUUCCACCCUUUUCUAACCAGGAUGUCUGCCGUGAACUAUAUGCGAUAUUGACAAUUUCCUAGACCAUUUCGAUAUCACACGUGCUGGCCUAGGUGACCCUUGGUCAUUACUUUGUAUUGCUCUGCAACAAAUUUCAAAGAGCAAACAUGUGCACCCUUUCCACUGCAAAGGUUGCGCAAACCCUGGAAGAUUAGUUGCUUUCUGGUGCACCCCAUAAGUUCUUUGAAAUUAAGGUUUUCCUCUUCUCUUAAAUCAAUCCUCAGAUGCCAAAUUUCGCAAUAGGGCCUCCAAUAUAGCACGCUAUACAGGUAGGCCGUUUUAUACCUAGCACGCUAGCAGAGCCUAUUAAGUACGUUGAUUGCAAAUUAACAGCAUUAAAAAUAUCGAACGAAAUGCAGUUUCCACUAUGCAAGCGGCUCCAAAAACAAACCCUUGUCAAACUAGAUGAGCACUACUGAGGACAAGAUACAAUUUUGAAGCUUGUGAUUGUUGUGAUUGGAACGAAUUCGAUAAAUAGACCAAGGACCUCCCGCCUCUAUCUUUAGCAAAACCAAUAUCUAUUUUCUUCAAUCAGCAGCAAAUUCAGGAAGCAGAGGAACCCAAAUAGCGGGCAAGAGCCAGCGCAACCGAAGAAGAAAUCGAAGGCAGCAACAGACCUGCAUCGGUAGCGCGUCCAUAUCCGCCCGCAGCGCGACGAAGGGCGGGCCGCCGGUGCCGACUGUCGCGACCACCCCGGUGACGGCGAAGGGGUGCUUGUAGGGGAUCCCCAUAGCGUCGAGCUCCCGGCGCACGAGCGCGCUGGUCUCGAACUCCUCGUACCCCAGCUCCGGGUUCUCGUGGAUGCGCCGCCGCACCCCGACCAUCCAGCCCGCGAAAUCCGGCUCCUUGGCCCGCCGCAGGAGCCCCGCGGGGUCCUCCAGCGCCGCCGUCGCCACCGAAGGCCAUCCCGCGGCGGCGAGGACGGCGAGGGCGAGGCCCGCCAGCAGGAGUGGCGGCGCAGCGGUGCCCAUGUUUUUUUGGUUGGUUCGGUUGCGCCUUGCGCGGUUGGUUUGCUGGUGAGUGAUGAACUGAUGAUGCGGAGGUCAGGUGAGGAGUGCGGCGGCUUCGCUUUUGACGAGGCAAACGCACACGACACGAGGGCGGCGGCUGAUUUUGUUUCUUCUCCCAUUUUUUUUCUUCUCCUUCCUUUUCCCUGUUUCGUGCUACUGCAUUUUUCAUCGCUCUGCUGGGGUGUGCGGUCAUUUCUGCUUUCGACCAAUUUUUCCUUUCUGGGCAGUCUUUUGUUCCGAGACGUUUUGGUUGAUUUGAUGCCCAUGGAAUGUGUCAUCUGAACGGAUGGUUCUUGUCGUUCAGCCAUUUGCAGGAAGAGGUCCUUGUUGCAGAGUGCUUGUGCUGUUGGUUGUCACCAAUUUUGCUUUGAGCAGCACAAUUGGAUAUUGGUCCCAAAUGGACAGCACAGGCCCAAGCCCAACCCAGAUCUAAUUCGCCGGUCCACACCAUUUCUGUUGACUUGUUGAGUGCUCCCGUUGUUUGUCAAUCUCUAUCUCUUCCCUAUCUCUAUAUCCAUCUCUUCUCUAGCUCUAUCUCUAUUUUAAAGCAAUGAUAGAGAUAGAAAUAUAUGUUGUACUAAUAUUGCGGACCCGACCUAAGCUCCCUGGGCUAAGCCACAGCCCGGCACUUGGCCUAGGAGCGCAUGGAGCCGAUUUUUGCAUGCCCAAAAACAGGUGUGGCCCAACUAAUCAUUUAACUUUUUUUUUUUGGAAAAGGUCCUCUCGUCGUCCCUCAACUAUUGCCGUAGUCUGGGUUUAGUCCCUCAUGUGCAAAAUCGGGUAUUCGUAGUCCCUCAACUUCCAAAACCAUUUGUUUUUGGUCCCUCACCGUUUUUUCGCAUGAUGUGGUAGUGGCCCCAUAUGCCAUUUGGCUUUCUUCUCCCUCUCCUUCCUCCUUCCUUCAUCAUCUUCCUUCUCCCUGUAUCCCUGCUCCCCAACGCUCGUCGCCGGGUCUUGGCCGCCCGCAGGUUCCAUGUCUACGCUGAUUGCCGGAUUCGGUCUCGAGCCGACCACGCCGCAGUGCGGAGCCUGGCCAUGGCCGCACCAUCCCUUCCGCCCUCAGCGACCGCAGUGCCCCCGACGUCGUCCCAACCUCCUUGUGCCCCUAGGUCACCACCAGGGGCCAGGCUGUGCCGCUCAAGCUAGCUGACCAUCGCCGGGUCAGGGCCGCUCGUGUCUACGUUGGUCGGCGGAUCCAGCCGUGAGCCGGCGAUGCCGCAUGCCAUGCAGCCGUUGGGGUCUAGCCAUGCUUGCGCCAUCCCGACCGCCUCGCACCCUCGACCACCACCGAGGACUGGUGCGUCGGGGCCCACCCGCCUUGUGCUGCUUGAGAAAGGGAAGGAAGAGAGAGGGACUGAGGGAGGAGGAAGAGAGGGGGAAGAAGAAAUUCAUAUAGCAUGUGGAGCCUACCGCCACCUGUUCUUGUGGAGCCCACGCCCAAGUCAUGUAAAACCACCGUCAAAACGAGUGAGGGACAAAAAUAAACAGGUUCAAGAGUUGAGGACUGCGAAUACCUGAUUUUGCGUAUAAGGGACUAAAUCCGAACUACGGUAAUAGUUGAGGGACGUCCGGAGGAUCUUUUCCUUUUUUUUUUUCAACUGAAAUGGUUGGUGGACCGAGCUUGGCCCAAAAAAUUCGAUAGUUCUGGCCGAUAAUUUCUUUUGUCGCCUUCGCCGAUGGCCAGCGCACCGGCAUGCGGCUCUCCUCUCCUCAGCAGCGGUGGCCGGAGAGCCGGACGCCGGUGGUCUCGUGCACGCAGAGGGCGCGGCCUCGGCCCUCGGGGACAUCGUCCCGGUCCUACAACCCCGUCCUGGCCACAUGAACACGCCGAGUCCGCAGCCGUCCGCGCGUGAUGCGGUGGCAAAACCAAGCAGGCUCAAGUCCACAAGCGCAGCAGCCAAGAAGAGAGGAUAGCGACCGUAGGAGCAGCGUGCAUGCCGCCCUCGCGUGCCGCGGCUGGCUCGUCAUGACUGAUAUGUUCGUUUUCUACUUCAUGUAUGAUCUGCUGGUAAUUAUCAUCGCAGCAUAUUUUGGUCAAUGGUUCUUCUUAUUCGCCUUUGCAUGGUUGGAUGAUGGCGUCGUGAGAAAGCUUCACCAGUUCCAUCUCCAUGCAUGUGUUGCUAUGCAUUCUGUUUUUUUUUUUGCUGCCAUGAAAUGUUCUGGUUACAAAACUUCCGUUUGCACAUUCCCGCAAGAAUAUUAACGUGGUGACUGGUGGGCAAUAUCAAAUUUUGCGUAUGACUGAAACGAUUGUUUGCAGCAGCAAUCUGGGGCGGAUCUAGCGGUGGGCGGUUGUGGCUCAAGCUCCUCCUACAGCUCCGGACGCAAUGGAGCCUCUCGAGUUCAGCCCCUCCUACAGAGGAAGAAGCGAUAAAAGAAAGCAAAGAAAGAGAAGGAAAGAAAGGAGACGAGAAAUGGUAAAGAUCCUACAAUUUGCAUGAUGUUUAUGGCUGUAUGUAUUUAACUUGAAUCCGUCAAAAUAAGUUGCCCUGCGUGCUUUUGCAGAUUUUUGGAUUCGAGCUGUCAGAUUUUUAUCGUAAUACAAGGACGACCUCCAAGCUAUAAUCGAAAUAAGUUUUGUUCGUGUGACAUCAUAUUUACUAAAUCACAUAUUCAUGCGGCGUGGCUGACAUAAUGGGGCAUGGCUUCAUCGAUUAAGUAAAAAUUUGUUGGUAUUUUCCUAGUUAUUAAUAAAAUAUCAUAGCCUUGUGCCCACACUAUGGGCAGGGUGAAACGAAAUUAGAGUAUGAAUUCAAACCGCAUAGCCAUCAAAAUUUAAUUAACUGAAGUUCGUGGACAAUUUAUUUCAUGACCACUAGUACAUGGAUACACAUUUCAUAGCAUAGAGAAAAAUCGUACCGUACGGAUGCGGAACAACCAUCAACACCACUGCCGCCGGCCCACUCUUUUUAAGAAGUAUAUAAAUAUAUUAAAAGGAGUAAAUAUUAAAAUAAAAUCUUUUCAAAUUUAUGCAUGUUAAAUUUGGCUUUAAUUUAAUUUCCAGCAAAAGAUUUUCCAUUUGGCUCCAGUUUUCUCGAACUACCGUCGCUCGGCUCGGACUCCGACUCCGCCCGUCGGUGGUCCAGCUCCUGGCCACCCACGCCGACAUCAGCGGCCGCGGCGACUGCGGCCGCUUCCUCGUCACGGAGUGCGCCGGGCCGAUGAACCUGCGCCAGCACAUGGAGCUCCGGCGCCGCGAUGGCCUGCCGUUCGAGGAGGGCGAGGUGCGCGACGCCAUGCGCCAGCUCCUCGCCAGCGUGGAGAGCGCGCAUGGCGCGGGCGUGCUCCACACGGAGAUCGUCCCGGAGAACGUAGCCGUCGGCCAGGAGGACGUGGUCUCCGACGGAGCGGUCGUCGGGAGGAGGAUGGUCUACAAGAUCUGCGGCUUCGGCAUGUCGGAGCCGGCGGCGCUGGCGGCGGCGGAGAAGGACGACUCCGGGCUGCUGGCGUCGCCGAGCCCGUACCGCGCGCCGGAGCCCUUCCUGGGCUCCAAGGACUACGACGGGCGGGUCAACACGUGGGGGCUCGACUGCAUCAUGGCGGAGCUCCUCGCCGGCACCGGCGUGCCGUUCUUCGGCUGCAAGCUGGACACCGGGGUCCUCGAGAAGAUGCUGUACGUGGUCGGCGCCAGGGGCAUCGUCAAGUGGCCGGGGCUGGACCGGGUGACGGCGCACGACCAGGCGGCGCGGCUGCGGAAGCUCUACCGCCGAGACCGCGGCCACCUGCGGCAGGUGUUUCCGAGGGAGGUGCUCUCUCUGGCAGGCUACAAGGUCUUGAAAGGGCUGCUGCGGAGUCACCCUGAUCGCAGGCUGACGGCCGCGGGCGCCCUCCGCAUGCCAUGGUUCCGGCGCCGUGGCUUGGGUGGCUACUUUGGUGGAGCGGUCUUGUCAGCCAACUAGCCAUGAUCUGAGUGUUCUCAGGGUGGUUGAUUUUUUCCCCAAGAUUUGUGUAGCGAGUAGAUAGACUUAAGGCUAUCCGUACUCGUCAUACUCUAUUUCCAUACUUUACAAAGAACUAGCAAAAUGCCCGUGCGUUGCUACGGUGAAAUGAUAAUCAUAUUUUUAAAACUCGUGGGUUUUUUUCCUAUUUCUAUCACUAUAUAUUUAUUGCAUUUCUGUUAAUAUAUAUCCUUAUACUAAAAUAAUUAUUCAUUUCUCAAACACAAUAAACCAAAAUAUUUAUUGUUUGAUGCUUUCUUGCUAUGCGUGUUUGGUUAAUUAUUUGUUUACGAGGAGAUAUGUGUCUAGCUGUUGUUCACAAGAAAUAGUGUCCAAGUAUUUUAAAUGAAGCUUAAAGUUUGAAAGGUGGGCUAUUUAGAUUGUCAGAAGUGCAUUGGAAAUUUCUGAAACUAAAACUGGAAUGUUCAGUUCCUGGUUGCCCGUGCGUUGCUACGGGUCAUUACUUGCUCUCACGUUAUUAUACGUUUGUUUAUAAUAUGUUAGCUUCGCUUCACAAUAUGUGGUAGACAAUUCAUCAAAGAUGAGUGGCAAAAAAGACCAUUACUCCAUCACCAUUAUGAAGGAAACAACAAUUACCACCCAAAUAUGAAACGUAUAGGAAGAUAUCAGCAAAUACUACAUAUCAAACAACAGUGACAUCAUCAGGAAUACUGAAUGCCUUAACAGAUAUCGGUUGUACCUAUUUGGUGAGGACCUCUGAAUACACUAACAGAUAUCGGUUGUACCUAUUUGGUGAGGACCUCUGAAUACACUAUAUUCUUUGUGUAUCUAUCGGUUGUGUCUUUUUGAUUCACCUUUUUCUUAUUUGAAACUGGAAUGUUCAGUUCCUGACCGAAAGUCAGAGCUCUCAAUCUUCCAAACCAAAGAUCUUUUGAGCAAAGUUCCUAUCUAGAACUUGCAGCCCUAUAGUACCUCUACAAGUUUGGUUAAAGGUGCUUGGAGAGUUUGUUAUUGGAUUUGGAUGAUCUGUGCUCGAGAAAAGGUAGCCUUUCGGUGCUUUGGAGAUAAUUGACAGGAGCAAAUUCUAAAGGUUCAGUGUAACCGGUGUUUUUCCCAAAGUUCAGAGACUUUUAUCUUUCGAUCCUAUGGAACCAAAGCCCUAUCUAACACAUGUAGCUCGUUGAUCCAGAUACAUCUUUGUAUAAAGACGAUUUGCAAGUUUAUGUUUGGAUUUGGACAAGAAUCGUUGGGGAAGGGACUGCUUUUCUGUAUUUCUGGAGCAGCUACAAGCAGCAAUAGCAGCUCGCAGCACUGCCACCACUACUUAAGCCUCCGCGGUGAAAAUCCUCACGUGCCACAUGCCGGCAAUGCCGCCGAGGCUGCAUGCAGGGCAGCGGCAGAGUGUCCUGCUCCGGCUGCCACCUGCGCCCAAUCCUCCUCCUUCGCCUCUCAAUUUUGAAGAAAGGAGAAGCUUUUUGCCCUUUAGCGCCCUCCCUUCCCUCCUUUUUCCACCUGAGCCCCCCUCUCUUCAGAAUUUGGAUUGCGGGUUGAUUCCAUAAAAAUUGAGGAACUUUUUUGCAAAAUGACCAUGACGUAUGAAAAAAAAACUGGGCAGAAACCUUACUUGCUUUAUGGAAAAAACAUGUUAGUAUGACAUAUUUUCACUUAUAUAUAUCAAAAUGCCCGAGCGUUCCUACGGUGAAAUGAUAAUCGUAUUUUUAAAACUCAUAUUUUUUUCUAUUUGUAUCACUAUAUAUUUAUUGCAUUUCUGUUAACAUAUAUCCUUAUAUUGAAAUAAUUAUUCAUUGAUGGCCAUCAGCCGUGGCUUCUUCUCAGGGUCGGACCCGUCGUACUGCUUCAACUCCUCUUGAGUCUUAAUUGUUUGCCUUACCGUUUUUGGCCCAAUAUCUCCCCCGACAUGGCAGCUUAACUUCGCACCUGGCUCGUAGCCAUCCAUCUGGAUUGGGCGGUCGAGACACUCAUGAUGCAAAACACAACUCGGACACUCGUGAUGCAAAACACAACUCGGUUCCAGCAUCUCAUGUGAAAUCCUAAGGUGACGUUUGGACGGUGGAUGUGAUAUGAAAAUGGAUAUAAGAUGGGAUACGGAGAAGUAGAUUAUGGAUUGGGAAAUAAAACUCCAAUCCGAAUCCAUGGUUUGGCUGUGCUUAGGAAAUGGUUUGGAUUUAAAGCGGAACCCACGUGCAAUAGAAAAAGAAAGGAAGAGGACUUGGCCGUUUUCUCUUUUUGAUGCAACGGCACCGUCAUAAUCCAAACUGCGAGGCACCCUUAUCUCUGGUUCUCUCUUCUCUUCGUCCACGCUGGACCUUACCCCGUAUUCGUGUUUAGGUUCUUUAAUUUGGGUCUAGAUUUUCUACGGGACCCACAAACUAAUUAAAAAAAGGACGGUCCUUAUCUUUUGGUGCCUUGUUCGUUCACAACCACAUGGUGCUACUCGAGCUCCGAGGCGAGCAGCACACUCUGCCAUAGCACGACAAGACCGAGGCCUUGUUUACUUUCCAAUUUGGGAGUGGGAAAAUUGGCAUUUUGCCAUAAAUGCGCAACUGUAGCGUUUCAUUUGUAUUUGUGAAUUAUUGUCCAAAUAUUGACUAAUUAGGCUUAAAAGAUUCGUCUCGCAAAGUACAACAAAACUGUGCAAUUAGUUUUUGAUUUCGUCUACAUUUAGUACUCCAUGCAUGUACCGCAAGUUUGAUGUGAUGGGGAAUCUUCUUUUUGCAUAGUGUCAAAAUUGGGAGUUUGGAAGGAAGUAAACAAGGGCCGAGGCUUCAGCUGCGUGCGAUUCGAGUGGCGGCGGCGACCACUACGCGCGGCACCUGCGGUGGCGAGCACCAUGCGUAGCAUCUACCGUGGCUGCGCUCCCGCUCGUGUGGCUGCGGUGGCGGUGGCUUCGCUUCCCUCCGCAUAACUCCGAGCGCAAGCCAUGCGGCGAGCUCCGACGUCCACAGCAUGCUCCGGUCCCGACACUUCAAGCUGCUGCGGUUCCUCUCGCUUGUGCGCGCGUGUGGACAACGCACGGGCAUCAGUAUUAUGGGGAGCUCCAGGCGGCGGCUGCGGCGGGGGAGAUCCGGGCGGCCGCGGAUGGGAAGCUCCAGUUGGCGAGCUCUGGGUGGCGGCUUCAGCGGGGGAGAUCCGAGCGGCUGCGGAUGGGGAGCUCCAAGCGGGCGCGUGGCGCCGCCUCGGCAACGGGCGGGCGGCGCGGCCGUGGUGGGGCUCCCCGCUCCGGCCGCUGCCCGCGCCCCGUCCCCCUCCUUCGCCUCCUUGUUUUGGAUUGGAGAAAGGAGAAGUUUUUUCCCUUUAAACGCCCUCUCUUUCCUCCUUUUUCAAUCCGACACCCAGACUAUUCAUAAUAAUGGACUGCGGGUUGAUUACACAAAACAUCAGGGUUUUUUUUGCAAAAUGACCACGAUGUACGAAAAUCCAGGCAGAGGCGUUACUUGCUUUAAUAAUAGGUAAAGAUAUUCUAUCCUAGUCAUCAAGAUUCUCUCCUCUAUAUCAAUUUCUCCAGCACCCGUGUUACUCUAUAUCUUAUACUCUAUACCAACUACCACAUAUUUUAUUCCCCUCCCUCCCUCUUUCCUUCUACCCAGCCGUUCCCCUCCCCCUCCCGAUGCCUCCUGGGCCUCCUCCCUGCCGGCUCCUUCCUCUUCCCUGCCGUCCCCCUCCUCCUCCCCGACGGUGGCGGUGACGGAUCCAGCGGUGGCGGCGGAUCCGAGCAGAGGCGCGCGGGGGGGGGGGGGGGAAGGGGGGGGGGAGGGAGGGGGGGGGGGGGGGGGGGAACAAGAGGACUUGGGGUUGGGGGGGGGGGGGGGANNNNNNNNNNNNNNNNNNNNNNNNNNNNNNNNNNNNNNNNNNNNNNNNNNNNNNNNNNNNNNNNNNNNNNNNNNNNNNNNNNNNNNNNNNNNNNNNNNNNUAACAAAGCCCAUUUCCCCACAUUUAGCCCAACACUGGACUAGUCAACACGGAAGCACCCCAACGGGGGUUGCAACCCAUCCCAUGGGGCCGGAACCAGGACCUAAGUCAUCAAGAGCUUAGUCCUUUUCCAAGGGCUCCCCGUUGCUCACCAGCACACCUAAAGCCCAGCAGUUUAGCUAGUGGGGUCUAUGGUAACCCGUUGCCCACACAACGGUGGAGUGGUUGCACGAUGAUGGAAUUAGACAGGGAUGACACAUCAACUCGGUCCUUAGCCAUGACAAGAUGGAUAUCUCCCACUGUGGUCAACCAGUCAGGUACGGGGCGUUGGGGCUGGCGGUGUCGGGAGGUGGGUAGCGGGCGCCCUGGGCGCCCGCCAGGAGUAGCGGACCAUUGGCCCUCCGCUUGGGUAGCGGACGCCUCCCGGUACCACAGUGCGGGGUUUUUUCCACUACCGCGUACUGAGGAUCGUUUACAGGGUGCCGGUGCGGACAACCUAAUGCUGUGAAAGGGUUAUAAUGAUGUAUGUUAUUCGUCCUGCUUGUAAUGUGACGUUCUUCAUCUUCUCACAAAUACUACAAGUUAAUUUAGGUUUUCAAUUCCCUAAUUCAAAUCUUAUAAACUUUGAUUAGAGAUUUCUAUAAAAAAUAUUCUUGAUAAAAGAGUUGCUGUUAUGAAUUCAUUUCAGAAAAAAAGUUGCUGUUAUGAAAAUAACUUUAUAAUCUGUGCCACUCAGGACUUUAGGGCAGCGUUCUUUUUUUGUUGUGGAUCCCUGGGAAGUGAUUUUGCACUGCAGCCUCCAAACGGUAGCCAGUUCAUCGAACUCUGAUAGUUAAAUUUGACCGCAGCAAUGGAGCUGCCCUUACUCAAAAUAGCCCACCAAUGCCAUCACCUAUCCUUACACAAAAAGCAAAGGACAUUAUCGAGGAUUAACAGCUAAAAGCAGCAAUCUAGCCCCACGCGAUGCAGGGAUACAAACAGGCCCAAGCUUUUACCAAUCCAUAUUUUAUAAGGCACAUACUACAUACCAUAUUUUUGAUAAUAUCUAACUAAUCCAAACAUGACCUUAAGUCUGACACAUACUCUCCCCAUAAAAAAAAUCAAGAGCAAAUAAUGAGGUAAAAUAACUUUAUUUGCCUCUAUUUAUUAACUAUAUUAUUUGGUAGUAACUGAUACCGUAUGCACAUGCACAUACCAAAUGUGACAGAAUGACUUGUUUUUGAUAGAUUUUGAAUCUUAGAAUGAUUAUUUUUUUGGACGGAGAACGUAUAGUAUUAUGGAGCACCAAGUGAUAAAUCUUGUUUCAUGCGAAAAAUGCAAGAACCAAGACCUAAGCCUCGUAAAAAUAAUCAUUUAGCGAACAAACACAUUUAAAACAACGGAUUGACCAUGUACGUUGACCGUAUAGCGCAGUGGAUAUCGCAUUUCACUACGAAUCAGAAGGUCGCGUGUUCAACGCCCACUGUGCCGAAAAUCGUAUGCUAAUGCUACUGAAGAAUUGAACAGAUGAUGAGCUGGCAAACUAGUUCCUGACCAUGAAAAGGCGACGUUUGCAUGUGCAUAAACUUAACAAGAUGAAGAACCAAAACUAAAUUACUCGGUAGUUCUCACCCAAAUAGUAAAAAACUGUCAAUUCAUCAUCUGCACAAGAUUAUAUUUACUCAUAAAUAUGACCGUAGCAUCGCACUAUUCCCGCAUGCCGCAAGAGAUAAUUAUCAAACUGCGCAAAUUUCAGAAUGUAUAUACAGCUGCUGAAUGACUUGGCGAAAGCUAAGGCUCACCAGCAAAAAUUUCAACUUCACGGUUCAAUCUAAGGGUGCAUUUUGCCGAGCUUCCAGAGCUGAUUCUCUGCUGAAUCUAGCAGGAGCUCUGCCAAACAGUUUUUUCAGGAAGAAAUGAUUCUCUGCUGAUUCUGUGAAGUGAUUCUCUGGAAUGAACUAAGAGACUUGGACUGAAAAAAGUAGCUUCUCCCGUGAAGUGAUUCUCCAUCGUUUAUGCUAGAGAAUCAAAGAGAAUCACUUUCAACUAUAAAAUCACUUCUCUUGAAGCUCCCAUAAAAAAUCAGAAUCAAAUGGAAUUUAAUCAGAAUUCAACAAAGCAGGCAGCAUCUAUUACAGCUUGUCACGGGCUUUCGCCCAGUAUAUAUCUACAGCUCGUCAUUGGGCUUUCACCUUAUCCGGGGUAGCAGCAGGGUGCUCAUGCUCGAGCAGAUAGCGAGCAGCCAACGCUGCUUGCGCAGCCGCGCCGUAGGGGAGGGCAUCCUCGUUGACAGUGAAGUAGGGGGAGUGAUGAGGCGCCUUCGGUCCACGGGUCUCGUUGUAUAUGCCCACGAAGUAGUAGCAGGUGGACGGUAUCACCUCAGCAUAGAAGGCGAAGUCCUCGGCGCCAUCAGUGGCUGCAUGUCUCUCACGUUCUUGGAGCCAACCAUUUCGCUGGCCACACUGACGAAGAAAUCGUGAAGCUCAGGGCUGUUGCUGGUUGAGGGGAAGACAGGGUCCUUGUUCAGGAAGUCCACGGUAGCACUGCAUCGCUGCACGGAUGCUUGAGACACGAUCACCUGGGACAUGAAAAACAGAGAAUAGCUGAGGAUCCUCUGCAGGACAAUCUACAGUGAAAUUUUCUUGAAGUAAAAUGUUGAAGAAAGAGGGGAGUAGAUGAGAACUCAGCACAGAUGAAUGUCAUUUCUGACCAUUGUGACCCAAUCACUUCCGUCUACUAACCUACCAACCUGUAAAAACAAUGAAAACCUGUUUUCCAAGUGCAGUAAAACUAUUUCUAAGGUGAAAGCUACAAAUCUAUAGCUGUAAUUUUCGCUUCAAUUAAAAUGUGAAAGAAAAACUUCUAAUCUGAGUACUCAAACAACAAAUUACAAGUGAGUCUGUAUCCAUGCAGCAUGUGUUCCAGUAUUGGCAGCACAUGUUCCUUAUCCAUAAACGAAAGUUUCUACGUGAGAGAAUAAGUGUCAGGAACUCCUCAAAUCGCCAGCAGUGUACAAUCUAACAAAGAUGGAGAAUAAGGGAAAACACCAAAUUUUAGAUGCGCACCAGCUUCUUUCUUCACCAUAUCCUUGGUUGCAGUAUAUACUUAAAUUAGGUGUCAGCCUAGAGCAUGAGGUGCCACUUACAAGUACCCACAUCUUAAAGCUAUCGAUAAAUGUGCAAAUUGAUCGUAUUUGAUAAUUAAAUAUUCUAGUUAGGUAUAGUGACUAGUCAUCUCAACAGCAAGUUCAAGUAGAUAUCUAUUUAAGGCAACCUUUUAGUCCUGUUUAUUUCUAAGAGAGCCUAAUUCCCAGAAAAUAAUUAAAAGAAACUACUUAAAUAGUAAGACAUAGUAUCCAAGCCAAAAUGCCAUUACCUCUUCAAUUCGAUGCUUCAGUUGAAUAAUACUCUCUUUCGAAAAGGCUCGGAAGGUGCCACCUAUUGUUACUGAAUCUGGGAUCACAUUGAAGGCCCCACCUCCUUGAAAAUUUCUAACAGUUACAACCUGCAAAAUAAAGCAUGGACCAAACCAGAAGGAAACACUUAUGUGCUGAAAUGUAAACAAGAAUAAAUUCCCAAAGUUUAAUAUAGCAGCAGUACUUCAGUAAGUACACUGAACAAACUGAUGGGAUCCUGGGAGUAGCAAUCAAAUAAACAAUUUGUAUAAUUCUUGUGGUGCAAAAUCAAUUUUUGUAUUUGGUACUACAAAUACCUAUAUUGAGCAAUUAAUGAGUGUAAAACUUAAGUUUUGGAAAUUGUAUAAUAAUGGAUACAGAAGAAUAUGUGCUGCCUAGUUAUAACACGUCCAGGCAAAUUAGGGCUGGCCUGUUGGGUAGUCUUCUAGGUUACAUGUUAGUAGCAGGAUAAAAAGUUCAACAAGAUCUUGACAAAUUUCAAAUAGAUCUCCCAACACACCUCAAAUCAUUCCAUAAAAUUUGUUCUAUUCUUGUUCUGUAGUUUAGACCAACAAAGCAGUACAUCACGAAACUUGUAUGGAAGGGAGAUAUGUAAAUCAUAUAAAUUGAAAUAGAAAGAGUCAACCAAGAACAUGCUUCCUUGCUUGGAAAUUUAUGGCAUACAACAACAAAUUAAGUCGGCCAAAGCUGGGACAGUACCUGUGAGUCCAAAGGAUCAGCUUCCCGUGAAACAAGUUGCUGAAGGCUCACAAAAACAUUUGAGGCAGCCAAUAUUGGAUCUAUAGUGUGAUGAGGAAGUGCAGCAUGGCCUCCCUUUCCACUUAUUACAGCCUCAAAGACUCCACCCCCAGCCAUAUAUAAUAGGCCCUGGUCUAGAUUCCAGCACACCAAUAGGAAAAGAGUUAGCUACGUGAAGCCCGAAAAUGGCAUCUACGUUUUCCACAGCUCCAGCUUCUAUCAUUUUCUGGGCCCCACCACCACCACUUUCCUCAGCUGGUUGGAAAACCAGGACUACUGUACCCUACAGUAAUCAACAAGAUAUUCAUAACCAUAUAAAAUUCGUAGGUGACUAAAAUUCAAAGAUUAAAAAGAUAAUUCAUAACUGACAUGGAAGCAAGUGAAUUAAGAGACUUAACCAGUAGAAUUGUCGAUGUGGACUACCAGGUUUAGUCGUGUGCUGUCCAAGCAUAAUAAUUACUUAAAAUCAAUUUUUGACAGACUAAACAGUCGUACUCACUUUCCCUACAAACAGAAACAUAAGCAAUUGACACAAGUUCUAAAUCUAUUGCCGAGAUUAAAAAUAUUGAAUAUACUGAUAAAAAAGCAGAGGGAGGUAAUAUAAUGCAUUUCAUAGGUCUACCCCUGAGGGGGAAAAGAAUGACUUUCUUGGACAAAAGAAGCUACCUCUUACAAAAUAUAGCGUCCAUUUUUAAGUUGUUCAAAAUAAAAUAUAAGAAAAACUACAAGUAGAUAACAGUAGGGAAUGAUCACAAUAUACAAGUGCUAACAUCUUCUAUAGGUUUUGAAAGCUAUUCUCCCAUUAAUUACACAAAUCUCCCGUAUCAUUGCUUGGACAUACAUAACAGGCACUAGGUGAACAACUGAACAACAGAAUUAAUGUGAGGAACCUCCAAGUUACACCCAUUUAAUCAAGUCAUCAACCAUUGAUCAACUUAACUAAAUAAGAAUAACUCCGGUCGUCCUUGAGAUGUGAGCAUUGCCUAGGAUUUAUACACACCUCACAAGCACAACAAGAUGAACACCAUCACAACAUAAGCAUUACACACAUAGUCCAUCACCUUACAUAAAAGAGUUCAAGUCACGUACAUAACAAGUUCAUAGAGUUUGCAACGGAAAGUUCUAUCAUCGCUCUCAACAUAUGAUACAACACAAAAUAAGAGGGUUAACACUAUAUGCUGAUAGUGCCUUCUCAUAGCCAUGUCCAUCACUUCCUACCCACACAUCCAUCCGUGGGGAAGAAGUACCCAAAGGCGGCCUCCAGCUGCGGAUCACCUGCAACAACUUAAUGGCGGCACCGUGAGUACAAAAGGUACUCCGCAGGUCUUAUCUAAGUAUGGGUAUAUACUUGCCCGACUCUCAAGGAGAAUGCAUUUGGUUAAGUAGCAAGGAAUGAGAGGGAGAGAGAGCUGCAAGGAGCUCUGGUUAGGCUUGAGACGUGGGCUGACGUUUGGGGUCCGUGGGGGAGACGUGGCGCAAAAGUUUUGCGCACGCGACACACACCACAGUGUGCUGGCGGACCAUCCGCGGUUGACGUGGCAAAGGAGUUGAGUGAGUCAUGCUUGACCGAGGUCAACAUGAUGACAUGUAUGGCAGACCGUCCGGCCCCCAUGGGCGGACUAUCCGCAGGUACCCAAAGAAAGCAUCAACUUUUAUUUAUUUGCAACUUAAUUUAAUGCUUAAUGAUGCUCAUGAUGACAUGCUUAACUUAAACAAGAUUAAGGCCUUUUACAAUUAAUCUAAUACCACCAAAAAUAUGCACCAAAACUAUGUCCCCUGGAAGGAAGGAUUGCACAUCCAACUGUUGCUAACCCAUUUACGAUUUAUUCAUAUUUAAAUUCAAAUUCAGAUAUCUCACUCAAAGUUUGAAUAGAGAACAUCAAAUAUUUCAGAACUUUUAAUUAUACAAUAAGAAAUUCUCAUUGCUUUAUAACUAAAUAAAAAAUAUUUCAACCAACCUUCAACUCAUCAUGAUGCUCCUGAAGAACCUUGGCACAUCCCAACAGCAUAGCAACAUUUGCAUCAUGUCCACAUCCAUGCAUCUUCUCAGGAACUUUGCUCUUGUGCUCCCAUUCCACGCUUUCCUGUAAAACAAGACAUCAAUUUUAACUAAUGGUCAAAUACAGAAUAAUUGCACUUCAGAAUCCAGAUUGGGCUACCGGAGUUUGCCACGAUUAAAUUGCUUGACAGGUUGCACAAACACUAGAAAUCUAAUUGCUUUCCGGUGUACAGCACAAGUACUUUUAAUCUAUGGUUUCCCUGAACUCAAUCCUCAAUAGUCAAAUUUUGCAAUGACCACCGGAAUACAAGUAUAUUUAAAAGAACUCAGAGGUGCGGAAGAACUUUGGUGGAACGGCGCACCUUUUCCAUGCAUCAGCUGCGUGUUUAUAUAGGUGAGGAAAAUCCCCUCGCAUGGAGUUACAAUCGGAUCACAAGUUGGUUGGGAUGGGCACUUCCUUGGAGUCCAAGCUAAAUACAUAAUCUAUCUAUUGUUACAACAAACAAACCUUUACAGAUAAGCCGAUCCCAAUCUCAACUGAUCACCUUAAACAAUACAAUGUCGAUAUCUCUUAUAUACUUCUAAUAGCCCCUCUCAAUCAUAACUGAGCUAGGUUAAGAUUGUGCUUGAAGUUCUCCAAUUUCUUAACAGAAAGAGCUUUUGUAAAACCAUCUGCCACUUGAUCUCAUGUCGGCACAUAAUCAAUCUCGAAUAACCUUUGAUUCCUUAUCUUACAAAAUGAUAUUCUACUUCAAUAUGCUUUGUUCUAGCAUGAAAAACAGGAUUAGCAGAAAGAUACUUAGCUCCAAUGUUAUCACACCAUAUCCUUGCAGCCACUGGACAGGAACUCCUAUCUCCUUAAGUAAGGUUUGUAUUCACAUAAUCUCAACAGUGGCAUUUGCUACAGCCUUGUAUUCCGCUUCUUCUGUGCUCGAUCUAGACAUUGUCUAUUGUUUGCGAGCACUUCAAGAAACUAAAUUACAACAAAAAAAAAUCGCAAAGCCUUCAGUAGACCUUCUGUCAUCUAGACAACCUACCCAAUCUGCAUCAGAAAAACCGCUGACAAGCAUGGACUUAGACGUAUGAAUCUUCAGCCCAAUUUUCGUACACUGCUUGAGGUAUCUCAAAAUACGCUUGACAGUUGCCCAAUGCAUGGUUGUAGGAGCAUGCAAAUAUUGACACACUUUAUUUACAGGAAAUGCAAUAUCUGGUCUAGUGAGCGUCAAGUAUUGCAAAGCCUCUACUAUACUUCUAUAUCUUUUAAGCAAAUCAUACGCAUAUUUGUCUUGAGUAAGAAUAAUUCCAUCACAAACCUUGCUGACUUCUAUGCCCAAGAAAUAAUGAAGCUCUCCCAAAUCCUUCAAUGCAAAUUCUUGCUCAAGACUGUGUAGGAGCUUCUCAGUUACACCUUGAACAGAACUUGCUACUAUGAUGUCAUCAACAUAAAUUAGCAAAAAUAUUGUCACAUUGUUAGUGUUAAAAUAAAAUAAUGAUGUGUCUGCCUUUGAGGACUUAAACCCAAGACUGUAUAGCUUCGCACUUAGUCGAGAAUACCAUGCCCUUGGAGCUUGUUUCAACCCAUAAAGAGCCUUGUCCAACUUACACACAUAAUUAAGCAUGGUCUUGUCUUCAUAACCUGGAGGUUGUCUCAUGUAGACUUCUUCCUCUAGUAUUCCAUGAAGAAAGGCAUUUUGUACAUUGAGCUGUCGUAGACUCUACCCUUGUGAAAUAGCAAUAGAUAAAACAGUUCUGAUGGUUGCAGCCUUAACAACAGGACUAAAGGUAUCAGGACUAAAGGUAUCUUCAUAAUCUACCCCAUAUCUCUGCUUAAAGCCUUUAGCCACUAAGCGAGCCUUGUAUUUGUCUAAGCUAUCGUCAACCUUACGCUUAAUUUUAUACACCCAUUUACAAUCAAUGAUAUUGCUGCCUUUCUAUGGUGGAACUAAAUGCCAAGUCUUAUUUCGAAGUAAAGCAUCAUAUUAUAUGUCCAUUGCAUGUUUCUAGUUUGCAUCUCCUAAAGCCUCUGAAGUAUUUUGUGGCUCACCAAUAGAAGUAAAGAAUCCAUACCGAACUGUACCAUCAGUAUACACCUUGGGUUUGCAUAUCCUAUCUCGAAGGUGAGUAUGUGGUCGUCGAUGUGGUUCUGCUGGUUCAGACGGAGCUGCCGCAGAAGAUCCAAUUUUGGCUCCCCUAGGAUUCGAGGCAGAUCCGACAGGUGGAGCUAUAGCAGGAUCCGUCGCCGAUGCACGUGCUGUCGGGAGGUCACCCGACCGCAUGUCGGGUGAAGGUGGUGUGGCAGCGCUGGAGAGGCCACGCUCAGGCGAGGCAAGAGGGUGCCCUCACCACGCGUCGUACAAAGAUGGGAGGUGCGCGCCCAUCGGUGAUGGAGGAGUGCGGCCUGCCGCAUUGGGAUCCGCCUGGCGCAGCCCAUGAUCCGAGGUAGAUCCCAUUCGCUGCUACAUGGCACGGAGCGAAUCUCCCCCGGCACCUGAGCCUAGAAGGGUGCUGUUAUUUGAUGUACCACUGGUAGUAUGGAUCUGGUCAUUGCCGGAGUACUUCUCCCUCAUCGCCAACUUCUCCAAAUCUCCCGUGAUGUGGUCAUUAGCACCGGUAUCCAUGUAGGUAGCAGCCGCAACAUUCUUCAGGUCUGGCACAUAGUUUUCAUCAAACCUAUGCUAGUAUCUAUCAGUUGUGUGUCCCCUCUUGAGACACACCUGACAUAGUGAGCAUUCGGUGGAGUUGUUGUUGAAGCGCUGGUUGGAGUUGUUGCUGUUGUUGGGUGGACGCGAGUUGGUGUUGUUCAUGGUGCCUCCUCCCUAGCCACGACCAAAGCCUCCAUGGCCAUGGUUGUUGGAGCCGCCACCACCACGUCCUCGGUUGCCCUUCCCUCCACGGUUUGCCAUGUUGGCAGAUGAACUAGAGGAAGAGUGGCCACUCUGGAGCUCCAUCCUGGUUUCAAAAGCAAGAAGCUACAAAUACACUUCGCUUACCGAGGGCGCAUCUGAUCUUGCAACAAGAGUAGACACAAUGGGGUUGAAGUCGUGAUCAAGCCUAGUGAGGAUGUGCUCGAUGAGUUCCUCUUUUUCCACCGGUCUUCUAGCGGCGGCCAUCUCGUCGCCUAGGGCCUUCAUCUUCCUGACGUACUCCGCGAUCGUCAUGGAUCCCUCCUAGGUGGUCGCAAGAGCUAGGCGCGUGUUCACCGCGCGAGCCUGGGUGCGCGACGAGAACAUGUCUUCAAUCAUCUUCCAGGCUUGAGCUGCUGUCUCCAUCGCAGCUAUCUGUCCCAGCACAUCCUUGCACACGGAGGUGAGUAGAAAACCAAGGACUUGCUGGUCCGAGGUAUACCACUCAUCCCAUGCCGGAUUUGGGAUCUUGACAUCUUUGCCGACGGCAUCCUUCCCACCAGUUUCAGCAGGAGGUGCAGCUUUGGCACCGGUGAGGUACCCUUGGAGACAUUCUCCACGGAGGGUCACAAGGACCUGGGCCCUCCAUGUGGCAUAGUUGAGCCUGGCGAGCUUCUCUGUCACGCUCUGGCCAGACAAGGGAUUCAUUGCAGCUCUGGAGGAUGAAGCCAUGGCUUGAGGUGGAUUGGAUCUAAGGAAAGCUGGCUCUGGUUACUAUAAAAGAACUUAGAGGUGCGGAAGAACUUUGGUGGAACGGCGCACCUUUUCCGUGCGUCAGCUGCGUGUUUAUAUAGGAAAAUCCCCUCGCAUGGAGUUACAAUCAGAUCACAAGUUGGUUGGGAUCAGCACUACCUUGGAGUCCAAGCUAAAUACAGAAUCUAUUUAUUGUUACAGCAAACAAACCUUUACAAAUAAACCUCUACAGAUAAGCUGAUCCCAAUCUCAACUAAUCACCUUAAACAAUACAGUGUCAAUAUCUCUUAGAUACUUCUAAUAGUAUUCGGGUUGAUUUAUAACAAGAGCAUAUUGAGUUUGAAUGCCUAGCAAAUUUACACCGUUAGCGUAUUGAAAGGCGCAGUUUUAGCUAUCGAUAACUAGACCUAGGAAGCCUCCUAUCAUUAGCAAAACCCAGAAAUUAUUUCCUCAAUUCGCAACAAAAUCAAGAAGCAGAGGAACCCAACACAGUAGGGGGAGAGUAGCCAAGGGCCAGCCAGCGCAAUGGACCUGCAUGGGUAGUGCGUCCAUGUCUGCCCGAAGCACAACGAAGGGUGGGCCCCCGGUGCCGAUCGUCGCGACCAACCCGGUGAUGGCGAUGGGGUGUUGAGCUCCCGGCGCACGAGCUCGCUAGUCUUGAACUCCUCGUAGCCCAGCUCAGGGUUCUCGUGAAUCCGCCGCCGCACCCCGACCAUUCAGUCCAGGAAUGCCGGCUCCUUUGCCCGCCGCAGGAGCUCCGCAGGGUCCUCCAGCGAUGCCGCCGCCGAAGCCCAGACCGCUGUGGAGGCGACGGCGAGGGUGGCAAGCAGGAGAGGCACCACUGUGGAGGCUACUGUGCUACUUGCUGGUUCGUUUUAGUUGAUGACUGAUGAGGCAGCUUCGCUUUUGAUGAGGGCAGCAGUUGAUUUCCUUUUUCUUUUUCCUCCCAACUUUUUUCCUUCCUAGUCACUAAAAAAACCUUUUUCCGUCCCAUUUCCAGCCCUGUGCAGCUUCCUUCCUAUUUCUAGCCCCGUGUAGCUUGUGACUCUGCUGACUGCUUGGCUAAAAAUCAGGUAUGUUUAGCUUCAUUCGGGGUGAUGAGAUUUUUUUUAUUUUUAACCCCAAUUUUAUUUGCACGGUGUGAUCCUUUUGAUCGUGCCGUGCGCCGUGGUGCAGCAGUUAGCCGCUGCCGCGCCACGUGCACUUGCACUAGGUUUAGGAUUUCAUUUUGAAUUUUUCAUGAUUUAUAAGUUUGUUAUGUAGUAAUGGAUGCUUAGUUUAUACGCAGUCGACUCUUUGCCCAUGGUUUUAACGUGUAGAAGUAGUUGCAUGCAUCGAUUUAUAUAGUUGUUGAUGUAUUUGUGUGGUGUACAUGGCAUGUGUAGGUUUAUUUGUUUAUUAUGUCAAAUUAAUGUAGUUUAUUGUUGUUGUUUGUAGUAAAUGACCUAUAUUUGGUAUGUUAAAGUCUUUGCAUUUUGUAAAUGGAUCGUUUAGUUCGUAUGUUUCAUAGUGGGAUUGUGAAAGAGAAUGGGGAGUUUGAGAAUAUGAAUGAGGUAGUGGAGUUGUUCGAUGCUCGUCCAAGUUUUAAAGAUUUAGUUGAGCGUGUAAUGACAGAGUAUGGAUGUGGAGUGGAUGAGAUGACAUUGAGAGGCCAUUCUGAUUGUAGGAAAGCUAGACCUCAUUAUGUUCUCAUGAAUUUGGCAUGCGAGUCUAAUUGAAAGCAAUAGAAGCAGGUAGUUGAGCAUACAAAUGUUGUAUGUUUGGACGUGGUAGUUGAUAUUUGUCGUAGGCCUAGCACAAAUGUUGCCUUGAGAGAUGAACUCCAGAAAGUGGUUGAGAAUGGUACCCAAGAGUCAACAAUUUUAUAGCAUGGCUUAGGUAAAAGCCAAUCUGAUUUUGGCUUGGCCAUUGGAAUGGUGAUUUUCCUAAUGAUACUUUUGAGCGGGAAGAAGCAAACAUAGAUGAUGAUGACACAACUCUAGGUUCCGAAGAUGAUGAUGUUGAGGAGGAGGAUAGGGUAGAAGAUAUUCAGGCCAACGCGCAUGAAGAUGUAGUAGUCAGAGAUGGAUCUGAAUGUGAGGAGGAGGAGUCACAAUCUGAGGAGGAUAGGCUGCAAGUCAACACUACAACCGUGCAUGAUAUAGAGGACAUUGGCCGUGUGGACGAAUGUUAUUCUUACACCCCUAAUGAGUUGUAGUUGCUGAAGGAAUGUCAUGUCGAACUCCCGUCCGUUCCCAAUACUAAGGACAUAAGCAUGGUCCGAAAAGCCUUAUUGAAUCUACUAUGGUGAAUUCGGAACGAAUAAGCUAUAGUGAGAAUCCAGUGAUUAAGAAGGGAAUGAAGUUCAACAGUCUUAAGGAGCUCAAGUUUUUCUUGGAUGACUACGUAGUGAGGUUACAUAGGCCUUUCAAUGUAGUUCACUCUGACAAGAACCUAAGGUAUGAUGUCAUGAGCAAGCAAGGAUGCAUGUGGCAUGUAUGGUCCCACCUUAUUAGAAGCACGGGACAAUGGAGGAUUUCAAUGGUUGUGCAACAUCAUACUUGUCGUUCUUCUCAGCCGAAGGGAGUGCACACAUAGUGCAUAGCUACAUACCUUGGGCGGCGCAUCCUAGGCAUUGUCCGCGUCGACAGCGAGACAUCGAUGCCAUCUCUUGUGGAGUCCAUAUUUUCCUUUAGUGGAUACGAUGUCAAGUAUUCAAAGGCAAGGUGGGCGAAACAUGCCAUUGCACUACUUUGGGGAGACUGGAAGGAGUCAUAUGGCAUGGUUCCUAGGGUCCUCACUGCUAUGGCCUACUAAUAUCCCGGGAUUAAAUGGUUCCCUCACACGUCCGGCAUGAUGCAACCUGACGAUGGUGUUUAUAAGCAUGUCCUCAAAGGGAUUUUUGUGCUUCCCACAAUGUCAUGUAUCUUUCCAACAUUGUCGUCCUGUGAUACUUGUUGAUGCUACAUUCUUGACCGAGAAGUACAAGGGUACACUAAUGAUGGUUGUUGCUGUAGAUCCAGAACAACAGCUUGUGCCUCUAGCUUUUGCCUUGGCCGAGAGUGAGAACAACGACAGUUGGUCAUGGUUCAUGAAACUCGUUUACCGAUACGUACUUGAACCGUCACGUCAAGUAUGUAUGAUCUUAGAUUGGCACCAUGGCCUCCUAAAUUGUGCGAACGACCAUAUGGAUGGCUUUCCACCGCUUGUGCAUAGGUGGUGCAUGAUGCACUUUGCUGCCAAUAUGUGGCGUCGAGAAAAGAACAAGGAAGUGAUUGGAAAGUUGAAGGUUUUAUGCAUGGUACAUACGGAGAAAGAAUUUGAAGAGAAGUUAGAAGACCUAGUGAAGGACUUGAAUGAUGAGGCAAAACAAUGGUUGAAGGGUGAAAUGGAGGAUAAACACAAAUGGGUGUAGGCUUUCGAUGAGGGAGGGAUGCGUUAUAGUAUUAUGACCACAAAUUAUUCGGAAUCCUUAAACAAUGUUUUCAAAGGCAUCCGAAGUAGACCCGUAGCCGGAAUUAUCGAGUACUCUUUCAAAAAAUGCAAUGAGUACUUUGUGCACAGAUGGUGGAAGGCACGUGAUUUGUUGAAUGAAGGUUAUAGGAAUCAUAAGAUUGCAGAUGAUCAUAUAGUAGAUGUUGAGCUAAGGUCUAUUAACCAAUUAGGAGAACCGUACAGACUAGAAAGAAUGGUAUAUUAUGUAAGAGGUGUUGGUGGUACUAACGUUGGCGGUGAGAGUCAUGGAGGCUGAAACUAUAGAGUGGACCUCAACGAAGGUGCGUGUAGCUGCAAGGUUCCUCAAUUGUUGCACCUUCCAUGUUCACACUUAAUUACAUCUUGCAAGGCUAGAGGUCUUAACUUUGAAAGCCCCACGUAUAUGUCACCGUUGUACUAUAGGGAGCACACCAUUAAAAUUUGGAAAUCCAGCUUUGAACCGUACCUUGAUCCUUUCCAAUGGCCGCCAUAUGAAUGUCUAGAGUACAUGCCUGACUCCGCUUCGAAGAGAGACAAAAAUGGUAGGAGGCAGAAGAAGCAUUUUAAAGGCGACAUGGACGAGUUGCAAGGGAGAUUUUUAGUUGAUGCCGAGUUAGAUAAUCGUUGCUCCAAGUGCCACAAGUUCAUUAGGGACUGUACAUGCCGUAAGAAGAAAUCUAAGGGGGAAAAAGAAAAGCAAGCGUUCUUCCAAUGCUUAUGUAGCAUCAUAGACACUACCUAUAGACAUCGUAGGUUGGGACUGCCCUUAGUGGCCAUCUGGAUCCUCUCCUGGCGACCUAUCUGGUCGGGCCCAUCAUUAGCAAUUUGUUGAAAGGUAUUUAAGGUUUAAGCUGCACGAUGGCUGUGAGCAAUUUGUUGAAUUCAAUAUAUAUGGGGGGUGAUUAAAAGAUUGCAGGGUGAGCAACGAAGGUUGAGAAAAUCCAUGUAGAGUGAGAGAGGUGCUGCGUGAUGAUGAAUUAGUUCGCAGUAGAGGUUAAGGCCGAAUAUGGGAGAGGGCCCAAUCCAUCAAUAAUGUGUAUCAAUAUUCCUUGUUUACCAAAUUUGUUAUACAUAUAUUAUCAUUUCCCGUAUCAACGGAUGAUCGAAAUUAUUUUCAGAAGAAGUACCCUGCGAAAGAACUAUAACACACCUCACAUAUAUCAAAUUAAUUCCUUUGAAACAAUUUCAAUCUAUUGUAAACUAGACAGAUCCUUGCAAGAGGCAAUGAGAGAAUUAAUCAAGUUGUUUUUCCACAAUGAUCAAUGAUGACUAAAUGGGAAAUUCUUGCAUGCUGAGGGAUAAAGGAGGUUUGGCAAUCUUUGUAAUAAAUGCUUGCAUAGUAAGUGGUUAUUUAAACUUAUUAAUGAAGAUAGAUUAAGGAAAACCUAAGGAGGUUUGGAACAAUUACACGAGUUGAAAAUAUACCUAGAGUUUCUAAUUUUUGGUCUGGCCUUAUGAAGGUUAAAAAAGACUUUUUAAGCACGAGCUGAUUCAACUUAGGUGAUGAGACUUAGAGAAAAUUUUGAGAGGAUGUCUAGUUCAGUUGUAUGGCUCUUAAAGAUCAAUAACUAGAAAAUAUGCGCGGCAUUACCACGCUUGCAGCUUUUUUUUUUGUCUUAGAUGACCCGUACCAAAGGUGCAUGUAUCCAAGCAUAUCAAAUUGAAUUUGAAUGAAGAUGUGCCUCAGUUUAUAUUUGGUCAAGCCAUAGUAAUUUGAUCAAGUGCCUGAAGAGCUCGAACCUCAAUUAUUUUUCAUCUCAAUGUAUAAAAAACCAUAGUAAUUUGUUUCAUAUAUAUUCAGACAUUUUUCAUCCUUGAUGUCAAAAUCGCAUGAAUCCUCAGCAUGUCACCAUGGGGCAUGGGCCACUGCAUGUCUGUACCUUGCAGGAUGUGUUCGCUGAACUUAAGGCCAUUGCUGCAUAAACAAUGAUGACAGCCCGAAAAAAACGACGAAUGAAGCUUGAAAAAUAUUCCUUUGCAUAUCAAAUUGUAAAAAAGGCAGUUCCUGCAUAAACAACGAUGAAAAAAAUGAUGAAUGAAACAUGAAAAAUAUUCCUUUGCCAUCUUUGUAGCACAAAUGCUCGAAUAUAACAAUACAAGUCACAUCUUUAAAACGAUAUAAUGAAACUUUCAUAUGGAGUGAGUGAAGUUCAUCCUUAUGUUUCAAGAUUUUAGGAAUAGUUGGCUGAGGGAGAAUAAGUAAAAUGCUAGUUACAUUCCCGAUACUGUUAUGUACCAUGACAUUUGAAACUAAAUUGUAUAGGUGGCUAAUAUGAUCUUUGCCUGCUCCAAAAGGGUCCUAAGAUCUUCGAUGGGAUAAACAUGUUUGCAAGUCCCAAUUUGCAAUUAUUACCUCAGUUGUUAGAUUCAAACAAUUUUUUAUUAUAUGAAAGAGCUAUUAUGUCACUUCUCAUAGAAUUUGCAACCAAUUUUGGGAAUAAUGUUAAUUUAUACACCCUUUUAAAAUACUAAAGCAGUUCUGUGAUUGCCAGUGUCAAAAUUGUAACAAAGUAGUCAGCUUUUGUUGAGCCUUGUACAUUGAGAUAAAAAAAAUUGAGGUUCGAGCUCUUCAGACACAUUGUAGGCUGUUGAGAAAAAGUAGUUUCCUUCAUUAAUAAAUAAUAAUGGAACUGGGUGAACUUGAUCAAGCAGUAGGGCAUAUAUAUUGCAGACAGUAAGGCCUUAUUUCUGCUUUUUAUUUUCAGUAUUAGUGUCACAUAAAUCUGAUCGGCCAGUAGGACAUAAAUAUUGCACUUGCAGGUAGUACAACAUUAUUUCUCCCUUUUAUUUUCAAUACGGAUGUUGCAUAAACAAUCACAAGAGAAUUGCUAGAUUAGUCAUUAUAACUGAUGGCAAAAGUUAGUUUAUGUAAAAUCUGUUGAGAAUUUCGUCGUGCAAAACACAAUGAGAAAUAAUUUCACCUGUUGAUGGUACGCAGAAGUUUAACUGAGCUUUUCCGUAUUCAGGGUCUUCUGGAAAGUUGGUACACCUAACUUGUGUUAACUGUAUAUAUGGAAUAUUUGGGUUCAAAUUAGCAAUACUUGUGUUAAAUAACUGCCUUUCCUGGAGGAGCUGCUUGACUGACAGAUAGUAGCACCCCAGUCUAUUUCUUAUUUAGUAGAGUAAUACUAUUUGUCUUUGAAAGAAUUUCUUUUUAUGGUUGAGUCCCUUAUCACUUAUGUAUUAUUAAAUACUAAUGUUGUUGUUUUCUAGCUGUUCAGUUUCAAGUUAGGAAGGAUAAGUACGAUAAUAUGUAGGCCAGCUAAGUGUUGUUGGUUUAAUUUCUAGCAUUUAUAAAAUUAGAAACUGAAUAUCGCAUUUGUCUUCCAGCAUCUACCAUUAGGCUAGAAGAUAAGCCUUUGAGGAUAGACUAAUUUUUUUGUAAAAUGCAACUUAUUUCGUACCUCUAUUAUAUUUCUUUUCAGCUAGUAGGUAGUAACCUGUUGAAGAGUGCAGAUUGCCAGUGUAAAUACCUCUGCUCUCAAAAGUUCAAGCUUGUGUGAAACAUGGGAUCCUUUUUGGCCUACUGAUGGAAUUUGAGGAAAAAUCAGGCACCUCCAGCUUGCCAUUGUUGACUCCACAAUGUUGCUCCAGCACUCAGUAUGCAGGACACAUAGCUCCCUAGGCACUGUACAAAAUACAUGGCAGUUAUGUAGAUGCAGUAGAUUCACACAUCACCAAAUCAGGUGGACUAAAUUGUAGUGGCGACCAGUUGCCCUAUUAUGGUGAUGAAACAGGAUAUUUUGUGGCGGUUCUGAGUACAAACCUGAGCUGGAGAAGUUGCUCUUGGCUUCUUCUCGUCUCAAAACUGCUUGUUGUGCAGUGUCUAACCUCGUUGCCACCAGCUCAAUGCAGCCAUCACUAUUGCAAGCGACUGAAUGUUGUGCAGCCAGAAAAAUGGGAUGCUACUGACGCCUGAUCUUGUGUCCCUGGGCUCCGGCAAGGAGCGCCGGUCAGAAAUAACAUCGAACAUGUGGUGGGCUCCGUGGCAAUUGGGUUGAGAUCGACGGUCUGAGAAAGAAGCAAUGAACGUGUAGCAGGUUGGAGGCAACAUAGCACGUCUUGUGUUCUUUUUUGUACUCACGCUGAUGCCGAUCAUGCUGGUUCCUGUGCUACAUCUCGUCACCGUCAAUGCGUAGCAUUCGCCUCCGUCGUGGCAUCAAGGGCAUUCCACCGAACACCUCAUAAGUGCCAUCAUGUGAGAACAACGAAGAAGGAACCCGCCCCACUACUUCUUGACCCCUGCGGCCCUCCUGGCCGAGCACGAGCUGGCCUCGACCACUGUCGAGGGGCUAGGCAGCAGGCACCAAGCAUAAAGGAGGUGGGAUGCAGGCGCGCUGCGGGCACAGGGGUGGGCUCUAGGUGCGACGCGGCGGGAGCGGGGCCGGGCUAUGAUGUAUCUAGUGGUACUAGUUUGGUAUUAUAAUUUAUAAGUAUUAACACUUUUUCAUAUGAGAUUGGUCAAACUUAAGUUACAUUGACUCUGACCAAUCCUAGAGGUAGACUGUUUGUGGAAUGGAGGGAAUGUUUGAUAUUGUGUCGGUAUGCAAAAUAGUACUAAUUGUUUAAGAGAGGAUGUUCUAUUAUGUGAAUUAAUUGAUGCUAUAACAUUGAUGCCUGCGAUAGAAAUGACAGCCAAGAGGUGAUAGAUGAUUUAGCUAAAGUCAAGAGGAUCUGCGUAUGGAAAGCAAUUAUUGGCAGGCAAUCAACGGGGACACGUUUUAGAAGGGCAUAUUUGAUCAUUUACUAUUCUUCUUAAUCUGUAUGAAAAAAGCUAAACGUAUCUAUAUUUUUGGACAGAGGGGGUAUAUGAUGAGGAUGGAUCCUUUGAGCAGGAAAAAUUAACUGGUACUCCCUCUCUAUCUCUAGAUAUAAAGGAUUUUGAGUUUGUUCAAAGUCAAACAUUUUCAACUUUGACCGUCUCUAAUGAAAUGUUUAAAGACAUUAACAAAGUCUAAAUUAUAUUAUUAGAUUCAUUGUAGAAGCAAGUAUCAUAAUAUAAGUAUCAUAAUAUGUAAAUUUUUUUAUUCUAAAUAUUUUAUUUUUAUAGACAUUGUUAAUAAAAGAAGUUUGACUUUACAAAACCUAGAAUCCCUUAUAUUUAGGGAUAGAGGGAGCAGCUCAAAAAGAAAAAAAAAACUGGCAAGCGGUAGCAUUGGAAACCACCCGCGGCAGCCGGCAGGCCUGGCGCACAAGAGAGCCCAAACGACCUGGUGCUGCUCUCUUGUACGGCCCAAACAUAAAUGGUACCAUCAGAAGUGCACAAUCGCUACACUGAUGGAAGAAAACAAACAAAAAACAAGAAAACGACUCCUAUCCGCAGACUUUAUCGCCUUCCGGUGUUGUUCCUAGAGCACGGUUGACUCCUUGUGUCCAUUCUUCCACCAUAUCAGGUAUCGGACAAAACUCGAGCAUAUGCUAAUCUAAUGAUGCAGCAUCCAAGAUGCAGCUCGAAUUUAGGUUUACACCUCGAGAGUCAUGAUCGCAGAGAUGGGUUCGAUGACAACACCUCCAAAGAAGUGCAUGGCGUCCAAGGACAUCAUCAUCGUCGGCACCGGCAAACGCCGACUAGGCUUUCUCCAUUGAUCCGAGCCCAUCAACCGAACCCCAUGGGAGGCAUCCAUGAGAACCACCAACCCAUCAUCAGCGGCAUUGGCACCCACCACUGCUGGGAAAAGCGCCUUUAGUAUCAGUUCCUAACCCCCUUUAGUAUCGGUUGCGCAACCGGUAUUGCUACUUAGAUCCUAAAGGGGAUUUUUAGUUUUGGAUCAAAUAACCGGUACUAAAGGGGUAUUAAAAAUAAUAAAAAAAGAAAUCCGCCGACCGGAUCCUCAGCCGCACCAUGCCGCCAUCCACCUGAGCAUCGGAGCCUCGGCUGCACCACGCCACUGUCCGCCAAAGCGCCGGAGUCCCGGCCGCACCCCGCUGCCGUCCGCUAGAGCGUCGGAGCUCCGACCGCACAACACCUGAGCCCUGCACCAGAGAGAGGGAGGGAGGGAGGGUGGCGGUGUACUUACGCUGCUCAGCCACCGUCGCCGGUUGUCAUCACCGCCGGAUUUGAGUGAGAGGUGGCCGCUCCUUGCUCCGCCACGCCUGCUGAUGCUCCGCCACCGCGCCCUCCCGCCGGAGCUCCGCCGCUCCUUGCCCCACCAUCACUCCUUGCUCCGCCACGCCUUGUCGACGGUCCGCCACCUCACCACACCCUCCGUUCUUGCCUCUGCCGCUCCUUGCCCCACUGCCGCUCGUAGCCACAUGUAAGAGGUGAGGGGCGAACGGAGGAGGGAGGAGAGGGUUGGCGACGGGAGAGGUGGCGAGGGGAUCAAUCUAUGUAGGGGAGAAAGGGCGGGGAGAAGAAGAGAGAGACACACGAGCGAGAGAUCGGAUGAGGGGGACGAGCGGAUAAGUACGUGUGGGGAGGGGGUGAGCGUGGGGGAGGUUCCCCUUUAGUACCGGGUGGAGCCUUCAUGCGGUACUAAAUGUCACCCUUUAGUACCGGGUGAAGCCUUCACCUAGUACUAAAGGCCCUCAGGCACAUUAGUACCGGUUGGAGGCUUCAACCGGUACUGAUGGGUGACCUUUAGUUCCAAGUCAAAAAACCGGUACUAAAAGGGUAUUAAAAAUAAUAAAAAAAGAAAUUCGCUAAUCGGAGCCUCAGCUACACCCCGCCACCGUCCGCCAGAGCGUCGGAGCCUCGGGCGCACCCAGCCGCCGUCCGCCCGAGCGCUGGAGCCCCGACCGCACAGCACAUAAGUCCCGCACCAGAGAGAGCGGGGGGAAGGGGGGGAGGCGGCGUACUUACACUGCUCAGCCACCGCUGCUGCCGCUCCUCAGCUCGCUGGUUGCCGCCGCCACUGAAUCUGAGGGAGAGGUGGCCGUUCCUUGCUCCGCUGUGCCUGCCGACACUCUAACACCAUGCCCUUCCGCUGGAGCUCCACAGCUCCUUGCCUCGCCGCCGCUCCUUGCUCCGCCACGCCUCGCCGAUGCUCCACCACCUCGCCGCACUCUCCGUUCUUGCCUCCGCCACUCCUUGCCCUGCCGCCGCUCGUCGCCACAUGUAAGAGGUGAGGGGCGAGCGGAGGUGGGAGGAGAGGGGUGGCGAUGGGAGGGGCGGUGAGGGGAUCGAUCUGUGUGGGGGAGAGAGGGCGGGGAGAAGAAGAGAGAGAGGCACGGGUGAGAGGCCGAAUGAGGGGGACGAGCGCAUAAGUACGUGUGGGGAGGGAGGUGAGCGUGGGGGAGGUUCCCCUUUAGUACUGGGUGGAGGCUGCAUCCAGUACUAAAGUCACCCUUUAGUACCGGGUGAAGUCUUCACUCGGUAAUAAAGGUCCUCAAGCACAUUAGUACCAGUUGGAGGCUUCAAUCGGUACUAAUGGUGAUAUUCCUACGUCGCUUUGAGGUUAACUUUGGGGAAUACAUUGCUGCGAUUUAAUAACGUCGCGGGAGGACAUAAAUGAGACCAUCCGUUUGACAAGGAGAGCAAUUGAGGCUUUGGAUUUCGUCAAGAGUGGAUGGAUAAGCAAUAUUAGACAAUUGCUUAUAAUUAUUCUCUUCUUAUGUACUCUUCUUCCUUUUAUUUAUUCUUUUAAUGAUCAACUAUUGAGCUGAAGAAUAUGUAAGAACUUAGCUGCGUGCGUUUAUUGCAGAGGCCGGAUGUAUUUCUAUUUUUUAAAAAAAUUUCACCACGCCAGCAACGCACCAGCAGAUGCUUCUUGUGCAUCGCCUCAUCUGACUGAACCAUACAGAAACGCAUACCACACGGUUUUCUUCUGUAUACGAUUAUCUCUGUACUAUAUCAACUACAAACUGUUCUGCAUUCCCGUGCCUAACCCUGCACCGACGUCGUCGGCGCCGCCGUGUUUUGGCUGUUGUCCCUGGCGAAGAACCCACCCCGGCUUGGACGGGGCCUGGAGGCUGAUCGUGUCGGUGCCGAGCAUCAUCACCACCGAAGACAUCACUGGCCGGGCCGCCGGAUCUCCCUGGACGCACAACAACCCAAUAUGGAAGCAUCUCAACACGUCGCCCUCCGGGAAGCUGCCGUUCAUGGACGGGUCUACCAACUCCAUCACCGUCCCGGCCUCCCAAUGCUCCCAAGCCUGCACGGUGGCUUGUAUACAUGAGCCAAACUGUACCAUUGCAACAAUAUAAUGGUGAUAAGAUGUUUAUCAGUUCGCGCUUACAGUGUUCAAGAGAUCUCCAGACUGUUUGGAGUUGUUCCUCCCCGUGACGAUCUCCAGCACCAUGACGCCGAAGCUGAAGGCGUCCGACUUCACCGAGUAGUUCCCGCGCAUCACGUACUCUGGCGCCAUGUACCCACUGAAGCGAGAAACCAAGCAAAAUUUCAGUGACCUUUUCCUUAAGAUAUAUACGCUGAACCUGAACAGAGGUAAAACAGAGUUUUGGUGGUGCUUACUAGGUUCCGACGAUUUGGCUUGUGUUUGCCUGCGUCUGGUCCCGGUCGAAGAUCCUUGCAAGGCCGAAGUCCGAGAUCUUGGGGUUCAUGUUCGCGUCUAACAGGAUGUUGCUAGCCUUGAGAUCACGGUGGACAACUUUGAGCUGCGAGUCCUCAUGGAGGUACUGCAGGCCUCGAGCGAUGCCAUUUAUGAUCCUGUACCUCUGCCUCCAGUCCAGCUUCUCAUGGUUCUCAUUCUCAGUGUCUGACAUGAACAUACAGGAAGUAGGAGUGAUCAAAUAAUGUGAUGGAUACAGAACUUGCCGAGAAAAUGAAGAAGAAAAUUGAAUGGGUCGGGCAAGGUUAAAGCAGUACCGAAGAGGAUCAGGUCGAGGCUCCGGUUGGGGACAUACUCGUAGACGAGCAGUCUCUCCUGCUGCUCAAGGCAGACGCCGACAAGCAUGACGAGGUUCUUGUGCUUCAGUUUGGCCACCAGCGCGAGCUCGUUCUUCAGCUCGUCCUCUCCCUGCGUCGAGCUGUCCGACAGCCGCUUCACUGCUAUCUCGUCGCCGUCGGGGAGGACACCCUGAACAAAUCAAAGCAACGUAAUAAGCUUCAAUUCAUGGGCAUAUUUUUCAGUUCAGAAAUUCACAAGCCAUGCCUAAUUACUUGUUCAGUUCAGAAAUUCACAAGCCAUGCCUAAUUCACAAGCCAUGCCUAAUUACCUUGUACACCGCGCCGAACCCGCCUUCGCCGAGCUUGUUGCUCUCGUCGAAAUCUCCGGUCGCCGUUCGCAGGGUCGAGACGUCCAUCAUCAUGGAGUCCACCAUUUCCACAUCCUCUGCUUGAUCUGCUCAAGAAUCAAUGGGACAAGUCAUUUCUUUUCGUGUUUUCAGGAAGUGUGUCACGCUAUGAGACCAGAGAAUUUUGCAGGAACAUACAUGGCUUCUUCGCUUCCGCAGUUGGUGGCCGCCGCUGCCGCUGCCGCCGCCUCCAGAAACAGAGGCAGGCGACGAGGUUCAAGGCUGCUAGCACAGCCAGCACAACGGCAAGAACAAUACCCGGCACAUUGUAGUUUCUCCUCCCUGUAAAUUAUUGAAUAUGUAAGAAAACAUCACGGCAGUUAAGUGUCACAAACGUAGUUGUAACAGAAAACAGAACAUAUAAACAUAAUAAGUUUCUCCUAAGUGUUACAGAUCUUUUCAUCGCAAACCGAUGGUGGAAAUCGGAAUCGGCGAAAUGAUCCUUAGUGCGGGACAGAUGGUUAUGAAAGUGAUGUCCAAGAGUAGUUGAAAGAUGCAUAAUUUUCAUGUGAUUAAUCAAUCAACACUUACGCACGCGCGCACUAAACAAGAAUCCGUCACUAAAUAAUUUCGAUUCAGACAUUCAGUCUGUACGCGGUCCAUCAGCUUGGACCGUGUGAGAAGUUGCUAUGGCAGUCAAAAGACCGUGUUAGAAGUUGCUUUGACUCACCUUCACCGGCUGCUGGCGGCGUCUCCACGGCCGGUCCCGGCGCCGGCGCUCCAGCGCCCGGUGAUGGCAGCCGCACCAUCGCCGGACCACUGUAGAAGGGCGCGGUCUCGAACCGGUAGGUGCAGUUCACCCAAAGCACCCUGCCUCCGAUAGAGUUCAGGAACCUCGGCAAGCCGUCCGCUAUAAUCCCGGCGAGGCACUUCCGGCAGAGCGCCGGCGGCUGGUCCGGCGGGCACUGCGCCAGGCUGUACACCUUGGGGAAGUUCUUGUCGAAGAAGUCGGCCUGCCCGGUGGCGAACCGCCGCGUGGAGUUGAACGCGGCGUAGUCGGCGGUGGCGUUGAGGAGCGCCGCCAGGAGGGCGUUGAACCGGGGCUGGUCGGAGGUGACGUUGCCGUUGUUGGUGACGCCGUACGCGUCGGUGAUCGGGCCGGUGUCGUCGUCGCCGGCGAGGGUGUGCACGUCGGAGUAGUGGAGCGUGCAGGGGUCGUAGUAGAUGGUGGCGUCCUUGUUGUAGGGGCAGUCGUUCUGCACGUCGCGGAACGCCUGCGCGAGGCAGCUGCCGCAGGCCGUCGCGUUGGCGUCGCCGCGGCAGAGCGCCAUGGCCCAGACCUGCUCCGGCACGGCGCCGACGACAGCGGUGGCGUAGAGGUUCGGCGACGCUGAGGCGUUACCGGGCAGCAUGGCGGCGAGGCGGUUGAGGUUGGCCUGGUACGUGCUCUUGGCCGCGAAGGCGUUCGUCGUGCCGCACACCUGCCAUGGGUAGCCCGCGGCGAAGGGCGCAAACAGCGCGACGGCGGCGACGAUGGUGACCACGGCCACGAAGAGGUGGGGACCCAUGGCGCGCACACGGUGAGCAGAAGGGGGGAAGUCAGGAGCGAGUCAGCUUAUGUAGACGCUGAGGGUGUAUUUGUUACUGGGUCGACAUGGGUCGGAAUGGGUUCAACCCCAUCAUCCCAUGUUUGGUUGGAAAUGGAGUGGGUUGGGUCCGACCCCCUAGAUGCAAGUCGAACGCGUCCGCCCGAAACGAUCGAACGCCCUCGACCCGCACGGAUGCUGUGUGCGUCCAUCCGCGCGCGUGGGAAGGAGCCGGCCUGGCACGGGGGCGGCGAGGCGGUGGCGGGGAGGAGGCGGCCUGACGCGGGGGCGGCGGCCGGCAAAGGAGGCGGCCGGGAAGGAGGGAGCCGGAGCCGGGGUGGGGAGGACGGAGCGGGUGUCGCCGGCGGAGGGAGGGAGCGGGCAGAGGAUGAAGAAGAUGGCGUGGGAAAAAAAGGAUGACAUGUGGGCCCCGCAGCUGAUAGGUGGGAUCCGUUACUAAUGGUGUUAAAAUACCUUCCAUUCCAACCUUCUUCAAUCCCUCUAAUCAAACAAAAAACUGGGUCGAACCCAUCGCUCUCAUCCAAACACGAGAUGGGUUGACUCCAACCCACAAAAGGGGUUGGUUCCAACCCAACCCACAUCAUUCCAAAAUCAAACACAUGUUGAGUAAAUUAGUCUUCGCGAACGUCCCACACGGCAACUGGCAGUGCAAGUUGUAUGCUUUCUGUCUGGUUUUCUCCAUCUGGGCUAUGAGUACCAGGCUGGAUUUAAGGCAAGGGCAUUCCGUUUUAAUUUUAAAGCAGCUUAAGGUGGCCUUUUAUGCUUUAAUAACAACUCCUAUACAAAGUUGAAAAAGUGAAUGAGAUGUCGUUUCUCUAAACAGGUGAUCCUUACUUCUUAAUGUAAACUAAAAUUAAAGUGGCCCACAUCUUUGCACUGUUACUGUUUGUAUAAAAAAAUCUGACUAUAUGUAAUGUUGCAUUAUGUUAAUUAGUUGUCUCAUCAAUCUAUGUUUGCCUUAUCAUCUUUUUUUAUAUCAUUAUUAUGCCUUUUCAUGUAUCUCAUGUUUGUUUUCCAUCUACGUAUACCCAGGAGCUAUAGUCAAAUAUUUUGUAGAUUCAGCUCUGUACUGUAAUGGCACUGAUUGUGGGAAUUAUUCCGUAACGAUAAUGAUGGGUAAUUAGACUACCGAAGUGACGAGCUUGAUAUGAUCCAAAUUCGAGCUUCGUCGAUAACCCCGGGGGUACUGUUCAAACCUAGAAACUCUAGCUCUAGCUAGUACUGUACGACUACUGUGUUCACGUCAGGAUCAUUCUUAGACUCCAGGGCACCCGGCUUGAGCUCUUAUUUGGUUGGGUCAGCCGGUCAACCGUGGAAGGAAAGGAAGUCGCAGAAGGUGGCUUGGAGCUUCCUUCGCCGUGCGUCGUUCGUUUCUCGCCGUCAUCCCCACAGGAAAACAAUUGGCACCUAAUAAAUUGCGGCAACUUGGCGCACGAGGUUUGUCAAGACAUGGAGGAAAAAAAAAAGGGAUUUACUACGCUUCAAUCGACCAUGAUUUGCAUUCCUCUCAGUCGAUCCUUACGGAUGUCUAUUAAUCCCUUGUCACUGACUGACGAGCCCAGCUGACUCACUGACUGGGCAAAAAGUUAAAUAUACCGUGGGGGAUUGUUAGGAUUUGGAGGGGCUCCAUGGCCGCCGGACCUAGAAAAGGAUGUCGGGGGAGGCAGGCCGGCCCGGUGGUGGUGGCGGGAGAGACGGCGGAGGUGGAGGCGGUGGGGGCGCCACCUCCCGGGCGGCGGGAGACGGCGGUUGGGCCAGGCUUGGGCGGGGCAGCUCGUCGCCAACGAUUUAGCGCGGCGGGGGAAGCAGCUGCAGACCCGGCGACGGGGACGCGCCGGGGAUGGCCGGAGGAGGGCGGUAGGCCGGUGAGCGUUGCUGCUUCUGCAAGAGAGAGAGAGAGAGAAGGAUCGAGUCUGGAGGUCGAAGAUGGGUGAACAGUACCCAGCGCAUUCUGAAUCGUUGGAUUUGAAAUGGAGGCUACUGUUGAUCGACUGAGAGCACCUCUAUUUUCAAUCGCUUGAUAUAUAGGAAGCCCCAGAAAAAUAAACAGCCAACAGCAGAUGCAUCGUCUGGUCCUCGUGGAUAACGCGACACAACCGAGUACUAUAUUACUAUCGUUGUGGAAGAGAGUACUCCUAUGUAGCAUCAGGAGACCAACGACAUUGACUCGCCGAGGGUCGUCGUCUCAUCUUAAGAGUUGAGUGCUCACUGCCUUUGACACCCGACAUGCGUUCCCACUCAUAGCGCGACGAGACACGACUGCAAUAGCGUCGCAAAGACUAAGGAGGUGUUUGGGAACAGCUUAUUAAAGUUUAACAUCUGUCACAUCAGAUGUUUGGAUGCUAAUUAGGAGUACUAAAUAUAAACUAAUUACAAAACUAAUUGCACAGAUGGAGUAUAAUUCGCGAGACGAAUCUAUAAUUAGUCCAUGAUUUGACAAUGUGGUGCUACAGUAACCAUUUGCUAAUGAUGGAUUAAUUAGGCUUAAUAGAUUCGUCUUGCGAAUUAGCACAAGGUUCUGCAAUUAGUUUUAUAAUUAGCUCAUAUUUAAUCCUCUUAAUUAGCAUCCAAACAUCUGAUGUGACACUGUUAAAGUUUAGCACCUCGUAUCCAAACAGCCCCUAAUAGGCGACUCCGUCAUAGUGUGUGGAGCUAUUCAUCACUACCUGAAGUGAUUGCGUAUGUAGUUCAAGUAAUUCAACAAGUGAAAGUUGAUUUAAAUCGGAUCAAUUUGCACAUAAACGCAUCAUACAUGCACUUCCCAGUACUCUCACGCACUCAGUGGGACCUGCCAUUAAGCCCCUGACCCUAGUCUUGGCUAAAAAUAAUUAAGGCUGUCAUUUUAAGCACUGCAGUGCUGCAGCUGCUGUCCCUCCGGUCGACGAUCCGACGGACAGCAGCAGCAGC
rnacentral:lncRNA from 1 species